AGAUAAGUUAGUCUGUCCAAAUUUCCUAUUGAUGGAUGGAUCUCCUUCAGACUUGAGCAAUUCUCAAGCAGCAAAGUCUCGAGACUUCGUGAACCGUUUGAAGUUUUGGAGUUUUUCUGAGGCGCUUGCAAUCAGAGAGAUCCAGCAUUUUCAAAUUUCUACAACACUAAAAGUAAACAAAAUAUUGUUUCAAUUAAGAUUUUCUUUCUCUUAAACAUUACACAUAAAAUUGCAGAAUUGAGUAACGAACCUGCAAAUUCAAACCAAAUUCUUGGAUAUUGCUCCCUUUCAUAUUCAGAAAUACAAGUUUAUCAGAUGGAAAAUUUGAUGGUAUACAUUUUUAAAGGACAUCCUUUCCAAGACAGCCAUCUGAGCUCCUUGGACAAUAGCUCAAAAUCUCCACUAAUACGUAAGUCGUCGAUUUUAAGCACCCUAAGAUUUAUCAUUUUCUGAAAUGCUUUGGUGUUCAGCUUCACACCCUUUAAUGCAUGUCGUUCUACCACCAAUAUUUCUACAUUUUCAGAACCCUACAGUUUAGUAAGAAGAAAAGUACUAUAAGACCAUGUUAAGUAUGAUAAAUUAAGAAAGAGAAAUGCUUUAUACAAAUUGAAGGUCAAACAAAGAGAAUAAAUUAUGUACCAAUAAAAAUAAAUUUACACAUUAUAUCCAACUAAAGGAUAUUUAUUUGAUAAUUUUGUCUUUGAUAGUUUGUUUAGACUUCAGUAAAUGUUCAUUUCAAGUACAGAAUGGUUCAAACGUCUAAAGAUACUUACUAGCCGGAGAAGAUUUAAGCACAAAUGCAUAAAUUAUAAGCAAAUGUAUAUCAAUAUAAAAGAAAAAAAGAAGAAGAAGUAUAACCAAGAUAAAGAUAAUGAAAUUUACUGACUUUAUUUCCUUGUAGAACAUCAAUGACUUCUUGAGGGUUGAACAAUCUACUCCGUUUUCCAGGGUCUUGAGAUUCCAUGCGAACGAUUUCUCUUCCCAUUUCCUGCACUAGAUCAUGCAUCACCAAACUAUGCCGAUCCCUUUGGAGCAAGUUCCUUUGGACUAAGGUUGAAAUUGCACUUUCAGAAUAAAAACCACACGCAUUUAAUGUUUUGGUAACUUCAUCCUCAUACCAACCAUGGAAGGCACAUGCGAUAUCAAGGAAAACACUCUGAGUAUUGACAUCAAGUCCAUCAAAGCUUAUCUUGAGAAUCUUUUGAAUACCACCAUGAGGAAUUGCUUUUAGUUUUUUGAACUCGUAUCUCCAUUCUUUAACGGAUCUCCCUUGCAGAUGCGACCCCAAUGUCACAAGAGCUAAUGGUAGCCCGCAUGAAUAUUUUAUUAUGUCUUGUGCCAGAUCAACAUAUUCUUGUGGUGGAGAAAAACAGUUAAAAGCAUGACAAGAAAAAAGUUGUUGUGCUUCAUUGUCAUUUAAAAGUUUGGCCUGGUAUAGCUCACUUGUUGUAAGCCCAUAUAGCAAAUGCCCAUCUCGGGUUGUAAUAAUUACUACACUACCAAAGCCAAACCAACUUCUUUCUCUUGUUAAGGAUUCUAAUUGGCCUCUAUGAUCCACGUCAUCAAGAACAAUUAGAACCUUCUGAGACCCAAGUCUUGCUUUGAUGAGAUUAACACCUUCAGCAACACUAUCAACUUCAAAUUCCUUAGUUUUGAGGAUUUGAUUAAGUAGUUUCUCUUGAAGCUUGACUAGACCCGAUUCAUCGGUUUUUGAUCUAAUGUCAGAAAGGAAGCAACUACCAUCAAACUGUUGAAAUAUUUGAUUAUAGAUAGCUUUUGCCAAAGUUGUUUUUCCAAUUCCACCAACUCCACAUAUACCAACCAUGCGAACUUCAUGCUCACAUCCACUUUGCAGUAACACCUCUAUAUGUUUGAUAGGAGAAUCUAAUCCAAUUGGGUAAUGAGCAACAUCUAGAGGUGUCUGGUUAACCUCUUGCAGAACUUGUUUUAUAAUACUCUCAAUAAACUUUGAUUCAUGCCUACAGUUUUUGGAACAAUAAAUACUUGAGUAUUUUAAAAUAUUUGAUGAACAAAAUAAAAAUCAAUAGCCAAAAGAUAACAGAGUUUAUAGAAUGGAGAAUAUAUUCCUUGUCCCUAUCUAUAUAAAACAGUUUGAUUUGACAUAGAAUUUAAAAACUAUAGAAAUAUUUUGAAAUUUUCCAUAAUUAACCAACUUAUAAGAUUAGGCAAACGCUUAAAUUCAAAAUCUUAUAGUUGAAUUAAGAAGUCUUACCCAUCAGCAAUAUUUCUCAAAUUCCAUCCAGAUAAAUUUGCUGCUUCAGUAAGUGCAGCUUUCCACUUUUCCAUUCUUUCAGCUCCAACCAAUCGUUCCUUGUGUUUUCCAAAGCUUCGUCAAAGGAUCCAGUUUGCCUUCGCACUUGAGAAGGAUCAACAUCAUAGAAAAUAGGCAAAACUACCUGAUUUUAACCUCUCUUUGCAAUCGAGAAUUUUGACAAGUUCAUCAAGACACCAACUAGACGAAGCAUAAUUUUUGGAGAAAACAACAAUGGCAAUUCUAGAUUGUUCAAUUGCUUUGUCAAGUUUGUUUGAAAUGACGUCUCCCUUUCUCAAUUCCUCAUCAUCUAUGAAAGUAUUAACUCCGACUUGACACAAUCGAAAAUAAAAAUGACCUGUGAAGUUUUUGCGAGUAUCUUCACCUCUAAAACUCAGAAACACAUCAUAAGAGAAGUUGGAAGAAGAAGAUGAUUCUCCUUGAGUAUUCAUAUUUGAUGACAAUAUAUGGAAUAAUUAGGCGAUUUUUAGUUGAAUGAAAGAAAGAUGAGUGAAGCAGCUACAGGUAAUAAUUUGUUCCUGGAAACCCAAUUUUGGGUCAACUCAUUUACAAUCCCUAAAAAAGUUAAUCCCUAGAUAGUUCACGUGUCUAUAUUUUAAAAGUAGAUAUAUUGACAUAAAUUUAGAUGGUAAAAAGUACUCCUUUUCUCUUUAAUUAUUUCUUCAUUUUUAAUUUGAUAGACCUAUUAAGAAAACUGUAACUUGCAUCUAGUUAAAAAGAAUGUUGAAAUAUUGAGUUUUAUGAAUUUGAUUUUAUUUUACUUUCUACAAAAGUUGUGUGAUCAUUUGGUAAUGGCCAUUACUAUUGCUCAAAGUUUUUAAACAUGAAAUAUAACUAAUACGAUAAUAAUUUUAAUAUAGCUUACUAAAAUAUUCAAGAUAAUAAAUGGAGAUGAUUAAAGUUUUUGGUCAAAAUCAUCCUCAAACUAUAGUCUAGAUUUUGGAUACAUCCUUGCAUUAUUAUACUGAACGAAAAACAUCAUUCAUCUAUCUAAAAAGUUUCAAUAGUCAUCCUUCUGUUAAUUUUUGUCAAAAACUACCGUCAAAACAUGUGUCAAGCAUGUGGCUUUUCCUCUAAAUCUCCUAAUUUUAAUCGUCUUCUGCACUAUAUUUUGAGCUAUUGUACACUCCCUCCGAUCAUGUCUCCUCGAGAAGUACUUGUUAAAUUAUUCUAUUGUAUCUUAUAUUAACUUUAAUCAAGUAAAUUAUUACAAAGUAAGAUAUCAACUUAGAACAUGUUUUAACUGUAACUGUUAGAGGUCGUUUGGUAGAGUGUAUUAGGAAAAAUAACGCAUGCAUUAGCAUUGUGUAUUACUAGUACCUUGUUUGGUACUCUUUUCCAACCUAUGUAUAACUAAUGCUUGCAUUAGUUAUACACUCUGAUCUAUUGUGUAUUAAGGUGUGUAUUGCUAAUACCAUGGAUUUCUAGGUAUUAGCAAUGCAAUGGUUUUAAUGCAUGCAUUAGAUUAACUAAUGACAAAACUACCCUCUAAGCCUAAUAAUAAUAAUAAUAAUAAUUAUAAUAAUAAUAAUAAUUAUAAUAAUAAUAAUAAUUAUAAUAAUAAUAAUAAUUAUAAUAAUAAUAAUAAUUAUAAUAAUAAUAAUAAUUAUAAUAAUAAUAAUAAUUAUAAUAAUAAUAAUAAUUAUAAUAAUAAUAAUAAUUAUAAUAAUAAUAAUAAUUAUAAUAAUAAUAAUAAUUAUAAUAAUAAUAAUAAUUAUAAUAAUAAUAAUAAUUAUAAUAAUAAUAAUAAUUAUAAUAAUAAUAAUAAUUAUAAUAAUAAUAAUAAUUAUAAUAAUAAUAAUAAUUAUAAUAAUAAUAAUAAUUAUAAUAAUAAUAAUAAUUAUAAUAAUAAUAAUAAUUAUAAUAAUAAUAAUAAUUAUAAUAAUAAUAAUAAUUAUAAUAAUAAUAAUAAUUAUAAUAAUAAUAAUAAUUAUAAUAAUAAUAAUAAUUAUAAUAAUAAUAAUAAUUAUAAUAAUAAUAAUAAUUAUAAUAAUAAUAAUAAUUAUAAUAAUAAUAAUAAUUAUAAGUUGAAGAUAAACUAACAGAAGGAUGAGUAUGCAAUUUUUGGGUAAGAUAGAGGGAUGUUUCUUAUCCAUGAUUAUAUUAGAAUGAUGUACUUUAGAUUUGUGCCAUAGUUGAGAGAUGAUUUCAGUUAAAAAUUUAAAAUACUUUAAUUAAAAUUAAUACGAUUUCUUACCUACUUCCUAAUUGGGAACUUUGUAUUUAUGAUAAAGAAGUAUAAAAAAAUUAUCCCGAACCCAACCAAUAAAUGUUUUUUUAUAAAAUUUAGAACCUAUAGUUUUUUAAUCUUCCAGGGUCCCAUUUUUCUAUGGAUUGAAUCAUCAUAAUAUUUUAUGACAAAAUACUGUAAAAUGGUGUAUGAUUGUAUGGCAUAUAUACCAUUUGUAUAUUCCCCAAAAUCAAUGAUAACCAUUUGUCUCUAACUUUAAUUUUGAAUUGUACUAAUUGAAUAUAUUAAUUGUACAAUACACAUUUAUUUAGUUCAAAGAUUUCCUCUUUGUACUUUAAGCUUCGGAAUGUAUUGUUUUCCUCAUUUUAUGAAGUGUUAUUAGAAAAAAAAAAAAAAAAAGCAUAAUACAUAAACAUGUGAUAUUUAAAUUUGGUCUUAGUUAAAUUAUCCAAUUUAUAAAAUGAUCAUUUAGACUCUUCCAAAAAUUAUUUGUUACGUUAAUGUAGGAUGUCCAUGAGAUACAUUGAGGCCAAGUUGGAGUGUUUAGUUGUUAGUUGAUAGCAAGUUAAAAUAUCUAGACUUGCACUUUCAAAGUUAGAGACUGAUUUUAUGUUGUUUUUUAUUUGUGUGUCUAAUUAUGAUGUUUUAUUCAUAUGGUUUUGAUUUGUGAAUGAAUUUUGAUUUUGCUCAUGUUAUUGUUGAUGGAUUCAUUUUCAGUCACUACUUAAUUAGUUACUAGAUGUGGAUUAAGAUUUUGAGUUUGUAAAUUCUAGAUCACAAUCGAUCUUUUUUGAAGUUUGUUGGAAUGUCAUAACAUAAAUACAUGAUUUGAAUCAAAGUUAUUGAGUUUGAUCAAACCCGUAGAUCCUAUACACGGUGGAUGAGAGAAUUAGAAAUAAUUGGACAAAAUUCAUUUAGGAGUCAUUUGCAAAUGAGAUUGUAUUUGGAUGAGAAUUUUGAAUAUAUUACAUGUUGAUAGUAGUGUCUGAGGUGUUAUAUACAAAUACUUUUAGAACAAACUUUUUUCUUACAUAACGAACACAAAAAGCAAGUAAGAAACUGUAACAUCCGGUAAUUUGAAAUAACUAUGAAGAAGCUUGAAAUUGGAAAUAGUCAUUUUUGGAAAGAAUUCAAAAAUCUGGAAAUUUAGCUAAGUAUGGAAAAAGUGAGUUUUUGGUCAACUUCGAACAGUCAUAACUCCUAGCUCAGGAUGAGUUAGGUGUAUUUCCAGUUAUGUUUGCGAAUCCCUUGGAAUGAUCUUUCCAACGCCGCUGAGUUUGCUCGAUUCCGAGUUCGUAUGAGUGAGUUAUGCCCUUUGGAAGUUGGGCUGUUGGCAUAGGGAAGUUCAUCCGAAUUAGUAAGGGUAUUUUGGUCUUUUCCCUAACCAUUUCUUUUGGUUAUAUUAAGGGUCUAGGAUGAUAAAAAAAUCAGUUUUCCCUUUUAAAAGUGAGAGUUAGGGUUCUUGAGAGAAAAGGAGAGAAGAGGAGAAAGAGAAGAAGAAGCAAAGUUCGUCAAGAUCGUCGUGGUUUUCGUCGGGGGUGAUCCCUAUUAAGGUAUGUGAGAUCAUAGUGUUGGGUUGGUUCAUUCCCCCACACGCCAAACUCGUUUUAAUUUCCGAGAAAAGAUUGGUUGUGUUUGUUGAAGAUUUGGUUAUGUUUGUUGAAGUUUGUGCCUGGUUGUGUUUGUUGAAGUUUCUUGUUGGUUUGGUACAUGUUUCCGGUUGUGUUUUCGAGUUGAAUCUAUUGUAUGUUGAGGGGUUUUAGGAUUCUAAGUGUUUGGGGCUGGAACCUUUGAAGUUAAGGUUGUUUAGAGUUGGAAAAACAAGGGAGAAAAGUCGAGUUUUUUGGGGAAAGGGCUGGCGCGUUGAGCCAGCCAGCACGCCUAAAAAGGGAUUUUGAACUUCCACCCUUGGGGCGGCGCGCCAUGCAGAGCGCCCCACCAGCCCUUCUGAACUUUGAGGGCUGGCGCCCCGCGCCUCUCAGAGCGCCAAGGACGCCAAGUCUUCCCAUUCAUUCCCCACUUUUUCAUACAUGUUCCUUAGCAAUGUACCUAUGUUUUAUAGUUGUUUUCAACACUCCAAGGUACGUCUAAACAUCAAGAACUCAUCCAUAAACAUGAGAUCUUUACCCUUGAAUUCAUAAUCCGAUUCGAGGAAAGUUCGGACCAAAGUCAAGUGAAGUUAGAGUCAAGCUUAGAAGUUAAGAAGUAAGUCGAAGCAAGUCUUUAAAGUUUUUCAAGAGUCUUUAUUGAACGUUUUAACUUCAUUUUAAGACUCAAGUUUCAAGGUGAGUAAAGAGUAUAGAGUUUCAAGUUAAGUAAAGAGUAUAGAGUUUCAAGUUGAGUAAAGAUUAUAGAGUUGAGUUCAUUUCUCAAGAGUUAUUAGGGAACUAAGUAUUCCCAAAGAAGUUUAGAAAUGUUUUCACAUUUGAGUAAGAAAGGAACAAUGAUUUCCAAAAGAGCCUUUGGGCUAGUUUUCAAGAAAAAGAAACAUCGAUUCCAAGUGAGCCUUUGGGCUAGAUUUUGAGCAAUUAUCUCAAACUAAAGAAAGAUGUGUUUAAAACACUUAUGAGCUAAAGUAUAUUUUGGGAGUAGUCUUGAGCACUGAAUUGGGGACACGAGUUCAUAUUAACUCAACUCUCCAUAAGAACCAUGUAGCCAACAUGGGAGUUAACGGGUCAUACUUUUUAGAUGAACCCGUAAAGUUAAGCUAGUGGAUCCACUUAGUAAAGUUAGCUUGUUAACGAGUCAUACUUUUUAAAUAAUCACGUAAGAUUAAGCUAGUGGAUCCACUAAGUUAAGUAAGGUCCUAUAUCACGGCAAGGUAUAGGAUGUUCCUUGGCCAACGUGAGGUAAAACGUUGUAUCAUCACUAGGGCUCAUAGUGGUGGUUGUCGGUUAAAGAAUCUCCUACUAAAGUUAUAUUACUUUUAUAUAAGUAAAGUUGAGUUUGUUAUUGUUUUAUCCUUAACGAACUAAGUGGUUUACACUGUUUUUACAAGCUUUAUAUAUUGCAUGUGUCUUAUUGCUUUAUAUUGAGUUCGGUUGUUCAUGAGUCGAACAGAGCUAAGGUAAGAGUUCCUUUGUAUUCCUUUCAAGCUUAAGUUGUUGUUAGCUUCCCAGCUCGCAUACUCGUACAUUCAAUAUACUGAUGCCAGUUUGACUGCAUCUUAUUAUGAUGCAGACGCAGGUACCCAGGAUCAGCAUCCAGCACGCCGUUGAUCCAGCUGAGCACUCCAGAGUCAGUGGUGAGCCUCUUUACUUUCCGGAGGACUCUAUUAUUUCGUUUUCCUAGUUUUGUUUUAUUAGGAUGUUGCGGGGUCUGUCCCAACAUCCAUCUCAGUGUUAUAGAAGCUGCAUAGACAGUCAGUCAGUUAGUAUUGAGUCUCUCAUCUAUGUAUAUAUGUAAAUAUUCUAUUUUGAGACACGAGUUGCCUUUUGGCCAGAUUUUAUCAGUUAGGUUGUUUUAUGACCUUUCAUUGCAUUGAGUUAUUCUGUCGAGUUAAGUUUCCACUGAGUUAAGAAAGUUGGGCCAAGGGUUUGCUUGGGGCCAGCAAUGGUCUUCAAGUGCCAGCCACGUCCAGGGUGUAGACUUGGGGCGUGACAAUCUCUUUUAAGAAAAAGAUGAGUUUUGCGAAAGAGUUUCUAAAACAUGAUUAGUAUGACAAUCGAGUAUGUUAUCAAUGUUUAAACAGUAUGGUCUCUAGAUAUACCAUCAAUGUUUAUGAAGUAUGACUUCUCGAGUCAUCAAUGAUCAUAUUAAAAUAUGGUUUUGAUAUGUUUCUUUUUUUUUAAAACAGUUUUCAAGAGCAAUUACCUCUUUUAAGAGGGUAGUUUUGAGUAAUUUUCUCAAACUAAAUAAAGAAGUUUGUUUUAAAGCUUAUGAGCUAAAGUAUAUUUUUGGGAGUAGUCUUGAGCACCGAAGUGGGUAUACGAGUUCAUAUUAACUCAACUCUCCAUAAGAACCAUGUGGCCAACAUGAGAUUUAACGGGUCAUACUUUUUAAAUGAUCACGUAAGUUAAGCUAGUGGAUCCACUAAGUUAAAGUUAAAGUAAGGUCCUAUAUCACGGCAAGGUAUAGGAUGGUCCUUGGGCAACGUGAGGUAAAACGUUGUAUCAUCACUAGGGCUCAUAGUGGUGGUGAUCGGUUAGAGAAACUCCCAUAGUAGAAAUGGUUCCUCGAGGGGUUCUGCUUAGUAUGGAUGGGGGUAUGGGACUUCACUCAUACAUUGCACAAGUAGACCUUGAAAGGAAGCAUGGUAUUUUAUGAUAUUAUAANNNNNNNNNNNNNNNNNNNNNNNNNNNNNNNNNNNNNNNNNNNNNNNNNNNNNNNNNNNNNNNNNNNNAUGGGGGUAUGGGACUUCAUUCAUGCAUUGCACAAGUAGACUUUGAGAGGGAGCGUGAUAUUUUUAUGAUAUUAUAAAUGUGAUUUUUGACGUCAUGUUUUAAUAGUUUUACAAGCUUUAUAUAUUGCAUGUGCGUUAUUGCUUUAUAUUGAGUUUGGUUAUUCAUGAGUGUCUGUCCCAACAUCCAUCUCAGUAUGUUAGUGGCUUCAUAGACAGUCAGUCAGUUAGUAUUGAGUCUCUCAUCUAUGCAUAUAUAAAUAUUCUAUUUUGAGACGAGUUGCCUAUUGGCCAGAUUUUAUCAGUUGGGUUGCUUUAUGACCUUUCUUUGCAUUGAGUUAUUCUGUUGAGUUAGGUUUCCGCUGAGUUAAGAAAGUCAGGCCAAGGGUUCACUUGGGGUCAGCAAUGGUCUUCGAAUGUCGGUCCCGCCCAGGGUGUAGGCUCGGGGCGUGACAGAAACCUACUUAUUCUCCGAAAAAGCAUUUUUCAAAAAGACAUUUUAGAGGCAUUGUUAUCAUUUGGUAGAUCCAGGUUCAUGGCCUAUUUCUAUGGAACACAUUCUCCAUAGUACCGAACACAGUCUCAGAACUUUGUUUGUUGAUAUCCACUGUUAUGGACCUCACUUGUGGAAUUUCAUUGGAUGUGUUGUUGAUGUUUGAGUUGAUAUGCCGUGCUGAAAAUCUUUGUGGGUAGGAGGGAGUAUAAGAAUGAUCCACAACUCCCGGCAACGAUGUAAUAAGAAAUUUGUUUGUUAUGUAUAAAAGAAUUAUCCCGAACCUGGCCUUUUUUCAUAAAAUUCAGAACCUAUAAUUUUUUAAUCUUCCCGGGGUCCCCUUUUUCUAUAGAUUGAAUUAUCAUAAUAUUUUAUGACAAAAUAUUGUAAAGGUGUAUGAAAUGGUAUAUUGCUCAAAAUCAUGGUAAUACCAUUUAUUUAUAACUUUAAAAUUUUGAAUUGUACUAAUUGAAUAUAUUAAUUUCACAAUGUACUUUUAUUUAGUUCAAAGUUUUCCUCGUUGUACUUUAAGCUUUGGAGUGUAAUGUUUUUCCGCAUUUUAUGAGGUGCUAAGAUUAGAAAAAGGCAUAAUACAUGAAUAGACGAUAUUCAAAUUUGGUCUUAAUUAAAUUCUCCAAUUUAUAAAUUGAUCACUUAGACUCUUCCAAUAAUUAUUUAUUACAUCAAUGUAGGGUGUUCACGAAAUACGAGAUACAGUGAAGCCAAAUUAAAAUAUUUAGAUGUACACUUCCACAAGAAGGUUAACCAAAAUGAAAGGGAAGUUUCCCAACAUAUUUUUUCUUAGAUAUGUCUCAUUCACUUUUACCUUUACUUUUACUUUUACGGUUACUCUUUUUUUUGUGUGUUAUAUUUGAAUUUGACAUACCACUAAAAAUAUUAUUGGGACUUCUUUUAUAUUUGUCCUUUCUUAUUGAGUAUGCUAAAGUAUACACUUAAAUUUGUAUAAAAUUAAAUAAAUAGACAUGGCGUCUUACAUGAAAAUUUGUGUCCUAUAUGUAUUACGUCACAUAAAAUGAGUAUGUCUACUUGUUCAAUUUUAUACAAGUUUAAGUGUUUAUUUGUACACAUCUAAAGUUGGAGGACAUAGAUGUCAGCAAAAACCAAGUUAAAUGACAUAUAUUUUUUUUUAUAUCUUUAGAAAUAUUCAAAAGAAUAAUAGUGAAAAGUAAAUUUUGAUUUUUGUCUUUAAAUUUAAGCGGUACAAACUUCUUUUCUUAUACAACUAGGAUAACAGUUCUCUCUUGAUAUGUCACCUCUUUCACAUUAAUUGUCGUCCUAACUCUUUGUUUAAACUUCUUUGUUGGCAUCUCAAAGUCAAUCAUUCUUUGAAUCUCUUUCACAUUUUUAAGUGAAUUGAAAUAAAUGGACAAAAUUCAUUUAGGAGUCAUUUGCAAAUCAGAUUGUAGUUGGAUGAGAAUGUUGAAUAUUACAGAUUGAUAGUAGUGUCUAAGGUGACUGUUAUAUACAAAUACUUUAAGAACAAACUUUUUUCUUACAUAACGAACGCAAGAAAAUAAGUAAGAAAUCUACUUAUUCUCCGGAAAAACAUUUUCCAAAAAGACAUUUUAGAGGCAUUGUUAUCAUUUGGUAGAUCCAGGUCCAUUGCCGAUUUCUAUGGAACACAUUCUCCAUGGUUCCGAACACACUCUCAGAACUUUGCUCGUUGAUAUCCACUGUUACGGACCUCACUUGUGGAAUUUCAUUGGAUGUGUUGUUGUUGUUUGAGUUGAUAUGCCAUGCUGAAAGUCUUUGUUGUUGUUUGAGUUGAUAUGCCAUGCUGAACGCUUUAUAUGGGCAACAGUAACAGCGAAGUGUUCAAGCUCAUGUGCAUCGCAAAGGCGGCAAACAAACCAGAGAACCAUUCCUAAGAACUUGUUAUUAUGUACUGUGGGCAUAGUCAAACAAAUAAGAUAAAAGAAUUUACUGACUUUAUUUCCUUGUAGAACAUCUCGGACUUAUUGAGGUUUGAACAAUCUACUCAAUUUUCUAGAGUCUCGAGGUGAUUCCAUACGAACAAUUUCUCUUCCCAUAUCUCGCACUAGAUCAUGCAUCACCAAAUAACGCCAAUCCCUUUGGAGAAAGUUCCUUUGGACUAAGGUUGAAAUUGCACUUUCAGAAUAAAAACCACACGCGUUUAAUGUUUUGAUAACUUCAUCCUCAAAAAAUUCAUGGAAGGCACACGCAAUAUCAAGGAAAACACUUUGAGUAUCACAAUCAAGUCCGUCAAAGCUUAUCUUGAGGAUCUUUUGAAUAUCACAAUGAGGAAUUGCUCUUAGUUUUUUGAACUCGUAUCUCCAUUCUUUAACGGAUCUCCCUCACAAUCAAGUCCGUCAAAGCUUAUCUUGAGGAUCUUUUGAAUAUCACAAUGAGGAAUUGCUCUUAGUUUUUUGAACUCGUAUCUCCAUUCUUCUACGGAUCUCCCUUGUAAAUGUGACCCCAAUGUCACAAGAGCUAACGGUAGCCCACCUGAAUAUUUGAUUAUGCUUUGUGCAACCUCAACAUAUUCUUGUGGCGGAGAAGGACUACUAAAAGCAUGACAAGAAAAAAGUUGUUGAGCUUCAUCUUGAUUUAAAUGUUUUGCCUUGUAUCUCUCGUUUUCUCUAAUCCGAGAUAGCAAAUGCUUGUCUCGGGUUGUAAUAAUUAUUAAACUACCAGAACCAAACCAACUUCUUUCUCUUGUUAAGGAUUCUAAUUGGCUCAUAUAAUCCACGUCAUCAAGAAUAAUUAGAACCUUCUUUGACCCAAGUCUUGCUUUGAUUAGAUUGAUGCCUUCAGCAACACUGGUAACUUUGACGUCCUUAGUUUUGAGAAUUUGAUUUAGUAGUUUUUCUUGUAACUUGACUAAACCAAAUGCUUCAGCUUCUGAUCUAACAUCUGAAAGGAAGCAACUAAUAUCAAAGUGUCGAAAUAUUUGAUUGUAGAUAGCUUUAGCCAGAGUUGUUUUUCCUAUUCCACCUACGCCAUAUAUACCAACCAUGCGAACUUCAUCUACACAUCCUUUUUGGAGUAACAACUCUAUAUCUUCGACACGAGAAUCUACUCCAACAGGAUGCCAAGCAAUAUCUAGAGGUGUCUGGUUUACCUCUAGUAGAACUUGUUUUACAAUACUUUCAAUAAAUUUUGAUUCAUGUCUGCAUAUUAGCAAAAACAAAAGUUAGAAUAAAAAAAACAACUUUGAUGUGUGGAAAAAAAAUAAUUGAUAACCAACUUAUGACUUUUGACUGAUAAGUCAGUUUGACCAGUUUAUAAAUAUUACCCGUCAACAACAUUUCGCAAAUCCCAUCCAGAUAAAUUUGCGCUAAUUCAGUAAGUGAAUCCGUCCAUUUUUUCAUUCUCUCAACCUCGAAUGAUCGCUCCUUAAGCAUAGCUAAAACUUCACCAAAGUAUCCGGUUUGCUUGCGUACAUGAGAAGGAUGAACAUCAUAGAAAAUAGGCAAAACUAUUUUCUUUAACUUGUCUUUGCAUUCGAGAAUUUUAACAAGUUCAUCAAGACACCAACUAGACGAAGCAUAAUUUUUCGAGAAAACAACAAUGGAAACUCUAGACUCUUCAAUUGCUUUCUCAAGUUCUUUUGAAAUCACCUUGCCUUUUCUUAAUUCCUCAUCAUCUAUGAAGGUAUUAAUUCCAACUUGACAUAAUCUGGAAUAAAGAUGACCUGUGAAGGUUUUUCGAGUAUCUUCACCUCUGAAACUCAGAAACACGUCAUAAGAGAAGUUGGAAGAAGUAGUUGAUGAUUCCCCUACAACAAAUUGAGUAUUCAUAUUUGAUGACUAAUAUAUGGAAGAAUGAGUAGCUAUCUAUAUAAUAUACCAUGCACAUGCUAUGGUUUUUUCUUGGUAACUUAACUAAUGCUAUAUAUUCUUUAAUUUAUUUUGUACAAUUAUUCUUCAUUAAAUUUUGUUAAUUGGGACUUUUUUUUUAAUGAUUCUUUACCUUUUGUCUCAUCUUUAAUUUGUUAAAGACUUGAAUGAUAAAAAGUAAGAUUCUUUCUUCCUUGAAAACUCAAAAGUUCAUCUCUCCACAUAAUUAUGAUGAUGUUAAGCUUGAUGUCAUAAUCUUUUAAUAAUGGAAUUGAAAACAUCGAUUUGUUCUCAAUUCACAAGUUGGAUUAAACUUUUUUUUCUUUUUUACCUAAUCAAGUAGUAUCGCAUAAAUUAUAACGAUAAUUUUUUAAAAGAAAUUAAAACACUUUGUAUUAAUAGUAAAAACUAGGAAACUUUGUCGUAAUAAAACUAACUACUAGUCUAUUGCAACUAUUAAACAAGUAAACAACUAAUAAAACUAAUUGGAUCACUCUUACUGAACCAUUGGUCUUAAUCCUAUACCUAUCAUACUGAUAUAGAGGUGAAUUCAGAACUUAAAAUUUAUGAAUUCUUAUAAAAAAUAAAUAAAUUUAUGAAUGAUAAUAAUUGAGUUCAUAAUCAAAUUAUAUUAAUUACUUAAUGAUUUUCUUAGUACAUAUAAAUAAUAUGAAUAAAAUCUAUUGAGUUCACACUAACCUCUCUAUAAUAAUCAAAUCAGUAAUUUUGAUCCAAAUUGAACUUUGUAUUUAUGAUAAUAAAUUUGUUUGUUAUGUGUAAAAAUAAUAUCCGGAACCCGAUCCGACCAGUAAAUGCUUUUUAUAAAAUUGAGAACCUAUAAAUAUAAAAUCGAAAUGCCAGUAGCAGUCAUAGUAUUUGGAACAAAGAAAAGCAAGGGAAUAACAAACCAUAUCUUCUGCUCCAACUUCACUUUCUUUAUAGUAUUUUUGAAAGGAAAAAAGGGAAUAGAAUUAAAUAUUAUCAGAAUGCCAACCAAAUAUUGAUUUUGUGCUCUAUCCUUACUGUGGGAAAAAAAAGAAAAUGUAAUUUAUUUGUGCAGUUUUUUAAUCUUCCAGGCGUCCCAUUUUUCUAUGGAUUGAAUUAUCAUAAUAUUUUAUGACAAAAUACUGUAAAAUGGUGUAUGACUGUAUGGGAAAUAUAAUAUUUGUAUAUUCCUCAAAAUCAUGAUAAUACCAUUUGUUUCUAACUUUUUAAUUGUACUAAUUGAAUAGAUUAAUUGUACAAUAUACUUUUGUUUAGUUCAAAGUUUUCCUCUUUGUACUUUAAGCUUGUGUGUCACGUCAGUAUAGGGUGUCCACGAGACACAUUAAGGGUGAGUUGGAGUGUUUAGCUGUUAGUUGAGAUGUCUAUAUGUACACUUUUAAUUAGUUACGCUUGCGAAAUUUUAAUUGGAUGACAAAACUAGGAUCGAAGUUUCGAGUGGUUAGCAUCUGACGGAUGAAAAAAAAAUCUAAAUGAAAAAUACUUUUUAGCGAAUCAGCUUGUAGUUGGAUGAGAAUUUUGAAUAUUACAGAUUGAUAGUAGUGUCUUAGGUGUUAUAUACAAAUACUUUAUGAACAAACGUUUUUCUUACAUAACGAUCACAAGAAAAUAAGUAAGAAACCUACUUAUUCUCCGGAGAAACAUUUUCCAAAAAGACAUUUUAGAGGCAUUGUUAUCAUUUGGUAGAUCCAGGUCCAUGGCCUACUUCUAUGGAACACAUUUUCCAUGGUACAUAACACAUUCUCAGAACUUUGCUCGUUGAUAUCCACUAAUACGGACCUCACUUGUGGGAUUUCACUGGAUGUGUUGUUGUUGUUUGAGUUGAUAUACCAUGCUGAAAGUCUUUGUGGGUAGGAGGGAGUAUAAGAAUGAUCCACAACUGCCGGGAAAGAAGUAACAUUACCAUGUUGAUCUACAUAUAAUAGACGUACUCCUAUCUUCUUUACAACGGCUCCGCCAGUGCGAUCCUCUACUGUUAUCUGUUCCCCGCCUUUGAUCUUCAGGCCAUUAAAAGGUCUAUUGUUUGAGUAAGAGAAGUAAUAUACACGUGAUAUUUCUCCCUGACUGUCAGGUAUAUUAAAAUGCGAACUCCACCAAAAAGUUGAAGACUCUACAUGGGCAACAGUAACAAUGAAGCUUUGAAGAUAGGAGGAUACAUUGCCAAAGUGGCAAACAAACCAGAGAACCAUUCCCAAGAACUUAUUAUUAUGUACUGUGGGCAUAGUCAAACAGAUAGAUGGAGCUGUUACUUUAUUGCUGCACCAAUCUGGAAUCUCAUUGCUUUCGAGAUUAAUUUGUAAUGACAUCUUCAUCAGACAAAUUAAGACACAAUUAGAUCAUUAAUUAUUAAUGUGAUACGAGGGAGAGAUCAGAGAGGGAGAGGGACUAACCUUAUACCGUUGAUGUUUUCUAGACGGAAUUGAUAGAGCAUGGGCACUAAAGAAGCCUUCAUUGAAUGGAUUCUGCAGACGAGUACAAUUAAUCAUGUCCACCUUCUCUAUUGAAGGGAGGUAGUCCGACCCUGUAAUCUUGACCAGUUUUUGGCAAUUCCUAAGUUCAACAAUUGCAAGGUGCUCUAAAUUUGAUAUUGACGGGAGUGUUUGAAGGUUCUCACAAUCAUUCAAAUAUAAGGACGUCAACAAUGGUAACUUGGAAAAAUCAAAGGGUAGAUAGAGGAAACUGUUGCCGCUCAAAUCUAAAAAAUAUAAGUUGGAUAAACUCCCAAUAUCCCUAGGAACAUCAGCCUCCGAGAAACCACAAUAUGAAAGGCGUAGAUUCAAAAUAAAUUUUGACAAGGACACUAUGGGGCGUACUCUUCUUUGAGAAAAACUCCUUUUGGCCUUUAAGUAUUGGCCUCCCAUUUCCAAUUCUACAAGAUUUCGUAGCAUUUCAACAGAUCCAGGCAAUUGUUUUAUACCUGUUUCACGUGCAUUAAGAUAUCUUAGGCUUUGCAUAGCUCCAAUGUUAACUGGCAGUGUUUGUAAAGACGAGCAGUCAUUAAUGUACAAGGUUUUAAGGGAUUUUAGCUGGCAUAUGCUGCUCGGAAGAUCCGUAAUAUUUUUUGCAACCAUUCAAUUGAAGAUCAGUUAGUCUGUCCAAAUUUCCUAUUGAUGGAUGGAUCUCCUUCAGACUUGAAGCAAUUCUCAAGCAACAAAGUCUCGAGACUUCGUGAACCGUUGAAGUUUGGAGUUUUUCUGAGGCGCUUGCAAUCAGAGAGAUCCAGCAUUUUCAAAUUUCUACAAUACUAAAAGUAAACAAAAUAUUGUUUCAAUUAAGAUUUUCUUUCCCUUAAACAUUACACAUAAAUUUGCAAAAUUGAGUAACGAACCUGCAAAUUCAAACCAAAUUCUAGGAUAUUGCUCCCUUUCAUAUUCAGAAAUACAAGUUUCUCAGAUGGAAAAUUUGAUGGUACACAUUUUAAAGGACAUCCUUUCCAAGACAGCCAUCUGAGCUCCUUGGACAAUAGCUCAAAAUCUCCACUAAUAUGUAAAGUCGUCGAUUUUUAAGCACCCUAAGAUUUAUCAUUUUCUGAAAUGCUUUUGGUGUUCAGCUUCACACCCUUUAAUGCCUGUCGUUCUACCACCAAUAUUUCUACAUUUUUAGAACCCUACAGUUUAGUAAAAAGAAAAGUACUAUAAGACCAUGUUAAGUAUGAUAAAUUAAGAAAGAGAAAUGCUUUAUACAAAUUGAAGGUCAAACAAAUAGAAUAAAUUAUGUACCAAUAAAAAAAAAAUUACACAUUAUAUCCAACUAAAGGAUGUUUAUUUGAUAAUUUUGUCUUUGAUAGUUUGUUUAGACUUCAGUAAAUGUUCAUUUCAAGUACAGAAUGGUUCAAACAUCUAAAGAUACUUACUAACGGGAGAAGAUUUAAGCACAAAUGCAUAAAUUAUAAGCAAAUGUAUAUCAAUAUGAAAAAAGAAGAAGAAGAAGUAUAACCAAGAUAAAGAUAAUGAAAUUUACUGACUUUAUUUCCUUGUAGGACAUCAAGGACUUCUUGAGGGUUGACCAAUCUACUCCGUUUUCCACUGUCUCGAGGUGAUUCCAUGCGAACGAUUUCUCUUCCCACAUCCUGCACUAGAUCAUGCAUCACCAAACGACGCCGAUCCCUUUGGAGCAGGUGUCUUUUGACUAGAGUUACAAUUGCACUUUCACAAUACAAACCACAGGCGUUUAAUGUUUUGGUAACUUCAUCCUCAUCACAUCCAUGGAAGGCGCACGCAAUAUCAAGGAAAACAUUCUGAGUAUUGUCAUCAAGUCCAUCAAAGCUUAUUUGGAGAAUCUUUUGAAUAUCAAAAUGAGGAAUUGUUCUUAGUUUUUCGAACUCGUAUCUCCAUUCUUCAACGGAUCUCCCUUGUAAAUGUGACCCCAAUGUCACAAGAGCUAAUGGUAGCCCACCUGAAUAUUUAAUUAUGUUUUGGGCCAGCUCAACAUAUUCAUGUGGUGGAGAAAGACUGUUAAAAGCAUGACAAGAAAAAAGUUGUUGUGCUUCGUUGCCAUUUAAAAGUUUGGCCCGGUAUAUCUCAUUUGUUGUAAGACCAUAAAGCAAAUGCUCGUCUCGGGUUGUAAUAAUUAUAACACUACCAGAACCAAACCAAUUUCUUUCUCUUGUUAAGGAUUCUAAUUGGCUUCUAUGAUCCACAUCAUCAAGAACAAUUAGAACCUUUUGGGACCCAAGUCUUGCUUUGAUGAGAUUAACACCUUCAGCAACACUAUCAACUUCAAAUUCCUUAGUUUUGAGGAUUUGAUGAAGUAGUUUCUCUUGAAGCUUGAUUAGACCCAAUUCUUCAGCUUUUGAUCUAACAUCUGAAAGGAAGCAACUACCACCAAACUGUAGAAAUAUUCUAUUGUAGAUGGCUUUUGCUAGAGUUGUUUUUCCAAUUCCACCAACGCCACAUAUACCAACCAUUCGAACUUCAUGCUCACAUCCACUUUGCAUUAACAACAAUAUAUCUUUGAUAGGAGAAUCUAAUCCAAUUGGAUAAUGAGCAACAUCUAGAGGUGUCUGGUUGACUUCUUGCAGAACUUGUUUUAUAAUACUUUCAAUAAAUUUUGAUUCAUGCCUACAGUUUUUUUAGCAAAAACAGUAAAAAACAAAACUUUGAUAUUUGAAAAUAUAUGAUGAACAAAACAAAAUCCAUAGCCAACAGAUAACAGGGAAAUCGAGGGUAGAGAAUGGAGAUUAUCAAUUACUAUUACUCCCUCGUUCCAAUUUAUGUGAUGCAGUCUGAUUUGGCACGGAGAUUAAGAAAUAUAAAAAGAAUUUGCAAUGUUCCAAAACUAACCAACUUAUAAGCUUAGGCAAAUGCUUAAAUUCAAAAUUCUAAAGUUGAAUUAAGAAGUGUUACCCAUCAGCAACAUUUCUCAAAUCCCAUCCAGAUAAAUUUGCUGCUUCAGUAAGUGCAGCUUUCCACUUUUCCAUUCUUUCAGUUCCAAUUGAUCGUUCCUUGUGUUUUGCCAAAGCUUCGCCAAAGGAUCCAGUUUGUCUUCGUACUUGAGAAGGAUCAACAUCAUAGAAAAUAGGCAAAACUAGCUGAUUUAACCUCUCUCUGCAAUCGAGAAUUUUGACAAGUUCAUCAAGACACCAACUAGAGGAAGCAUAAUUUUUGGAGAAAACAACAAUGGCAACCCUAGAUUGUUCAAUUGCUUUCUCAAGUUCAAUUGAAAUGACGUCUCCCUUUCUCAAUUCCUCAUCAUCUAUGAAAGUAUUAACUCCGACUUGACAUAAUCUGAAAUAAAGAUGACCGGUAAAGUUGUUUCUGGUAUCUUCACCUCUGAAACUGAGAAACACAUCAUAAGAGAAGUUGGAAGAAGAAGAUGAUUCUCCUUGAGUAUUCAUAUUUGAUGACAAUAAAUGGAAGAAUUAAGCGAUUUUUAGUUGAAUGAAAGAAAAGAUGAGUGAAGCAGUUACAGGUAAUUGUUUGUUCCUGGAAACUCAAUUUUGGGUCAACUCAUUUACAAUCCCUAAAGAAAGUUAAUCGAAACGAAAGGGAAGUUCCCAGCAUAUUUCUUAGAUAGUUCACGUGUCUAUAUUAAAAGUAGAUAUAUUUACAUAAAUUUAGAUGGCAAAAAGUAAUCUCUUUCUCUUAAUUAAUUACUUCUCCACUUUUGAAUUGACACACCUGAGUAUUAAGAAAACAAUAAGAAGUAGUAGAAAUAAUUAGGGAUGAUAAUGAGAUAGCGUGGAUGAAAGGUAGGGCGGAUUAAAGGUUAUAUGGGGCGGGGGCGGGGAGCUUUUAAGGUUGUAUGGGGUUGGGUGGAUGCAAAUUAAUGUGAGGCGGUGCGAUUUGUGGGUUCAUGUGAUUUUAUACGGAUUCAAAUUUAAUUUUAAUUGUAUAGGUUAUAAGAGUGAUGAAGCUUUCACGGAUAAAAAUACACAUGAUUUGGUAGUUAAACUAUUAGUAUUAGGAUUAGGAUAAAAUAAAGAGAAUAAUCUUGCCCUUUGUCUUGUAUUGUGUUAUAAUUCAUAUAAAAAAAUUUAUCUGAUUUGGAGUCUACUCAAUUUUCAAAAGAAAAAAAAAACUUUAAUUCAUGAUGUGCACUUUAUUUAUGCUUUUAUUUGCAUCUACUUAUUUUGACCCAACGAAAAUGAAUUUUGUUAUUUAUGCUCUGCAUAAAUUGCAUCUAGUUAAAAAGAAUUUUGAAAUAUUGAGUUUUAUGAAUUUGAUUUUAUUUUAUUUUCUACAAAAAUUGUGUGAUCAUUUGGUAAUGGCCAUUACUAUUGCUCAAAGAUUUUAAACAUGAAAUAUAACUAAUACAAUAAUAAUUUUAAUAUAGCUUACUAAAAUAUUCAAGAUAAUAAAUGAAAAUGAUUAGAGUUUUCGAUAAAACUCAUCCUCAAACUAUAGCCUAGAUUUUGGUUACAUCCUUGCAUUAUUAUAUUGAACAAAAAACAUCAUUCAUCUAUCUAAGAAGUUUCAAUAGUCAUCCUUCGGUUAAUUUUGGUAAAAAGUUAACUUGUUAUCGUCAAAAUAUGUGUAAAGCAUGUAGGUUUCCCUCUAAAUCUCCUAACCUAAAUCGUCUUCUCCACUAUAUUUUGAGCUAUUGCACUUUAGAUUUGUGUCAUAGUUGAAGGAUGAUUUCAGUAAAAAAUUUAAAAUAAUUUAAUUAAAAUUAAUACAAUUUCUUACCUACUUCCUAAUUGGGAACUUUGUAUUUAUGAUAAAGAAGUAUAAAAAAGUUAUCCCGAACCCGACCAGUAAAUGCUUUUUUAUAAAAUUUAGAACCUAUAGUUUUUUAAUCUUCCAGGGGUCCCAUUUUUCUAUGGAUUGAAUUAUCAUAAUAUUUUAUGACAAAAUACUGUAAAAUGGUGUAUGAUUGUAUGGCAUAUAUACCAUUUGUAUAUUCCCCAAAAUCAAUGAUAACCAUUUGUCUCUAACUUUAAUUUUGAAUUGUACUAAUUGAAUAUAUUAAUUGUACAAUAUACAUUUAUUUAGUUCAAAGAUUUCCUCUUUGUACUUUAAGCUUUGGAGUGUAUUGUUUUCCGCAUUUUAUGAAGUGUUACUAUUAGAAAAAAAGGCAUAAUACAUAAACAUGUGAUAUUCAAAUUUGGUCUCAGUUAAAUUCUCCAAUUUAUAAAAUGAUCAUUUAGAUUCUUCCAAAAUUAUUUGUUAUGUUAAUGUAGGAUGUCCACGAGAUACAUUGAGGCCAAGUUGGAGUGUUUAGCUGUUAGUUAAUAGCAAGUUAAAAUAUCUAGACGUGCACUUUCAAAGUUAGAGACUGAUUUUAUGUUGUUUUUUAUUUGUGUGUCUAAUUAUGAUGUUUUAUUUAUAUGGUUUGAUUUGUGAAUGAAUUUUGAUUUUGCUCAUGUUAUUGUUGAUGGAUUCAUUUUCAGUCACUACUUAAUUAGUUACUAGAUGUGGAUUAAGAUUUUGAGUUUGUAAGUUCUAGAUCUCAACCGAUCAUUUUUGAAGUUUGUUGGAAUGUCAUAACAUAAAUACAUGAUUUGAAUCAAAGUUAUUGAGUUUGAUCAAACCCGUAGAUCCUAUACACGGUGGAUGAGUGAAGCAGAAAUAAUUGGACAAAAUUCAUUUAGGAGUCAUUUGCAAAUGAGAUUGUAUUUGGAAGAGAAUUUUGAAUAUUACAUAUUGAUAGUAGUGUCUAAGGUGUUAUAUACAAAUACUUUUAGAACAAACUUUUUUCUUACAUAAUGAACACAAGAAAAUAAGUAAGAAAACCUACUUAUUCUCCGGGGAAACAUUUUCCAAAAAGACAUUUUAGAGGCAUUGUUAUCAUUUGGUAGAUCCAGGUCCAUGGCCUAUUUCUAUGGAACACAUUCUUCAUGGUACCGAACACAAUCUCAGAACUUUGUUCGUUGAUAUCCACUGUUACGGACCUCACUUGUGGGAUGUGUUGUUGUUGUUUGAGUUGAUAUGCCCGAAAGUCUUUGUGGGUAGGAGGGAGUAUAAGAAUGAUCCACAACUCCCGGCAAAGAUGUAACAUUACCAUGUUGGUCCAAGUAUAACAGAUGGAUCCCUAUCUUCUUUACUAGUCUCUGUCAGUUUCAUUCUUUACUGUUAUCUGUUCCCCACCUUUGAUGUUCAGGCCUUUAAAAGGUCUAUCAUUUACGGAAGAUAAGUAAUAUACACAUGAUACUUCUCCGUGACUGUUAGGUCUAUCAAAAGGCCAAAUCCACGGAAAACCUGUACUCUUUUUAUGGGCAACAGUAACAGCGAAGUGUUCAAGAUCAUGUACAUCGCAAAGGCGGCAAACAAACCAGAGAACCAUUCCUAAGAACUUGUUAUAAUGUACUGUGGGCAUAGUCAAACAGAUAGAUGGAGCUGUUACUUUAUUGCUGCACCAAUCUGGAAUCUCAUUGCUUUCGAGAUUAAUUUGUAAUGACAGCUUCAUCAGACAAAUUAAGACACAAUUAGAUCAUUAAUUAUUAAUGUGAUACGAGAGAGAUCAGAGAGGGAGAGGGACUAACCUCAUACCGUUGAUGUUCUCUAGACGGAAUUGAUAGAGCAGGGGCACUAAAGAAGCCUUCACUGAAUGGAUUCUGCAGACGAGUACAAUUAAUCAUGUUCAUCUUCUCUAUUGAAGGGAGGUUGUCCAACCCUGCAAUCUUGACCAGUUUUUGGCAAUUCCUAAGUUCAACAAUUUCAAGGUACUCUAAAUUUGAUAUUGACGGGAGUGUUUGAAGGUUCUCACAAUCAUUCAAAUACAAGGACAUCAACAAUUGUAACUUGGAAAAAUCAAAGGGUAGAUAGAGGAAACUGCUGCCGCUCAAAUCUAAAUGAUAUAAGUUGGAUAAACUCCCAAUAUCCCUAGGAACAUCAGCCUCUGAAAAACCACAAUAUGGAAGGCAUAGAAUCGAAAUAAAUUUUGACAAGGAUACUAUAGGGCGUACUCUUGUUUGAGAAAACCUCCUUUUGGUCUCAAAGUAUUGACCUCCCAUUUCCAAUUCUAUAAGAUUUCCUAGCAUUUCAACAGAUCCAGGCAAUUCUUUUAUACCUGUUUCACGUGCAUUAAGAAAUCUUAGGCUUUGCAUAUCUCCAAUGUCAACUGGCAGUGUUUGUAAAGAUGAGCAGUCAUUAAUGUACAAGAUUUCAAGGGAUUUUAGCUGACAUAUGCUGCUCCAAAGAUCAGUAAUCUUUUUGCAACCACUCAAUCGAAGACAAAUUAGUCUGUCCAAAUUUCCUAUGGAUGGAUGGAUCUCCUUCAGACUUGAGCAAUUCUCAAGCCACAAAGUCUCGAGACUUCGUGAACCGUUGAAGUUUGGAGUUUUUCUGAGGCGCUUGCAAUAAGAGAGAUCCAGCAUUUUCAAAUUUCUACAAUACUAAAAGUAAACAAAACAUAGUUUCAAUUAAGAUUUUCUUUCUCUUAAACAUUACACAUAAAAUUGCAGAAUUGAGUAACGAACCUGCAAAUUCAAACCAAAUUCUUGGAUAUUGCUCCCUUUCAUAUUCAGAAAUACAAGUUUCUCAGAUGGAAAAUUUGAUGGUACACAUUUUAACGGACAUCCUUUCCAAGACAACCAUCUGAGCUCCUUGGACAAUAGCUCAAAAUCUCCACUAAUAUGUAAGUGGUCUAUUUUAAGCACCCUAAGAUUUAUCAUUUUCUGAAAUACUUUGGUGCUUAGCUUCACACCCUUUAAUGCUUGUCGUUCUACCACCAAUAUUUCUACUUUUUUAGAACCCUGCAAUUUAGUAAAAAUAAAAGUACUAUAAGACCAUGCUUAAGUAUGACAAAUUAAGAAAGAGAAAUGCUUUAUACAAAUUGAAGGUCAAACAAAUAGAAUAAAUUAUGUACCGAUAAAAAUAAAUUUACACAUUAUAUCCAACUAAAGGAUAUUUAAUUGAUAAUUUUGUCUUUGACAGAUUGAGUGUUUAGACUUCAGUAAAUGUUCAUUUCAAGUACAGAAUGGUUCAAACAUCUAGAGAUACUUACUGGCCGGAGAAGAUUUAAGCACAAAUGCAUAAAUUAUAAGCAAAUGUAUAUCAAUAUAAAUGUAAAAAAGAAGAAGAAGUAUAACCAAGAUAAAGAUAAUAAAAUUUACUGACUUUAUUUCCUUGUAGAACAUCAAUGACUUCUUGAGGGUUGAACAAUCUACUCCGUUUUCCAGGGUCUUGAGAUUCCAUGCGAACGAUUUCUCUUCCCAUUUCCUGCACUAGAUCAUGCAUCACCAAACUAGACCAAUCAUCCCUUUGGAGCAAGUUCCUUUGGACUAAGGUUGAAUUGAACUUUCAGAAUAAAAACCACACGCAUUUAAUGUUUUGGCAACUUCAUCCUCAUAACAACCAUGGAAGGCACAUGCGAUAUCAAAGGAAAACACUCCGAGUAUUGACAUCAAGUCCAUCAAAGCUUAUCUUGAGAAUCUUUUGAAUAUCACCAUGAGGAAUUGCUUUUAGUUUUUUGAACUCGUAUCUCCAUUCUUUAACGGAUCUCCCUAGCAGAUGUGACCCCAAUGUCACAAGAGCUAAUGGUAGCCCACCUGAAUAUUUUAUUAUGUCUUGUGCCAGUUCAACAUAUUCUUGUGGUGGAGAAAAACAGUUAAAAGCAUGACAAGAAAAAAGUUGUUGGGCUUCAUUGUCAUUUAAAAGUUUGGCCCGGUAUAUCUCACUUGUUGUAAGCCCAUAUAGCAAAUGUUCAUCUCGGGUUGUAAUAAUUAUUACACUACCAGAGCCAAACCAACUUCUUUCUCUUGUUAAGGAUUCUAAUUGGCUUCUAUGAUCUACGUCAUCAAGAACAAUUAGAACCUUUUGAGACCCAAGUCUUGCUUUGAUGAGAUUAGCACCUUCAGCAACAUUAUCAACUUCAAAUUCCUUAGUUUUGAGGAUUUGAUUAAGUAGUUUCUCUUGAAGCUUGACUAGACCAGAUUCUUCAGUUUUUGAUCUAAUGUCAGAAAGGAAGCAACUACCAUCAAACUGUUGAAAUAUUCGAUUAUAGAUAGCUUUUGCCAAAGUUGUUUUUCCAAUUCCACCAACGCCACAUAUACCAACCAUGCAAACUUCAUGCUCACAUCCACUUUGCAGUAACAACUCUAUAUGUUUGAUAGGAGAAUCUAAUCCAGUUGGGUAAUGAGCAACAUCUAGAGGUGUCUGGUUAACCUCUCGCAGAACUUGUUUUAUAAUAUUUUCAAUAAAUUUUGCUUCAUGCCUACAGUUUUUGCAACAAUAAAUACUUAGGUAUUUAAAAAUAUUUGAUGAACAAAAUAAAAAUCAAUAGCCAAAAGAUAAAAGAGUUUAUAGAAUGGAGAAUAUAUUCCUUGUCCCUAUCUAUAUGACACAGUUUGAUUUGACACAAAAUUUAAGAAAUAUAGAAAGACUUUACAAUGUUCCAAAAUUAACCAAGUUAUAAGCUUAGGCAAACGCUUAAAUUCAAAAUUUAAUAGUUGAAUUAAGAAGUCUUACCCAUCAGCAACAUUUCUCAAAUCCCAUCCAGAUAAAUUUGCUGCUUCAGUAAGUGCAGCUUUCCACUUUUCCAUUCUUUCAGCUCCAACAAAUCGUUCCUUAUGUUUUGCCAAAGCUUCGUCAAAGGAUCCAGUUUGCCUUCGCACUUGAGAAGGAUCAACAUCAUAGAAAAUAGGCAAAACUACCUGAUUUAACCUCUCUUUGCAAUCGAGAAUUUUGACAAGUUCAUCAAGACACCAACUAGAGGAAGCAUAAUUUUUGGAGAAAACAACAAUGGCAACCCUAGACUGUUCAAUUGCUUUCUCAAGUUCAAUUGAAAUGACGUCUCCCUUUCUCAAUUCCUCAUCAUCUAUGAAAGUAUUAACUCCAACUUGACACAAUCGGAAAUAAAGAUGACCUGUGAAGUUUUUCCGAGUAUCUUCACCUCUGAAACUGAGAAACACAUCAUAAGAUAAGUUGGAAGAAGAAGAUGAUUCUCCUACAACAAAUUGAGUAUUCAUAUUUGAUGACAAUAAAUUAAAGAGAUUUUUAGUCAAUUUUUUGCUUAAUUAAUUAAAUAGAGAUGUGAAGCAGCUAUUUAUAUACCCACAAGUACUUGUUUGUUCCUGGAAAUUUAAUUUUGGGUCAAGUCAUUUACAAGCCCCAAAGAAGGUUUACAGAAAUGAAAGGGAAGUUUCCAAGACAUAAUAUGUCUAUUCACUUUUAUUUGUCCAGCUAUUAAAAGUAGAUAUACAAUUUACUUUCAUUUCCUUCGUAGAUUUUUACUCAUUCACACUAUUAAAAAUAAUGAUCAUUUUUAUAAUGUAUUUUUUCAUCAUAUUAAUAUGCAAAAAAUUGUAAUUUAUAAUUUUUUUAUAGUUUUUGAAUAUUUAAAUUUUUUGUUUAAAAUAUCAAAUUAAUACAAUCUAAUUUAAUUUUGAAAAUUAAUUAAAUUGACUUUCGAAAAUGACAAUAUGAUAUAAAUGAGAGAAUACCAAAAGAGCUGGCAAAUUUCCACCAAAACUUCGCAAGUGGAAAUUAUUAUUAUCUUAAAGUUAUGAACUCACAUCUACAAUUAUUAUUUAGUUUAUUAUAUUUAAAUAAAAAAGAGGAAAAGUCGGAAGUUGUAAAAUUUUAAAUGACAAGUAGAAUGUUUCAACAUGAAUUUAUGAUACUUUAAUAAGCAAUAUUCGUUCUGUAAUAAAUUAAUCGCAAAGAAUUGAUUAGGAAUUUGGUUGAAAAUAGAAAUGGUCCAAUUCAAGAUGAAACUAUUAGAAUUGACCUUUGGUGAGGAAGUAAAUUAAAUUACUCCCUUCGUCUAUUUUUAUUUGUCUAGUAUUAACUCAUGCAAUAAAUAAAACAAAAACAUGAUCGUAUUUGUUCCUGUAUUCUAACAAAAAAGUUAUAUUAUUUGUCAUUUGUUAUACUUCAGAGUCAUAUUUAUCCUUGAGACAUUAAAUCUCCAUGACCCGCCUUAAUUUAACGCAGAAUAGGACGAACACUCUUCUCCAAAGUCCAAGCUAAGACUGUUUCCAUUACUAAAAAUCAAUAAAUUACACAGUUCGAUCACUUACAAUGUUCUCUGGUAUUGUAGGUUAAUCAGAGAGACACUAUAUUCACUAUACAAAGAAAAAGUUGAUCAAUUUUUAAAACUAAGCUUUAGUGCAACUCUACAUACUAGCACUAUACAAUGGAAAAAUUGGUUACAUAAAUUAAACAAAAUUUUCUAUAGAAGCUACUGCUAUCGAAGCUCGAUGCUCCAUUGUUCAUACCUAAUAAUGGCUUUGUAGCCCUAUAAUAGUACACAUUCUACUACAUCCAUCUUCCCAUCUUCAUUGACAUCAUUUUCCUCUUCUUGUGGGCUUUAUGCUUUUCUGCAAUCCUCAGCCUCCUCUUGGCGUUUCUCAUUGGAUUGACCUUCUCUUCUUGUUUCCUCUUAUCCCUCUUCGAUUUGAUAUUCUUCCUUAUAUGACUGUAGAUUUGGACAAAAUAUGUGUUCCUAUAACAUUGCUUAUGCUCCCUCGCACUCCUUCAGCCAGUUGUUUCACGUCAUCUGUGGAGAUGAUGCAAACGUAAUGUCACGCCCCGAGCGUACACCCUGGGCAGGACCGGCACCCGGAGACCAUUUCUGGCCCCAAGCGAACCCUUGGCCUGGCUUUCUUAACUCAGCGGAAACCUAACCCAACAGAAUAACUCAAUGCAAUGCAAUAUUACAAAACAACUUAACUUAUAAAAUAUGGCCAUAAAGGCAACUCGAAUCUCAAAAUAGAAUAUUUACAUAUAUAUAUAGAUGAGAGACUCAAAACUAACUGACUGACUGUCUGUCUAUGAAGCCUCUAAAAUACUGAGAUGGAUGUUGGGACAGACCCCGCAACACCCUAAUAAGACAAAACUAAGAGAACAAAAUAACUAAGCCCUCCGGAAGCAAGGAGGCUCACACUGACUCUGGAGUGCUCAANNNNNNNNNNNNNNNNNNNNNNNNNNNNNNNNNNNNNNNNNNNNNNNNNNNNNNNNNNNNNNNNNNNNNNNNNNNNNNNNNNNNNNNNNNNNNNNNNNNNNNNNNNNNNNNNNNNNNNNNNNNNNNNNNNNNNNNNNNNNNNNNNNNNNNNNNNNNNNNNNNNNNNNNNNNNNNNNNNNNNNACAAGGAUACAAUAAGCCUGAGAUGUAUAUAGAAAUACAAUUAAACUGAUGUAUAUAAAAAAAUACAAUAAUCUCUGUGUAUGAAAAUACAAUAACUGCUGUGGGAGUUUCUCUAACNNNNNNNNNNNNNNNNNNNNNNNNNNNNNNNNNNNNNNNNNNNNNNNNNNNNNNNNNNNNNNNNNNNNNNNNNNNNNNACUUUGGCUCAUAUGUUUUAAAAACAAACUUCUUUCUUUAGUUUGAGAUAAUUGCUUAAAACCUAGCCCAAAGGCUCUCUUGGAAUCAAUGUUCCCUUUACUUUGCUCAAAUGUGAAAACAUUUAUAAACUUCUUUGGGAAUACUUAGUUCCCUAAUAGCUUUUGAGAAAUGAACUCAACUUUAUGCUCUUGACUUACUUGAAACUUGAGACUCUUUACUUAGCUUGAAACUUUAAACUCUUUACUUGACUUGACACUUGAGUCUAAAAAUGAAGUUAAAACGUUCAAUAAAGACUCUUGAACAACUUUGCAACUUGCUUACCUUGCUUAACUUCUAAGCUUAACUCUUAAUUUCUAACUUCACUUGACUUCUAACUAACUCUCCUUGAAUUGGAAUUUUGGAUUCAAGGUGUUUGAUCACAUGUUAUGGAUGAGUUCUUGACUUUUAGAAGUACCUUGGAGUGUUGGAAACAACUAGGAAACAUAGGUAUAAUACCUAGGAACAUGUAUGAAAAAAGUGGUGAAUGAAAGGGAAGGAUUGGUGUCCUUGGCACUAGGAGAGGUGCGACAGCCCAGCCCUUUGUUCCCCAAAAAUCCGACUUUUUCCCCUUGUUUCUUUCCAAUUCUAAACCCUCUCAACCUCAAGGUUUCAGCAACAACACUUAGAAUCAUAAAGACCCUUAUUAUACAAUAGAUUCAACUCAAAAAUCACAGCCGGAAAUUUGUACUAAACCAGCAAGAACUUCAACACAACACCACUACAACUUCAACAACCAAUAAAUCUUCUCUUGGAAUUAAAAACGAGUUGGUGUGUGGGGGUAUGAACCAACCAACNNNNNNNNNNNNNNNNNNNNNNNNNNNNNNNNNNNNNNNNNNNNNNNNNNNNNNNNNNNNNNNNNNNNNNNNNNNNNNNNNNNNNNNNNNNNNNNNNNNNNNNNNNNNNNNNNNNNNNNNNNNNNNNNNNNNNNNNNNNNNNNNNNNNNNNNNNNNNNNNNNNNNNNNNNNNNNNNNNNNNNNNNNNNNNNNNNNNNNNNNNNNNNNNNNNNNNNNNNNNNNNNNNNNNNNNNNNNNNNNNNNNNNNNNNNNNNNNNNNNNNNNNNNNNNNNNNNNNNNNNNNNNNNNNNNNNNNNNNNNNNNNNNNNNNNNNNNNNNNNNNNNNNNNNNNNNNNNNNNNNNNNNNNNNNNNNNNNNNNNNNNNNNNNNNNNNNNNNNNNNNNNNNNNNNNNNNNNNNNNNNNNNNNNNNNNNNNNNNNNNNNNNNNNNNNNNNNNNNNNNNNNNNNNNNNNNNNNNNNNNNNNNNNNNNNNNNNUGAUUUGUGAAAAGACCAAAAUGCCCUUAAAUUUUCCGGACGGAUUCCCUGCCAACUGCCCAACUUUCAAAGGGCAUAACUCGCUCAUACGAACUCGGAAUCGAGUAAUCUCAAUGGCGUUGGAAAGAUCAUUCCACAAGCUUCGCAACCAUAACUGGAACUACUCCUAACUCAUCCUGAGCUAGGAGUUACGACUGACUCAAAGUUGGCCAAAAUCACUGAUUUCCACACUUAGCCAAAUUUUCCAGAUUUUGAAUUUUUCCAAAUUUCCAGAUUCUGGACUGCCAAAUUUCCAGAUUUUAAAUUUUUCCAAAAAUGACUAUUUCCAAAUUCAAGCUUCUUCAUAUUCAUUUUAAAUUGUCGGAUGUUACACGUAAUCAUCAAAUAUAUUAAGGACUACAAAGUUAAUCACUCGGAAGCCAAAGAGGAAGUGAAGAACAUUUGUAAAUGCAGCUAGCACUUUGCAUAUAAGAUAGUAUGGGCAGACACUUGAAACAACAAGUUUGCAAGAGAUUGAAUGAGAGACCAUACCUGAUAUAACUUUUCCAGCAAAUCCUUCACAAACUUUGUACAGGGGCAACAGCAUAUGAUAUGCAAAGCUUUGGCAAUCAACCUCACCUUCAGGGGACAACAAUCUACUCUGAUCUAUAAGCUUUGGUGAAACUGAUUUGAAACAAUUGAAGAUAAUUCUCAUCUGCAAAAAAUUGUGCACAUUCCACAGCAUGAGAACAGGCACUCCUAGCACCAUAUAUGGGAGAGUAAGGCACAAAAUAUUUUUUUUGGAAAACAACGAGAAGGUAAAUUACAUAGCAAUGACUAGGCUAAGAAAUUUUUUGCGAGUCGAGCAAACAGAGAUAUCCUUAAUUAAUCACCCACCUGCAUAUCCUCCACAUGAAGGGAAAUCUUUCCCAUUGUCUUAAGCAAAUAAGAAAUGACCAAGUAGCGCUGGCCUUCAUCUUCUUGAUCGCUAAGGUCAGACACAAGAGACAGAUAGAUGUUUUUCCCUUUCCUUGAAUCAAGCUGUUGAAAAGCCUUAAGCAGAAGACCCUGCUCGUCAUGUUCAAUGGUGGACCAGAACUCAUCUUUACAUUCAUUUUUUCCUAAGAAUGAAUGCAGAGAGCAAAUUGAAAAGACAAGAUUUUGAGUAAUGAGAUCACUGGCAGCAUCAUCAGUCUGCAGCACCUUCAGCUGACAACAAAGAGAAGUAGCUACGAAGAAAAGUCUACUUGGCCUCAUCAAAAAGUAAGUUUCUUGUGGCAGUUCAAGGUUUUCUUUCCAAGCCUCAGUCACAGUGGCAAAGUAGCAAGCCACAAGACGGUUUGAUAUGUUGCGCAACCACAGAUGCGGAUGCAAAAGCAACUCACAGAUUGCUUCCCACAGAUCCUAUGAGAUGUCAAUAAAAAUAAUAGUCAGAAAACAAAUAUGAAUUUAUCCAAAGAACAGGACAAGUUAUUGGCAAUCUGGAAAUGGGAGUGUGGUAGCUGUGGAGCGUACUUUCCCCAGUACAACAAUAACAUACCUAGUGAAAUCCCACUAAGUGGGGUCAGGGGAGGGUAGAAUGUACGCAGUCCUUACCACUACCUCGUGGAGGUAUAGAGGCUGUCUCCGAAAAACCCUCGGCUCAAGUGCAUCAAACCAAAGUAAAAGUAUCCUCUUCAAACUUUAAGCCCAGUAUACUAUUCAAACUCUAAGCACUUGAUUUUCAAAUACUUCUUAACUUUACACCUAGUCUGUAGUUGCAACUAUCUUUUGGCAUGCUGCCUAAGUUUGAGGACUAAAGCAAUUUCACCUAAGUGGUUGUAGCCACACCAAAAAGUAAUUCAUUUCUUAAAUCUAUCACAAAGCAAAAUGAGGUCCAGCGGUUUUCACAUAAGUCCCCUCGUACAUAUGCUAAGUAGGACAUAUUAUGGAUGACUUGGUUUUAGCCCUAUAUUUUAAGACCAUAGCUAAAAUAAUGAAAUACANNNNNNNNNNNNNNNNNNNNNNNNNNNNNNNNNNNNNNNNNNNNNNNNNNNNNNNNNNNNNNNNNNNNNNNNNNNNNNNNNNNNNNNNNNNNNNNNNNNNUAUCAUAAUCAAGAUCUCCCAACUCUACAGUAGACGUGGCAUUCAAUUCACGAAGAAGAUUUGCCUGUAUGAAAUUAAGAAGUGUUACACGUCAACAAACACCUAAAGCAACAAGUUCAAAAGAAAACUAGAUGGUCUAGUAAUACCGUAGGAUGUACAGAAGAAUCAUUCCCUGCGACAGCAUCAAGAACAUCACAAAUAGAAGUACGGACAUCCAAGCCAGCAGAAAUUACGAGUGGAGAAACAGAUUUGACGGUCUUUUUACUGCUUUCACUACCCAAUGGUUCUACAAUAUCCUUAAUAAUCUGUAAAGUGCCUACACAAAUCUCUGCAACCAGAAAGAAAGGUAAUCUUAGAAAAAGAGCAAGGACAUGAGACCAAACAGGUCCACCAAAACUGUAAGACAAAACUCAGAGACUCUGACCAGGGUCUUUGGAUCUCUUUGACAGAAGCGGAAGCAAGAUGUCAAGAAACUUCCUUGCAGCCAAUGGUCCCUUUAUGUGCUUCGAUAAAAGCUUGAAGACAUUGAGCUCUUUUUCCCCAGGAUAUUUGACAAUCUUCCUGGAAAAGUGAAUACAUCAGUUAAGAGGAGAACUGAUGCUAGUGCAUCUCAUAUAACACUUAAUUACAUAAAGAGCAUGCUAAGUCCACUUAGCCAUAUAGGGUGGAUGACACAUACACAAGAAAAUAAGUAAGAAACCUACUUAUUCUCCGGAGAAGCAUUUUCCAAAAAGACAUUUUAGAGGCAUUGUUAUCAUUUGGUAGAUCCAGGUCCAUGACCUAUUUCGAUGGAACACAUUUUCCAUGGUACAUAACACAUUCUCAGAAUUUCGCUCAUUGAUAUCCAUUGAUACGGACCUCACUUGUGGGAUUUCACGGGAUGUGUUGUUGCUUGAGUUGAUAUGCCCUGCUGAAAGUCUUUGUGGGUAGGAGGGAGUAUAAGAAUGAUCCACAACUCCCGGCAAAGUUGUAACAUUACCAUGUUGAUCUAAAUGUAAUAGAUGUACUCCUAUCUUCUUUACUAUGGCUCCGCCACUGCUAUCCUCUACUCUUAUCUGUUCCCCGCCUUUGAUGUUCAGGCCUUUAAAAGGUCUAUCAUUUGCGUAAGGUAAGUAAUAUACACAUGAUACUUCUCCGUGACCAUCAGGUAUAUCAAAAGGCAAAAUCCAUGAAAAACUCUUUUUAUGGGAAACAGUAACAACAAGGUGUUCAAGCUCAUGUACAUCGCAAAGGCGGCAAACAAACCAGAGAACCAUUCCUAAGAACUUGUUAUUAUGUACUGUGGGCAUAGUCAAACAGAUAGAUGGAGCUGUUACUUUAUUGCUGCACCAAUCUGGAAUCUCAUUGCUUUCGAGAUUAAUUUGUAACAACGACUUCAUCAGACAAAUUAAGACACAAUUAGAUCAUUAAUUAUUAAUGUGAUACGAGAGAGAGAUCAGAGAGGGAGAAGGACUAACCUCAUACCAUUGAUAUUUUCUACACGAAAUUGAUAGAGCAGGGGCACUAAAGAAGCCUUCACUGAAUGGAUUCUGCAGACAAGUACAAUUAUUCAUGUCCAUCUUCUUUAUUGAAGGGAGGUUGUCCAACCCUGUAAUCUUGACCAGUUUUUGGCAAUUCCUAAGUUCAACAACUCUAAGGUACUCUAAAUUUGAUAUUGAUGGGAGUGUUUGAAGGUUCUCACAAUCAUUCAAAUACAAGGACUUCAACCAUGGUAACUUGGAAAAAUCAAAGGGUAGAUAGAGGAAACUGUUGCCGCUCAAAUCUAAAUGAUAUAAGUUGGAUAAACUCCCAAUAUCCCUAGGAACAUCAGCCUCCGAGAAACCACAAUAUGGAAGGCAUAGAAUCGAAAUAAAUUUUGACAAGGAUACUAUGGGGCGUACUCUUGUUUGAGAAAACCUCCUUUUGGUCUCUAAGUAUUGACCUCCCAUUUCCAAUUCUAUAAGAUUUCCUAGCAUUUCAACAGAUCCAGGCAAUUCUUUUAUACCUGUUUCACCUGCAUUAAGAAAUCUUAGGCUUUGCAUAUCUCCAAUGUCAACUGGCAGUGUUUGUAAAGAUGAGCAGUCAUUAAUGCUCAAGUAUUCAAGGGAUUUUAGCUGGCAUAUGCUGCUCGGAAGAUCCGUAAUCUUUUCGCAACCAUUCAAUUGAAGAUCAGUUAGUCUGUCCAAAUUUCCUAUUGAUGGAUGGAUCUCCUUAAGACUUGAGCAAUUGUCAAGCCACAAAGUCUCGAGACUUCUUGAACCACAGAAGUUUGGAGUUCUUCUGAGGUGCUUGCAAUCAGAGAGAUCCAGCAUUUUCAAAUUUCUACAAUACUAAAAGUAAACAAAAUAUUGUUUUAAUUAAGAUUUUCUUUAUCUUAAACAUAACACAUAAAAUUGCAGAAUUGAGUAACGAACCUGCAAAUUCAAACCAAAUUCUUGGAUAUUGCUCCCUUUCAUAUUCAGAACUACAAGCUUCUCAGAUGGAAAAUUUGACGGUAUACAUUUUAAAGGACAUUCUUUCCAAGACAACCAUCUGAGCUCCUUGGACAAUAGCUCAAAAUCUCCACUAAUAUGUAAGUCGUCGAUUUUAAGCACCCUAAGAUUUAUCAUUUUCUGAAAUGCUUUGGUGUUCAGCUUCACACCCUUUAAUGCCUGUCGUUCUACCACCAAUAUUUCUACAUUUUCAGAACCCUACAGUUUGGUAAAAAGAAAAGUACUAUAAGACCAUGUUAUGUAUGAUAAAUUAAGAAAGAGAAAUGCUUUAUACAAAUUGAAGGUCAAACAAAGAAAAUAAAUUAUGUACCAAUAAAAAUAAACUUACACAUUAUAUCCAACUAAAGGAUAUUUAUUUGAUAAUUUUGUCUUUGAUAGCUUGUUUAGACUUCAGUAAAUGUUCAUUUCAAGUACAGAAUGGUUCAAACAUCUAAAGAUACUUACUAACCGGAGAAGAUUUAAGCACAAAUGCAUAAAUUAUAAGCAAGUGUAUAUCAAUAUGAAAAAAGAAGAAGAAGAAGUAUAACCGAGAUAAAGAUAAUGAAAUUUACUGACUUUAUUUCCUUGUAGGACAUCAAGGACUUCUUGAGGGUUGACCAAUCUACUCCGUUUUCCAAAGUCUCGAGGUGAUUCCAUGCGAACGAUUUCUCUUCCCAUAUCCCGCACUAGAUCAUGCAUCACCAAACGACGCCGAUCCCUUUGGAGCAGGUGUCUUUUGACUAGAGUUGCAAUUGCAGUUUCACAAUAAAAACCACAGGGGUUUAAUGUUUUGGUAACUUCAUCCUCAUCACAUCCAUGGAAAGCGCACGCAAUAUCAAGGAAAACACUCUGAGUAUUGUCAUCAAGUCCAUCAAAGCUUAUUUGGAGAAUCUUUUGAAUAUCAAAAUGAGGAAUUGUUCUUAGUUUUUUGAACUCGUAUCUCCAUUCUUCAACGGAUCUCCCUUGCAGAUGUGACCCCAAUGUCACAAGAGCUAAUGGUAGCCCACCUGAAUAUUUUAUUAUGUCUUGUGCCAGCUCAACAUAUUCUUGUGGUGGAGAAAAACAGUUAAAAGCAUGACAAGAAAAGAGUUGCGGGGCUUCAUUGUCAUUUAAAAGUUUGGCCCGGUAUAUCUCACUUGUUGUAAGCCCAUAUAGCAAAUGUUCAUCUCGAGUUGUAAUAAUUAUUACACUACCAGAGCCAAACCAACUUCUUUCUCUUGUUAAGGAUUCUAAUUGGCUUCUAUGAUCCACGUCAUCAAGAAUAAUUAGAACCUUCUUUGACCCAAGUCUUGCUUUGAUUAGACUAACACCUUCAGCAACACUAUCAACUUCAAAUUCCUUAGUUUUGAGGAUUUGAUGAAGUAGUUUCUCUUGUAGCUUGACUAGAACAUAUUCUUCAACUUUUGAUCUUAUGUCUGAAAGGAAGCAACUACCGUCAAACUGUUGAAAUAUUCGAUUGUAGAUAGCUUUUGCCAAAGUUGUUUUCCCAAUUCCACCAACGCCACAUAUACCAACCAUGCGAACUUCAUGCUCACAUCCACUUUGCAGUAACACCUCUAUAUGUUUGAUAGGAGAAUCUAAUCCAAUUGGGUAAUGAGCAACAUCUAGAGGUGUUGGGUUAACCUCUUGCAGAACUUGUUUUAUAAUACUUUCAAUAAACUUUGAUUCAUGCCUACAGUUUUUGCAACAAUAAAUACUCAAGUAUUUUAAAUUAUUUGAUGAACAAAAUGAAAAUCAAUAGCCAAAAGAUAACAGAGUUUAUAGAAUGGAGAUUAUCCCUUGUCCCAAUCUACGGUUUGAUUUGACACGAAAUUUAAGAAAUAUAAAAAGACUUUACAAUGUUCCAAAAUUAACCAAGUUUUAAGCUUAGGCAAAUGCUUAAAUUCAAAAUUUAAUAGUUGAAUUAAGAAGUCUUACCCAUCAGCAACAUUUCUUAAAUCCCAUCCAGAUAAAUUUGCUGCUUCAGUAAGUGCAGCUUUCCACUUUUCCAUUCUUUCAGCUCCAACCAAUCGUUCCUUGUGUUUUGCCAAAGCUUCGUCAAAGGACGAAGUUUGCCUUCGCACUUGAGAAGGAUCAACAUCAUAGAAAAUAGGCAAAACUACCUGCUUUAACCUCUGUUUGCAAUCGAGAAUUUUGACAAGUUCAUCAAGACACCAACUAGACGAAGCAUAAUUUUUGGAGAAAACAACAAUGGCAACCCUAGAUUGUUCAAUUGCUUUCUUAAGUUCAAUUGAAAUUUCGUCUCCUUUUCUCAAUUCCUCAUCAUCUAUGAAAGUAUUAACUCCGACUUGAUACAAUCUGAAAUAAAGAUGACCUGUGAAGUUUUUGCGAGUAUCUUCACCUCUGAAACUGAGAAACACAUCAUAACAUAAGUUGGAAGAAGAAGAUGAUUCUCCUUGAGUAUUCAUAUUUGAUGACAAUAAAUUAAAGAGAUUUUUAGUCAAUUUUUUUGUUUAAUUAAUUAAAUAGAGAUGUGAAGCAGCUCUUUAUAUGCCCACAAGUAAUUGUUUGUUCCUGGAAAUUUAAUUUUGGGUCAACUCAUUUACAGGCCCCAAAGAAGGUUAACAGAAAUGUAAGGGAAGUUUCCAAGAUAUUUCAUAGACAUGUUGCGUUCAAUUUUAUAUGUUAUAAUAUUAAAAAUAGAUAUACAAUUUACUUCCACUUCUUCCGUAGAUUUUUACUUGUUCACAUUAUAAACUAUAGUGAUCAUUUUUAUUUGUACAAUUUAAAAAUAAUCAAAAAUAAGAACUUUUAAUUUAUUUAUUUUAAAAUGUGUCAUACUUCCAAUAAUUCACUUAUGAACCAGUGAGAGUAGAUAAUGAGUGACUUGCUUUCACAUUUAUUGUCAGCACAACUCUAUCAGUCUUCUUUUUUUUUCAUCACUUUCACACUAUCGACAAGUGGAUUGACAUUACCAUGUUGGUCUAAAUAUAGCAGAUGGAUCCCUAUCUUUUUUAUUGCAUCUUUGCGAAAGAACAAAUAGUCAGACUCGUGAACUGUUACCUUUGAUCAUCUGGUCAACAAAAGGACUAGUUAAGCAAGAUAUGUAAUAUACACAUGAUACUUCUCUGUAUUGUCCGAUCGAGUAUAUCAAUAUCACAAAUUCUUGACAUAGAUACUCUCUCUCUAUCGGAUACAGCAAUACUGAAGCGUCCAAAAGUGGAUGAAAGUCUCUUAAAGUCGCAAAAAAAAACAGAGAAUCAUUCCUAAGAACUUGUACCCCUUAUCAUGUACUGUGGGCAUAGUGAAACAGAUAGAUGGAGAUGUUACUUUAUUGCUGCACCAAUCUGGAAUAUCAUUGCAUUCGACACAAAUUCGUAAAACUUGCUUCUUCAGAGUGUGAAAUGACAGAGCCUGGGCACCUUGAUUGAACGAUCUCCUUCAUCCUUGAGCAACCUUGAAGCUUCAAAGUCUCGAGACUUGUUGCACCGUUGAAGUUUGGAGUUUUUUUGAGGGCCGAGCACCAAGAGAUAUUCAGCUCCUUCAACCUUGGGCAACACUAAAUGUCAACCAAGUACAUUAAUAUUCAAGUUAUACAAGACUAUUUUGUAUAAUUUCACUAGUCAAUGAAAAAUGUAGAAUUGGGCAACAAAUUAAACCUGCAAAUUCAAGCCAAAUUUUUCGAUAGCACUCCCUUCCAUAUUAAGAACUACAAGAUUCGCAGCUGGAAAAUUUGGUGGAAUAUAUUUUAAAUGACAUCUUUGCCAAGAUAACCAUUUGAGCUCCUUGGGAAAAUGCCACAAAUCUCCAUGAAUACGUAAUCCAUUGAUUAUAAGCACCCUGAGUUUCUUCAUUUUCUUAAAUGCAUCGGUGCUAAACUCCACUCCCUCUAAUUCCCCUGGUUCAUCUAACCUCAUUACUUGUACAUUUCCGAAACUCUGUAGUUCAGAGAAAAUGUUUUAAUUAGGACUAAGAAUUGUAACACGACAUACAAUUAAAUUAAAAAGGAACAAGGAUUUACUCACGUUUUUUCCUCGUAAAACAGCACAGACUUGUUGAGGUAUGAAUAAUCUACUCCGUUCUACAAGGCAUUGAGAUUCUGAGCGAACAAUUUCUCUUCCCAUAUCUCGCACUAGAUCAUGCAUACUUACACAACCCCCAAGUACCCCUUGGAGCAACUGUUUUUGGACUAAAGUUGCAAUUUCACAUUUAGUGUGAAAACCACAUGCAUUUAGUAUUUCAGUUUUCUUGAGAGUCUUUUGGAUAUCAUCAUGAGGAAUUUCUUUUAGUCUCUUGAAUUUGCGUCUCCAGUUUUCUAUGGAUUCCCCUCGAAAAUGUGAACCCAAUGUCACAAGUGCUAAUGGUAGCCCACCUGAAUAUUUGAUUAUGUCUUUCGUCACCCCAACAUAGUCUUUAGGUGGAGAAAGACUGUCAAAAGCAUGACGAUAAAAAAGUUGCUGAGAUUCAUUGUCAUUUAAUUGGUUGAUCAUACAUCUUUUUGCAUUAAGCCAACUUAGCUAAAGCUCGUCUCGGAUUGUAAUAACUAUUAUACUACCCAAACCAAACCAUUUCUUUUCUUUUGUUAACGAUUCUAAUUGUUUUUUUGUGUCCACUUCAUCAAGAACAAUUAGAACCUUCUUUGACCCCAGUUUUCUUUUGAUUAGAUUGAUUCCUUCAGCAACACUGCGAACUUUGUACUCGUUGGUUUUGAACAGUAUAUUGAGAAGUUUCUCUUGUACACUUUCUAGACCAAUCUUUUUUUCUAGCAAUCUAACAUCAGAAAGGAAGCAACUACCAUCGAAGAUAAAUAAUCGAUUGUAGAUAUUUUUGGCCAGAGUUGUUUUCCCGAUUCCACCAACUCCAUAUAUACCAACCAAGUGAACUUCAUCUACGUGUCCAUUUUGCAAUAACGACUUUAUAGGUUUAGUACGAGAAUCAACUCCAAUUGGGUAAGAAGCAACAUGUAGAGGUGUAUGGUUGACCUCUUUCUUCAUAUCUUGUAUAAUCAUUUCAAUAAAUUCAGCUUCAUGCCUACCAAUAUUUUUACCAAAAAACACUCACAUGAUGGGAGGUGUUACGCUUUAAAAUAGUUGCCUAUCUAUGGAUGGCAAUGGGGCGGUGCGGGACGGGGCGCGUUGAGCUUAAUCUAUAAAAAAUUUAAUUCGCUCUGCAUAACAAUUUUUUUCAUUUUCAACCUGCCCCGCAUGAAACUCCCCACAUAGUUUUUUUAAUAUUUUUCUUUUCUAGUUAAGUUUGACACUAAAAAUAAAAUUCAUAAAAAUAAAUUCAUUUUUUCAUUAAGUUGUAUUAAUUUAAUAGAAAAUGACCUAAAUUUUAUUUUUUAGAAGUCAAUUGGUAAACAUGUAAGAAAUUGUAUUAAUUUUUAUUGAAUCAUUUUCAUUUACCAUCUUGAAUAUUUUAGUAGCUUUAGAGAAAUUAUCUUAAUAAAUAAUGUUCUAUCACUCUUAUAGCAUGUAAAAAGUUAAAAUUAAAUUGAAUCCACAUAAUGCCACAUAUUCCGGCAACCCCGUCCCACAUAGCCUUAAAUCCACUCCAUCCCGCAUCCGCCCCGUUUCAUUGUUAUCUAUGGCUAUCAAACGACCCAAAAUUGUUAACAGAAAUAAAAAGGAAGUUUCCUAAGAGGUACUUUCUCUUUUGGGUAAUAACCAUAGUUAAUAGUAUAAUUAAAAACAUUACAUUUCAUCCUUGUAGGAAAUUACUUAUGGGGUUCUUGAUAGGCAAUCUUACUGUGGAGGAAAGUUGAUAGAAAUUGAAUGGAAACAUUCAAAUUCUUUUUCUUUUUAAUUGAAUGGUUUUCACAUUCUAAAUUUUCUCUACCCACCAAAGGUCAAUUCUAAUAGUGGUUGCAUCUUGAAUUGGACCCUUUUUAUUUUUAAACAAAUUUCUUAGUACACAAAACAAAUAUAUUGCUUACUUUAAAAGCAAGGUAUCAUAAAUUCACGUCGAAACAUUGUACUUGCCCUUUAAAAUUUUACAACUUAUGAUUUUCAUCUUUUUUUAAAAAAAAUAAUGCAAGAAAUAUGUCAUGAUGUUCCACUAUGCCUUUAUAAAUCUCCAUUUAUCUUUGUUUUGUUUGUUUAAUCGAAAUUUAAUCUUCUUACUGUUACGAUUACCAGAUUUUACACACUACUUGCCUAUUCUUUCUUCUUCUAACCUUUUCUUUUCCUUUUUGAAUAUUUUCUUUUAAUAUUAGUAUUUCUUUUGAAUGGUCUAACCAGUAGUUGAACUUAGAAGCUUUCUUUGGUUAUGAAACCAAAUUAAUAUUAUUUACCUUAUUUAGAGGUAUUGCCACUAUAAGUAAUACAACGAUUAACUAUUUUAUGCAAAACUUUCGUAAAUGUGCUUUUACAUAAAUUUCCAUUCAGUGUGACACACACGAAGUAAAACCACAUGUUUCUUCUUUUUGCAUUCCAAAAAAAAGGAAGAAUAUUCUUCUCCAUUACUAAAAAUCAAUAAAUUACACAGUUCAAUCACUUACAAUGUUCCCUGGCAUUGCAUGUUAAUCAAAGAGACACUAUAUUCACUAUACAAUGAAAAAGUUGAUUCAAUUUUUUAAACUAAGCUUAGUGCAACUCAACAUACUACCACUAUACAAUGGAAAAUUUGGUUACAUAAAUUAAACAAAAUUUUCUAUAGAAGCUACUGCCUAUAUCGAACAACAAAAUUUUCUAUAGAAGCUACUGCCAUCGAAGAUCGAUGCUCAAUUGUUCAUACCUAAUAAUGGCUUUGUAGCCCUAUAAUAGUACACAUUCUACUACAUCCAUCUUCCCAUCUUCAUUGACAUCAUUUUCCUCUUCUUGUGUGCUUUAUGCUUUUCUGCAAUCCUCAGCUUCCUCUUGGCAUUUCUCAUUGGAUUAACCACAGCAAUGACCUUCUCUUCUUGUUUCCUCUUAUCCCUCUUCGAUUUGAUAUUCUUCCUUAUAUGACUGUAAAUUUGGACAAAAAUAUGUGUUCCUAUAACAUUGCUUAUGCUCCCUCGCACUCCUUCAGCCAGUUGUUUCACGUCGUCUGUGGAGAUGAUGCAAACGUAAUCAUCAAAUAUAUUAAGGACUACAAAGUUUAAUCACUCGGAAGCCAAAGAGGAAGUGAAGAACAUUUGUAAAUGCAGCUAGCACUUUGCAUAUAUGAUAGUAUGGACAGACACUUGAAACAAUAAGUUUGCAAGAGAUUGAAUGAGAGACCAUACCUGAUAUAACUUUUCCGGCAAAUCCUUCACAAACUUUGUACAGGGGCAACAGCAUAUGAUAUGCAAAGCUUUGGCAAUCAACCUCACCUUCAGGGGACAACAAUCUACUCUGAUCUAUAAGCUUUGGUGAAACUGAUUUGAAACAAUUGAAGAUAAUUCUCAUCUGCAAAAAAUUGUGCACAUUCCACAGCAUGAGAACAGGCACUCCUAGCACUAUAUAUGGGAGACUAAGGCCCAAAAUAUUUUUUUUGGAAAAACAACGAGAAGGUAAAUUACAUAGCAAUGACUAGGCUAAGAAAUUUUUUGCGAGUCGAGCAAACAGAGAUAUCCUUAAUUAAUCACCCACCUGCAUAUCCUCCACAUGAAGGGAAAUCUUUCCCAUUGUCUUAAGCAAAUAAGAAAUGACCAAGUAGCGCUGGCCUUCAUCUUCUUGAUCGCUAAGGUCAGACACAAGAGACAGAUAGAUGUUUUUCCCUUUCCUUGAAUCAAGCUGUUGAAAAGCCUUAAGCAGAAGACCCUGCUCGUCAUGUUCAAUGGUGGACCAGAACUCAUCUUUACAUUCAUUUUUUCCUAAGAAUGAAUGCAGAGAGCAAAUUGAAAAGACAAGAUUUUGAGUAAUGAGAUCACUGGCAGCAUCAUCAGUCUGCAGCACCUUCAGCUGACAACAAAGAGAAGUAGCUACGAAGAAAAGUCUACUUGGCCUCAUCAAAAAGUAAGUUUCUUGUGGCAGUUCAAGGUUUUCUUUCCAAGCCUCAGUCACAGUGGCAAAGUAGCAAGCCACAAGACGGUUUGAUAUGUUGCGCAACCACAGAUGCGGAUGCAAAAGCAACUCACAGAUUGCUUCCCACAGAUCCUAUGAGAUGUCAAUAAAAAUAAUAGUCAGAAAACAAAUAUGAAUUUAUCCAAAGAACAGGACAAGUUAUUGGCAAUCUGGAAAUGGGAGUGUGGUAGCUGUGGAGCGUACUUUCCCCAGUACAACAAUAACAUACCUAGUGAAAUCCCACUAAGUGGGGUCAGGGAAGGGUAGAGUGUACGCAAUCCUUACCACUACCUCGUGGAGGUAGAGAGGUUGUUUCCCUAGUCUCAAGUGCAUCAAACCAAAGUAAAAGUAUCCUCUUCAAACUUUAAGCCCAGUAUACUAUUCAAACUCUAAGCACUUGAAUUUCAAAUACUUCUUAACUUUACACCUAGUCUGUAGUUGCAAACUAUCUUUUGGCAUGCUGCCUAAGUUUGAGGACCAAAGCAAUUUCACCGAAGUGGUUUUAGCCACACCAAAAAGUAAUUCAUUUCAUAAAUCUAUCACAAAGCAAAAUGAGGUCCAGUGGUUUUCACACAAGUCCCCUCGUACAUAUGCUAAGUUGGACAUAUUAUGGAUGACUUGGUUUUAGCUCUCCUAUAUUUUAAGACCAUAGCUAAAACAAUGAAAUACAGCAGCACUAGCACUAAUGAAAUAAAGGAUAGAGAGAGAAAAUAUAGUAAUUUUUUUCUUUCUACAGAGACUAAUAUCCAUUCUAUAGAGGAUAGAUAUAGAAGAUAUUUUAUCUUUUUAAAUUCUACAAAAACAAACAUCCAAUAUGUGCUAUAGAGUAUCAAAACAAUGUCUCAAAGGCAAUUCAACCAGUUAUGAAUAUCCAUUAGCUCCAUUUUAUCCCAAUAGAAUAAGUCUGGAUGGCAGGCAAAUCUUAUAAAUGUUCAUAUGUUGUUGUUGUUGUCUUAUUUACAGAAGUAAUCAGUUAGUACCUAGUAGUAGUCACUUUAAUUUCUAACAUAGGAUUAAAAGAAAGGAAUAAAUACCUCAAGAUCCUUUCUGAAGCACAACUUAGGAAAUUGAUUUAAUAUCUUCUCAAACAGAACCAGUGAAUAAUAUGCUUCUUUCCAAGAUGAAAUCGUUGCAUCAUUCGGUAGAUCCACUUGCUUAUUUGUAAGAACAUUAACAGCAGAUUGCAAGAUGUUUCUCAUAACAGGUAGGAGGCUAUCAAUAUACUUUUGGAAACCAUCUUUAAGUCCUUCAAUGAGUAACCCCAAAACCUGUAAAAGAAAUAAUGAAGUCUUGAAACAUGUUUUUCUAUUUUUUGAUGAGGAAGGAGUUAUAUCUCAGAUUCAUGACAAAAUAAUGACGUCAGUUUUUGUCCAUUCUUCCGGCUAUUUAAUUCAUAGUUCAUAUACAUAAACGAAUAUGAAAAAAGUGAAUGACAUAUGGAACUUGUAAUCCUUCUUCGGUAUUUCCAAACUUGCUCCACGAUGGCAUAAUGUAGUUGAAUAAAAGAACAGUUUGGGGUUUUCACUCGUUUACCUGUGCUGCAGCACUCCAUAAAUGUGGUUUAUCUCCCAGAUACCAGGACCGACUAAACUCAAGAAUUGACUGGAGUGAACGGGGGCUGACUCGUCCAACAAGUAACUUUAUGACUGUACCAGUCAUUGAACGGACUCUGUUGUCACGAUCAUUCGCCAGACAAACCACCAAAUGCAGAAAAAACGUCUGAGAUUGUUCAUCUAUGAUGCUAACUGGGAAUUUCAUUAUAACAGCAUGAAGCAUUUCAAGGAUAGCUUCUCUUCCAGUUGAAUGCUCAUAUCUGAAAAAUUCAAAAACAUCAUUACAGAGAUGUCACCAUCUAUAAAUUUUACCAAAUGAAAUUAUUGAUUGUGCCCUUAUGUCCUUGCCUUAAGUUUGAAAGUAAGAAAUCAAGAUGUUGUUGAAGACGUUUCUCAGAUAUAUGGUAGUCCAGUAAAAACUGCAGCAAAAUUUGGCUGCUUUUCUUACGAAUUGAUUCAACUUGACUAGUCACCAUCAACACUGCAAGAUUUCUGCAACUACCAACUUCCUACUCACUAUUGCUUUCAACAGUGAGAGAGCCACAAAAGAGGGAUUUCUUUCAAGAUCAACAAAAAGAGGAAACUGGAUUAGCAUAUGCAGUUGAUCAGUAGAAAGUGUGAUCUUAGUGCUACGCAAAAGCACAGUUAGCAACUUAACGCAAGACUCCAAUAAUGGAUUACUGGAAGUUACUGAACCUUGAGCAAUAUUCAGUAAUGAAUUCUUUAUCUUCUCUGCCUGAGAUUCAAGAGAUGGCAAAGGGAGCCUCACCAGAGGAGAUAAGCACCUAAGUGAGGCAGACAUGACAUUCUCAUAUUUUGAGUUUAAGCAUUCACCCAAUAAUCUUACAAAUGGAUCUAGCAUUGACAACAACUGCUCAUCUUUCUUGUCAAAUUUCAUGUUCUUCAUGUAAUUCUGAAGCACUCCAAGAGCAAAUUCAGUAAUAAGAUGGGAAUAUCGUGGAUCAACGCUGACCAACUUAUCUGAUUUAGCAAUCUGGCUGCUUACUCCAUCUUUCUUUUGCUUACCUUCCAUUAAAGUCGAUGUCUCUGCAUGCCCUGGAGAUUCAUCUUUUAUGCCAUCUUUGAUCAGACCAUAUUCAUAGAUAAAGAGUUCUGUCUGGUUAACGGAAGGAUUACACUGUAUUCCAGCAGCUAUAUGAGAGAACAUAUUCUCAAAUUUUGAUUUUACUUUUGGAGUCAGCUGCUUCUGUAGAUGCUUAAGAAUUGGCGCAAGCAGCUUCAGAGCAUGUGUUUUGAAUGUGAUGCUUUGGGCAAUCAAUUUAAGGGUAUCAUAUGACUUCUGCUUCCUAGUCUCUUCCAUCUUUGAAGCAAUCUUCUCAACCUCUUUCUCCUCUGAAAUAUCACUAAGUAUAUCAUUUAUUGCAAUCGAGAGAAGAUCCUCUAAACAAAAAUCCAGCUUCCCACUACUGGGAUUUAGAAGAAAUUUUGAUAGUAGAAAAUUGAGAGUGAAUCCCAAAACAUGCAAUUCAAAUCCUCUCUUCAGAGUGCCUCUCAAGACUUUGACAACAAAUUGCAAGUACUCCAGCCCUAGUUCUUUUAAACAAGCAGCCAAAGCAGCUCUGGCUUCAUCACGAACACUUUCCAAACGAUUCUUAAGGAAAUUCGCUAUGCGAUGCAUCAUAGAUGGAAGGUGCGAUUCCAUGAUGUCUCCCGAAAUUCCGCAAUAACACCUUUUGUUUAUCUGGUUUCAGUGUCAUCUCCCGAAAGCAUCUAUUGAGUAAUGCAUAAUACAAUCUCCAGUCCAUGAAUUUAGAAAUUGAUCCAACAGCUUCCAAACAUGCACUUCUAAUAUUUUCACCCUUUCCAACUUGUCCAUCAACCAACAUUUUAAAGAGAAGAGGGAUAAACACUUUAUUUAUGAGAACCUGCACCAGAAUUAUUCCCAACUAUUAGUACAGCUUAGCAACACAGAGCACAAAUUGAUGCUUAAAGAAAAAGGCAAGUAACCACCUUAGACAGAUUCCCGGAAUAUGUAACUCAUCGAUUUUAAGCACCCUCAAAUUUUUCAUUUUCUUAAAUGUCUUGGUGCUCAGGUUCGCGCCUUUUAAUUCCCCUGGAUCUACCACCAGUACUUCUACUUUUUCGGAACCCUGUAGUUUCAGCACAUAUUAAUUGAACAAAAGCAAUUAUAAGCAAAUAUUUAUCAAAUUAUUGAAAAAAAUUAAAAUCACGAAAGAUAAAGAAUCUACUGACUAUAUUUCCUUGUGGAACAUCUCGGACUUCUUGAGGUUUGAACAAUCUACUCUGUUUUCCAGAGUCUCAAGGUGAUUCCAUACGAACAAUUUCUCUUCCCAUAUCUCGCACUAGAUCAUGCAUCAUCAAAUAACGCCAAUCCCUUUAGAGCAAGUUCCUUUGGACUAAGGUUGAAAUUGCACUUUCAGAAUAAAAACCACACGCAUUUAAUGUUUUGAUAACUUCAUCCUCAAAAAAUCCAUGGAAGGCACACACGAUAUCAAGGAAAACACUUUGAGUAUCACAAUCAAGUCCGUCAAAGUUUAUCUUGAGGAUCUUUUGAAUAUCACAAUGAGGAAUUGCGUAUCUCCAUUCUUCUACGGAUCUCCCUUGUAAAUGUGACCCCAAUGUCACAAGAGCUAACGGUAGCCCACCUGAAUAUUUGAUUAUGCUUUGUGCAAGCUCAACAUAUUCUUGUGGCGGAGAAGGACUACUAAAAGCAUGACAAGAAAAAAGUUGUUGAGCUUCAUCUUGAUUUAAAAGUUUUGCCUUGUAUCUUUCAUUUUCUCUAAUCCGAGAUAACAAAUGCUUGUCUCGGGUUGUAACAAUUAUUAAACUACCAGAGCUAAACAAACUUCUGUCUCUUGUUAAGGAUUCUAAUUGGCUCAUAUGAUCCACUCCAUCAAGAAUAAUUAGAACCUUCUUUGACCCAGGUCUUGCUUUGAUUAGAUUGACGCCUUAGCAACACUACUAACUUUGACGUCCUUAGUUUUGAGAACUUGAUUUAGUAGUUUUUCUUGUAACGUGACUUGACCAAAUGCUUCAGCUUCUAAUCUAACAUCUGAAAGGAAGCAACUACUAUCAAAUUGUCGAAAUAUUUGAUUGUAGAUAGCUUUAGCCAGAGUUGUUUUCCCUAUUCCACCUACGCCCAUAUAUACCAACCAUACGAACUUCAUCUGCACUUCCUUUUGGAGUAACAACUCUAUAUCUUCGACACGAGAAUCUACUCCAACAGGGUGCCAAGAAACAUCUAGAGGUGUCUGGUUUACCUCUUGUAGAACUUGUUUUACAAUACUUUCAAUAAAUUUUGAUUCAUGUCUGUAUAUUACCAAAAACAACAGUUAGAAUUAAAAAAAAAAACAACUUUGAUAUGUGGAAAAAAAAUAAUUGAUAACCAACUUAUGACUUUUGACUGAUAAGUCAGUGUGACCAGCUUAUAAAUAUUACCCGUCAACAACAUUUGCAAAUCCCAUCCAGAUAAAUUUGCAGUUUCAGUAAGUGAAUCCGUCCAUUUUUUCAUUCUCUCAACCUCGAAUGAUCGUUCCUUAAGCAUAGCCAAAGCUUCACCAAAGCAUCCGGUUUGCUUGCGUACAUGAAAAGGAUGAACAUCAUAGAAAAUAGUCAAAACUAUUUGCUUUAACUUCUCUUUGCAUUCAAGAAUUUUAACAAGUUCAUCAAGACACCAACUAAACGAAGCAUAAUUUUUCGAGAAAACAACAAUGGAAACUCUAGAUUCUUCAAUUGCUUUCUCAAGUUCUGUUGAAAUCACCUUACCUUUUCUUAAUUCCUCGUCAUCUAUGAAGGUAUUAAUUCUGACUUGACAUAAUCUAGAAUAAAGAUGACCUGUGAAGGUUUUUCGAGUAUCUUCACCUCUGAAACUCAGAAACACAUCAUAAGAGAAGUUGGAAGAAGUAGUUGAUGAUUCUCCUACAACAAAUUGAGUAUUCAUAUUUGAUGUGAAUAAAUGGAAGAAUGAGUAGCUAUAUAUAUAAUAUACCAUGCACAUUCUAUGGUUUUUUCUUGGUAACUUAACUAAUGCUAUAUAUUCUUUAAUUUAUUUUGUACAAUUAUUCUUCAUUAAAUUUUGUUAAUUGGGAUUUUUUUUAAAUUGAUUCUUUACCUUUUGUCUCAUCUUUAAUUUGUUAAAGACUUGAAUGAUAAAAAUUUAAAGUAAGAUUCUUUCUUCCUUAACAACUCAAAAGUUCAUCUCUCCACAUAAUUAUGAUGAUGUUAAGCUUGAUGUCAUAAUCUUUUAAUAAUGGAAUUGAAAACAUCGAUUUGUUCUCAAUUCACAAGUUGGAUUAAACGUUUUUUUUCUUUCUUUUUACCUAAGUAUCACAUAAAUUAUAACGAUAAUUUUUUAAAAGAAAAACAAUUUGUAUUAAUAGUAAAAACUAGGAAACUUUGUCGUAAUAAAGCUAACUACUAGUCUAUUGCAACUAUUAAACAACUAGAGCUAUCAAUAUGGGCUGACCCAUCCCAUCCGGGUUAAUCUAUACAGGUUUUGAAAUAUGACGGGUUAGGCCGGGCUAGCCCAUUUUUGGUGUGGGCCAGAAAAUGGUCGGUCCAACCCACAAGUACGUGGGCUAGGGGCUUGUCGGGCCAGCCCUCUUUUCGUAAAAGUAUAUUUUUUAUAAUUUUUUAAAUUAAAUUAUAAUUUAAAAAUAUUAUCAUAAAUAUCGACAAGAUAGUAUUACACGGUGUUAGUGUUGACACCUAAUUUUGACCCUCCACAAUAAGAAUUAAUUUGUGAGCUUUCUUAAUUCCAAACGAUUUGAAAUAACUAAUUUUAUAAAAAUUCAAAAUAUGUUUCAAAGAUAUUUUAGGAAUUUUAUUCACUUUUAUAAUAUUUUAAAUAAUAAAUAUGUUUUAUAUUGUUACGUAUGUAACUAAUAUAUUUUAUAAACACUUGAAAAAUAUCUUGAAAAAGAUUUUUUUUUUUUUAUUAUUAUUAUCAUUUAUUUUUAACGUUAAACACUUUACUAAUUUAAUUUAGUUUGAAUUAUAGGUAUGUUUUUGAAUUAAUUAGUUUGAUUGAGUUAAUUAUUUUUUAGUUUGUUAAAUUUAAGAAGCUUGUUAAUUGAUCUUGUUUAAAUUCAUCUCAUUUAGCUUUUGCCGAAUUUGCUAAUUAAAUCCGAUUUAGCUAACUUCCUAAUUCCCAUUAGGUCAUAAUUGCUUCCAUGUGGCUUAAGCCAAUUUAAAUCUCACUUGGACCAAAUCUAAGAUCAGACUUGGGCAUGUCCUCAAUUUCCAAUUCCCAAGCUCAUUUCCCCUUUGGUUUCCAAUUAAGCCGAGCCCAACCCAUCCUUCUCCAAAUUUCCCGACCCAAUCCAACACAACUGACCCGACCCGGCCCAUUCCAACUCUAAAAGAAACUCAAAUGUCCUUCUCUUUUCCAAGGUCCCAGAAGCAGUUCCAAACGUUCACAGACCGACAAAGCAACAGCAGUCCACGGCAUCCUCACGAUGAGAGACGAUUCCAAAGGAAUCAACACGGAAUAUUCGAAUCACAAUAACCAACGACGUCAAUUCCGAUACACGGCGUGAAAGCAUGGAGAUACACGCAAGCAGUGAGGAACGAGACGGACAGAGGGCAGUACUAUUCCUUGUCUUCUUCCUCCAAUGUCUCUCUCAACCAGUACUAUGGCAGUAGCACGCGGUUUUCACCUUUCCUCUUUCGGAAUGGGGCGAAAACCUCAGAAGAAGGGUGUGUGUCCGAAUUUGUGAAAGGUUUUUGGAAUUCAAAUUUAUGGGACUUGAAUCCGAAAUUGCAUUUGUCCUUUCCCCCCACAAUCUACCCUAAUUUUCCCAUAUAUAAUCAUCUCUUCUAUUAAGUCUUAAGAAGUCAUUAAGUCGGUUAGUUAGCUCAUUAAUUUAAUAGUCAGUUAGUUAGUUAUUAAAAUCUGUUGUAACUAACUACACUGCUUGUAACUAACUACACUGCAGAAAGCCAGCUAAGGCAUCGUGUAUAAAUAGACAUUCAAUUGUCAUUGUUGACACAAGAAAUAAAAUUCCUUUCUAUCCUUUGUUCAAAGUGCUCUCAAUUCAAUUGUUCAUCAUCUGUGAUUGAUGAAAGUUAACAUGGUAUCAGAGCAGUGAUCAUAAGGGAUUGAUCUGCGUAGAAGAGAAGAACCCAGAGGUGCUGAGAAGCUGUAGAAGAAGCUCCUGAAACAAGCAUCAAUGGGGACUAAUGAAGUUACAGAUCUAAGUACAACAAUAGGAACAAAUGAGAUUACAACUCUAAAUCACAAUCACCCGCUUUAUCUCCAAGCUUCAGAUGCACCUGGAGUAGUUCUGGUUCCAAUCAAAUUAACAGGGCCAGAAAAUUACGCUUUAUGGAGCCGAUCGAUGAAAUUGGCUCUUAGAGGAAAAGGGAAACUUGGAUUCAUUGAUGGAUCUUGUGCGAAGACAACUUAUAAAGGAGGAUUAGAGGAACAAUGGGAGAAGUGCAAUGCAAUAGUACUGUCAUGGAUUGCGAGCACAGUUACGAGUGAAUUACUGCCAGGGAUUAUAUACGCUUCAAAUGCUAAGAGAGUUUGGGAAGAUUUUCAGGAGAGAUUUGAUAGAUCAGAUCUCACUAGAAUUUACCAUUUGUGGUCAGAAAUUGCAGCUCUCAAACAAGGUACUGAUUCUGUGACCUCUUACUACUCGAAAUUGAGAGAUUUAUGGGCUGAAUUAGAAGUAAUGGUUCCAUCACCUGGUUGUACAUGUGCGGAUUCAACUUCUUAUAUGGAGCAUUUAAGAUCUCAGAAACUGUUGCAAUUCUUAAUGGGAUUGAAUGAGAGUUUUGGACAUAUCCGGAGUAGCAUUCUAGCUAGGAAGCCUGUAGUGACAGUAAAUGAAGCAUAUGCAGUUGCAGCACAAGAAGAAAGUCAAAGAGUCCUAGGUGUUUUGGAUAAAAGCAGGGAUCCGUUAACACUUUUAGCAGGGAAAACUCAAGGAUAUAGAUCAAAGCCAAAGAAGUUUGUGCCACCAGGAACAAUUUGCGAUCAUUGUGGUUUCAAAGGCCAUUUCAAGGGUGAUUGUUAUAGGUUGGUAGGGUAUCCACCAGAUUUUCAAAGCAAGAGAAGAGGACCUGAUGGUUUUAAGCCAGAUUUCAAGCCAAAUGCACACUUAAGUAAGAAUACUGAUGAUCUCACCAACAGAGGAAAGCUUACUGAAAAUUAGGGGUCAUCAUCUCAAUAUGAGGAUUUGGGAAACAAAGUGGGUCGAGCAGGAAUAUCAGGAUGUGUUGCUAACUUGUCAGGUAUGAAUUCUUUAGAUUUCAAAACAGACACAGUUUAUGAGUGGAUAAUUGAUAGUGGAGCUACACAUCAUAUUACACCUAAUGAGGAGUUAUUAAUUGCCAAUAAAAGAACACAUAAUAGUGUUGGAGUUCAAGUUCCAACAGGGAAGAGGUGUGACAUCAAGAGUAUUGGAGUUGUGAAGAUUUUAGAAGGGGAAGAACUUCAGAAUGUGUUGUAUGUGCCAGAUUUCAAAUUUAGCUUGUUAUCAGUUGCAAAGCUAACCAGGGAACUUGCUUGUUCAGUUUCUUUCUAUCCUGACUAUUGUAUAUUUCAGGGACUUUACAAUGGCAAGGUAUUGGGGAUUGGUAAAGAAAAGGAAGGACUAUACAUACUAGAGAAUCAACUAAGGUCAAUAGUUCAUGCUGUGACUGUUGACAAGGGGAAUGGAGAUACAAAGCUAUGGCACUUAAGGCUAGGACAUGCUUCACCUGGAGUUCUAAAACACAUCCAGUCUUUGAAACAUCUCUCAAAUAAAGAGGUGCAACAUAACUGUGAGAUAUGUCCUUUAGCAAAGCAAUGUAGAUUGAAAUUUCCUAUUAGUACAAGUAAAACAUUUGGAGUUUUUGAACUGGUUCAUGUAGAUGUUUGGGGACCAUAUAGAAAGCCUACUUUUGACAAGAAAUAUUAUUUUGUUACUAUAGUAGAUGACUAUAGCAGGUACACAUGGUUAUGUCUCAUUCAUUCCAAGAGUGAAGUCAUUGUAGUACUCAAAGAUUUCAUUGCUUUAAUAAAAAAUCAGUUUGGCUUGUCUGUGAAAGCUUUAAGGUCUGAUGAUGGUACCGAAUUUUUCAGUUCAUCAGUUGUUGAUUUACUUGCUUCAUGUGGUAUUGUACAUCAAAGUAGUUGCGUUUAUACCCCACAACAGAAUGGUACAGUAGAAAGGAAACACAGACAUAUCUUGGAAGUUGCAAGGGCUUUAAAGUUUCAAAGCUCUCUUCCUAUUCAUUUUUGGGGUGAGUGUGUUAGGACUGCUGUGUACUUGAUAAAUAAAUUGCCUACUGAAGUGCUGGGAGGGAGAUCACCUUAUGAGAUGCUACAUCAGAAAAUACCUGGUAUUGAUCAUUUAAGAGUGUUUGGUUGCCUAUGCUAUGCAACUAGGUUGCCUAAAGGAGAUAAGUUUGCCCCUAGAGCUAGAAAGUCAGUUUUUCUAGGAUAUUCUGAAGUUCAAAAGGGUUACAGAUUAUAUGAUUUAAUUGAGCAGACAUUCUUUGUGAGCAGAGAUGUGGUCUUCAAAGAGAAUAUUUUUCCUUAUCAAACAGAUACAUUGUCUCCUGAGUCAGACAUGUUUGAGUUAAAUAGCUCAGAAUUGAGUCAUGUAUAUUCAAAUGAGGAUGUGGUGUUCGAUACAACAGUGGUUGAACCAUCUGUCUGUGGUAUUGAACCACCCGAGGUUGAUGCAGUUCCUGAUGUUGUCACUGCAGUCACAGAGGAUAGUGAUUCACUAUAUGAAGGGAAUCCAAUCUCAUCACCAGAUAUACAACCUGUCAUUAUUCCAUAAACACAUGUCAGACCUCCCAGAAACAUCAAACCACCUAGUUGGCUUGAUGACUACAUUACUAAUCCUAAGAAAUCUGCCAAUUGUACAUAUCCCAUCUCAAAUUACCUUCAAUAUUCUCAUCUGUCAGCAGCUUACCAAGCCUAUUUAGGUACUUUUUCUCAACCAGUUGAGCCUAAAUCCUUCAAGGAAGCAUCUUUAGAUGACAGGUGGGUCGCAGCUAUGAGUGAUGAAAUUGCUGCCCUUGAGAGCAAUCACACCUGGGAUAUAGUCGAUUUGCCACCAGGUAAACAAGCCAUUGGUUCUAAGUGGGUAUUCAAGAUCAAACACAAUGCUGAUGGAUCUAUAGACAAGUACAAGGCAAGGUUGGUAGCUAAGGGGUACAAUCAAAAGGAGGGGUUAGACUAUCAUGAGACUUUCUCACCAGUUGCCAAAAUGGUAACAGUGAGAACUCUCAUUACAAUUGCAGCUUCCAAAGAUUGGCCUCUCAUUCAGAUGGAUGUUAACAAUGCAUUCCUACAAGGUGAUUUAUAUGAAGAGGUUUAUAUGGCUUUGCCACAAGGGUUUCACAGACAGGGGGAGACUAAAGUAUGCAAACUGACCAAGUCUUUAUAUGGAUUAAAGCAGGCCUCUAGACAAUGGAAUAUUAAAUUGUCUACUGCUCUACUGGAAACAGGCUAUGUUCAGAAUUCACAUGAUCAUUCCUUGUUCACAAAACAUUCAGGAGAUGAUAUAGUGAUGAUCCUUGUAUAUGUUGAUGAUUUGUUAAUUACAGGAAACAGUCAAAGUUUGAUUGAGGAUGCUCAAAAGACUCUACACAACAAAUUUAAAGUGAAAGACUUGGGGCAACUUAGAUACUUCCUAGGAAUUGAGAUAUUGAGAUCAGAUAAGGGAAUCUUACUCAAUCAGAGAAAGUACACCUUGGAACUGCUGUCCACAGUGGGGUUAGGUGGUGCUAAGCCAGUUUUUACUCCUAUGGAGAUGAACACAAAGCUUACUACAAUAGAGUAUGACUCAAUGGUUGGAAAUAAAGAUGAUCCUGUACUAACUGAUGUACAUAGCUAUCAACAGUUGAUAGGGAAGCUGAUUUACUUAACAAUCACCAGGCCAGACAUUUGUUUUGCAGUACAGGUCCUAAGUCAAUUUAUGCAACAUCCCAAGAAGUCACAUUGGGAUGCAGCACUAAGAGUCCUUAGAUACCUGAAGGGAUCACCAGGACAAGGAGUAUUAUUGAAGAAAGGACCAAUUACAAACUUGACAGCCUUCUGUGAUUCAGACUGGGCUGCAUGCCCCAAUACUAGGAGAUCAGUAACAGGAUAUGUUAUUAUGCUUGGAGAGUCUAUGGUCUCAUGGAAAUCAAAGAAGCAACAUACAGUGAGUAGGAGCUCAGCUGAGGCUGAGUACAGAAGUAUGGCAGGGGCAGUAUCAGAAAUUAUUUGGUUAGUUGGUUUACUGAAAGAUCUGAAAAUAGAUGUCACUACUCCAGUCAGGUUGUGUUGUGAUAGCAAAGCAGCUAUGCAAAUUGCUUCAAACCCAAUCUUUCAUGAAAGGACUAAGCAUAUUGAAAUAGAUUGUCAUUUUGUGAGAGAGAAGCUCAAAGAUGGCCUAAUCAAACCAGAGUUUGUUGGCACUAAAUCUCAGUUGGCAGACUUGCUUACAAAAGGCUUAGGAACAGUACAACAUCAUUUUCUUCUGUCCAAGUUAGGAGUUCUUGAUGUUUUCCAUCCUAGCUUGAGGGGGAGUAUUAAGUCUUAAGAAGUCAUUAAGUCGGUUAGUUAGCUCAUUAAUUGAAUAGUCAGUUAGUUAGUUAUUAAAAUCUGUUGUAACUAACUACACUGCUUGUAACUAACUACACUGCAGAAAGCCAGCUAAGGCAUCGUGUAUAAAUAGACAUUCAAUUGUCAUUGUUGACACAAGAAAUAAAAUUCCUUUCUAUCCUUUGUUCAAAGUGCUCUCAAUUCAAUUGUUCAUCAUCUGUGAUUGAUGAAAGUUAACAUCUUCUAUUCAUUGUAGAGGGGGGGAUUUUUUUUUUUGGAGUUGAAAAUUUUAGAAAAAGAAACAUUGAGAAGUAGCGAGAAAGCAAGAAGAAAAUAUUGGAGAAAAGUGGGGAGUUUUUCUUGAGCGAUUUUUACACUUGAGAAAUUUGGAAUACAUUUUAGUUUUUGGUUUGUAAGAGCCUUUGCUCGAAGUCAGUUCGGAUAUCCCGAUUGUUUGCUCGAUUUUUUGAAGUGGUGUAAGAGGUCGCCGCUCGUUUCGGCUCGUUCUGUCUCGGCUUCGUUGCACCUUUAAAGGUAACACCUCUUUCUUUGUAUGAUUUUUCUUCCUUUAUAUUUUAAGAUGGUGUUUUACUUGUAUCCUGGAAGUUUGCUUCCUGCUGAUAGUUAUUAAGUUCUUGACGUUCUGAUACACCUUAGUUGCGAUACUCUAGUUAUUUCGAGUAUCGUUUUCGAUCUUGUUGAUUCGUGCCUAGAUUUGCUGCUUCUUUGUUGGUUUUAUUUAAGGGUGUUUCACUAAUCUUUUCUUGAAUUUAUUGGUUUGAAUUCCACCGAGCAUGUAUGCUUCGUUUCACUCGUUCAUUAACGUCAGCAUCUGUAGGCUCUCCCUUUGCUGCUUGCCUUUGCUUAACCUGUUCAACAAGUAUGUUUGUCCAGUUUAGCGAUUGAUUGAGAGUGUUCAAUGUCUAUUGCUGUUUUUGAAGUAAAAUUGCAGCUUUGCAUCGGGUUAUUUAAGUAUCGGCUAAUCGUCCUAUGUUUUUGAGGCAUAGUAAUUAAUUUUCUUGCAUGUUGCCGCUAAUUAAAAUUGCAAUGGCUCUUCUAUCUUUGUCUAAAUCUAAAGAUGUCUCCUGAUGUUGGCUCGCCAUCUAUCUUGGCCAUUUACGUGUUUCUUUGCUUAAUAAUGCCCCUUUUCUCUGCAUUUUUCUUGUAUUUAUUCAUGUCUACUCGUGUUUGUGUCCGGCAUGCUCUUUAUCCCUUAAUGAUCUCAUCACUGGCUCCCCAACUUGUUUGGAAUUUGAUCCCGCCAUCAGUAAUUAAUUUUGUUUUCUGUACUGAAAGUCCCGGGUGACAAUUACUUAAGAAUGUGGAGAAUGACAGCCUUUAUUGUGCUAUUAGUCUCCUCGUCUGCAAUAAGUUGAUUUUUUCAGCUAAAAGUAGUAUUGUUGAGAUAAAUAUUUAACAAAGAUUCCGACUUGUUCAUCUUAUGUCUAAAAAACAAUAAUCAUAUCCCUUGGCUGAUUCACGUGUUUCCCGAAGUGUGCUAAGUAAUGAGUUGUUUCGGUCUCAAAUGUAUAUCCUGGCUGCCGUAGUUGCCAAAUUGGACUUUAGUAAUUUCAUGUUGUCUUUUUCCUUUGGUCUACAAUUUAAAAUUUAAUUAUUAUUUUUUCUAUGUGUCCACACUUGCCUAUUUCAACUACUGGUAAUUUGCUAAAAAAUGGAGUGAGUCGGAGGCAAUAGUAUAAGCGUGAGGAGUCUGGUCAUCUCGGCUUGCUCUUGGUUUUUCUUUUCAUGUAUUUGCAUUUUUUGUUCACAGCUACUGCUAGUUGCUUGCAAUAUAAAUGGGUUAUGUUCCUUUUGAUACGUUCAUCAUUUAGUGACUAGUUCUGAGAUGUUAUUACUGGUUACUGAUUCUCUUGUUCUUUUCUUCGUUUUGCAUGAAAAAUCUGUCUGAGUUCAUUACGAACUCCUAUCUUCCCUCUUGCAUUUUGGGAGAGCCGCAAAGGCUCAAAAACUCCCUUUAUCGAGUUAGCCGGCCACUAAAAUCAAAGAACAAGUCCCUCAAAUCGACGAACAGGUCCCAAAGGUGGGGAAAUGCGGAAGCGGAGGAUAAUUGAAAAGAUCGGGCCAAAGGCCCACUCUUUAUAUAAAGAGGAUUGUAUUUUUUAUUUAUUAGGCCUAAGUCCAGUUAUUUGCUAUUAUAUUGUUAGAAUUUAGGACAGGUGGCGAGAAUUGGGCCUUGUGGCCCAAAAUGAAAUUAGGCCCAAGUGUUGGUCCAGGCGGACAGAAAAAUCAAACUUGGGCCCGAGUCUCUUUCCCUUUCUAUUUUAUUGUGUUUAUCUACUAGUUAAUAUUUGCCAUUAAUCUUAAGAUUAACAAUUCAAAUCCCCAAAAGACGCUCAUUUUCGCUUUAAAUCUUUUUUACUAAACCAUUCAUCUCUUAACAAGACUUAAAGAAAUAAUUUUAUAAGAUAACCACUCAGAUAAUAUUUAAAUAUUUCCCUUUUUUCCUUUUUAAAAAAAAAAUAGCUCUAACUAUAAAAUAGUUCAAUCAUGUUAUUCGAAUUAAGUUAAAGUAUUUUUAGCCAAAUAAUUAAUUGUCGGAUAACCGCUUAUUAGCGGGGAUUUUGGGUGCUUUCAAAUCCUUUCUGAAAUGCUAAUAUGAACCUCGAACCCCCUUAAAUAUUUUUCAAUUGAUUUCCUGUUUUAAUCAUUUGAAAAUCAGAUUUCUUGAUUUUUCUUAAAAAUUAAGUGGCGACUUUUAAAAACAGUCUUAAAUUAUUUUAAAAUAAAACAGUUAGUGUUACUAUUUGUUAAUCAAAUCCACAAAUAAAAUUAUCUUUAUAUUAUUAAGUUUUAUUUCAAGUAAAAGCAUAAAUAGCUAAAUAAAAAUAUUAACCUAAUUAUUUUUCAAUAAUCAUAAUAAAAUAUAAAAACUAUGACAAUAUUCCAUAGGCUACGUAGUGAUUCCUAGAAAUUUUAGGAAAAUUUUAUUUUAUGUAAUACAUAUUUUAUAAACAUAAUUUAUAUUUAGAUUGUAAUAUUUCAAACUUUAGACUGAUUUUGAGUUUAGACUCUUGUUAUUUUUAAUACUCUAUUUAUUAUUUAUUUUUAAUUAAUUUUUAUUUGGCUCACGGGUUGGCCCCCUAUCCAUAUUUCUCAAGCCCCUCAAAUUGGCAGACUUAUUCAGGCCAGGCUAAAAAAUCACCUUUUUCUUAAAUGGGCUCCAAAAAUCAUAGCCCAACCCUAUCAAAUCACGGGUUAGGCUAGGCCGGCCCAACGGGCCUAGCCCAUAUUGACGGCUCUAUAAACAACUAAUAAAACUAAUUGGAUCAUUCUUACUGCACCAUUGGUCCUAAUCCUAUACCUAUCAUACUGAUAUAGAGGCGAAUUCAGAACUUAAAAUUUAUGAAUUCUUAUAAAAAAAAAACUAAAAUUUAUGAACGAUAUAAUUGAGUUCAUAAUCAAAUUAUACUAAAUACUUAAUGAUUUUCUUAGUACAUAUAAAUAAUAUGAAUAAAAUCUAUUGAGUUCACACUAACCUCUCUAUAGUGUGGCAGGUAAAAUCAAUAAUUUUGAUCCAAAUUGUACUUUGUAUUUAUGAUAAUAAAUUUGUUUGUUAUGUGUAAAAAAAUAUUCGGAACCCAAUCCGACCAGUAAACGCCAGUAGUAGUCAUAGUAUUUGGAACAAAGAAAAGCAAGGGAAUAACAAACCAUAUCUUCUGCUCCAACUUCAUUUUCUUAUAGUAUUUUUGGAGGGAAAAAAGGGAAUACAAAUUAAAUAUUAUCAGAAUGCCAACCAAAUACUGACAUUGUGCUCUAUCUUUACUGUGGAAAAAAAUUAAAUGUAAUUUAUUUAUGCAGUUUUUUAAUCUUCCAGGGGUCCCAUUUUUCUAUAGAUUGAAUUAUCUUUAAUAUUUUAUGACAAAAUACUGUAAAGUGGUGUAUAGUGGCAUAUAUAUAUACCAUUUGUAUAUUCCUCAAAAUCAUGAUAAUACCAUUUGUUUCUAACUUUUUAAUUGUACUAAUUGAAUAGAUUAACUGUACAAUAUACUUUUGUUUAGUUCAAAAUUUUCCUCUUUGUACUUUAAGCUUUGGUGUCUAUUGUUUUCCACAUUUUAUGAGGUGUUAGGACUAGCAAAAGGCAUAAUACAUAAACAUACAUUCAAACUAGGUCUUAGUUAGAGUGAUCAUUUAGACACCUCCAAAAUUUAUGUAUCACGUCAGUAUAGGGUGUCCACGAGACACAUUAAGGAUGAGUUGGAGUGUUUAGCUGUUAGUUGAGAUGUCUAGAUGUACAUUCUCAAUUAGUUACGGUUGCGAAAUUUUAAUUGGAUGACAAAACUAGGAUCGAAGUUUCGAGUGUUUGGCAUCUGACAGAUGAAAAAAAAAAUCUGAAAUUUAAGAACAAACUUUUUCUUACAUAACGAACACAUGAAAAUAAGUAAGAAACGUACUUAUUCUCCGGAAAAACAUUUUCCAAUAAGACAUUUUAGAGGCAUUGUUAUCAUUUGGUAGAUCCAGGUCCAUGACCUAUUUCUAUGGAACACAUUUUCCAUGGUACUGAACACACUCUCAGAACUUUGCUCGUUGAUAUCCACUAAUACGGACCUCACUUGUAGGAUUUCAUUGGAUAUGUUGUCGUUGUUUGAGUUGAUAUGCCCUGCUGAAAGUCUUUGUGGGUAGGAGGGAGUAUAAGAAUGAUCCACAACUCCCGGCAACGAUGUAACAUUACCAUGUUGGUCCAAGUAUAACAAAUGGAUCCCUAUUUUCUUUACUGUGCCUCUGCCAGUUUCAUUCUCUACUGUUAUCUGUUCCCCGCCUUUGAUAUUCAGGCCUUUAAAAGGUGUAUCAUUUGAGUAAGAGAAGUAAUAUACAUAUGAUACUUCGUGACUGUCAGAUCUAUCACAAGGCCAAAUCCAUGAAAAACCUGAACGCUUUAUAUGGGCAACAGUAACAGCGAAGUGUAUAAGCUCAUGUACAUCGCAAAGGCGGCAAACAAACCAGAGAACCAUUCCUAAGAACUUGUUAUUAUGUACUGUGGGCAUAGUCAAACAGAUAGAUGUAGCUGUUACUUUAUUGCUGCACCAAUCUGGAAUCUCAUUGCUUUCGUGAUUAAUUUGUAAUGACAGCUUCAUCAGACAAAUUAAGACGCAAUUAGAUCAUUAAUUAUUAAUAUGAUACGAGAGAUAGAUCAUUAAUUAUUAAUAUGAUACUAACCUCAUACCGUUGAUGUUUUCUAGACGGAAUUGAUAGAGCAUGGGCACUAAAGAAGCCUUCAUUGAAUGGAUUCUGCAGAAGAGUACAAUUAAUCAUGCCCAUCUUCUCUAUUGAAGGGAGGUUGUCCAACCCUGUAAUCUUGACCAGUUUUUGGCAAUUCCUAAGUUCAAGAGUUGUAAGGUACUUUAAAUUUGAUAUUGACGGGAGUGUUUGAAGGUUCUCACAAUCAUUCAAAUGCAAGGAACUCAACCGUGGUAACUUGGAAAAAUCAAAGGGUAGAUUGAGGAAACUGUUGCCGCUCAAAUCUAAAUCAUGUAAGUUGGAUAAACUCCCAAUAUCCCUAGGAACAUCAGCCUCCGAGAAACCACAAUAUCGAAGGCUUAACAUCGUAAUAAAAAUUGGCAAGAAUUCUACGCAGCGGACUCUUCUUUGAGAAAACCUCCUUUUGGUCUCCAAGUAUUGACCUCCUAAUUCCAAAAUUAUAAGAUUUCCUAGCAUUUCAACAGAUCCAGGCAAUUCUUUUAUACCUGUUUCACCUGCAUUAAGAAUACUUAGGCUUUGCAUAUCUCCAAUGUCAACUGGCAGUGUUUGUAAAGAUAAGCAGUCAUUAAUGUACAAGUAUUGAAGGGAUUUUAGCUGGCAUAUGCUGCUCGGAAGAUCCGUAAUCUUUUUGCAACCAUUCAAUUUAAGAUCAGUUAGUCUGUCCAAAUUUCCUAUUGAUGGAUGAAUCUCCUUUAGACUUGAGCAAUUCUCAAGCCACAAAGUCUUGAGACUUCGUGAACCGUUGAAGUUUGGAGUUUUUCUAAGGCUCUUGCAAUCAGAGAGAUCCAGCUUUUUCAAAUUUCUACAAUACUAAAAGUAAACAAAAUAUUGUUUCAAUUAAGAUUUUCUUUCUCUUAAACAUUACACAUAAAAUUGCAGAAUUGAGUAACGGACCUGCAAAUUCAAACCAAAUUCUUGGAUAUUGCUCCCUUUCAUAUUCAGAAAUACAAGUUUCUCAGAUGGAAAAUUUGACGGUAUACAUUUUAAAGGACAUCCUUUCCAAGACAGCCAUCUGAGCUCCUUGGACAAUAGCUCAAAAUCUCCACUAAUAUGUAAGUCAUCAAUUUUAAGCACCCUAAGAUAUUUCAUUUUCUGAAAUGCUUUGGUGCUCACCUUCACACCCUUUAAUGCCUGUCGUUCUACCACCAGUAUUUCUACAUUUUCAGAACCCUGCAGUUUAGUAAAAAGAAAAGUACUAUAAGACCAUGUUUAAGUAUGAUAAAUUAAGAAAGAGAAAUGCUUUAUACAAAUUGAAGGUCAAACAAAGAGAAUAAAUUAUCUACCAAUAAAACUAAAUUCACACAUUAUAUCCAACUAAAGGAUAUUUAUUUGAUAAUUUUGUCUUUGAUAGUUUGAGUGUUUAGACUCCAGUAAAUGUUCAUUUCAAGUACAAAAUGGUUCAAACAUCGAGAGAUAAUUUACUUGCCGGAGAAGAAUUAAGCACAAAUGCAUAAAUUAUUAGCAAAUAUAUAUCAAUAUAAAUGAAAAAUGAAGAAGAAUAAGUAUUAACCAAGAUAAAGAUAAUGAAAUUUACUGACUUUAUUUCCUUGUAGAACAUCAAUGGCUUCUAGAGGGUUGAACAAUCUACUUCGUUUUCCAGGGUCUUGAGAUUCCAUGCGAACGAUUUCUCUUCCCAUUUCCUGCACUAGAUCAUGCAUCACCAAACCAGGCCGAUCCUCCCUUUGGAGCAAGUUCCUUUGGACUAAGGUUGAAAUUGCACUUUCAGAAUAAAAACCACACGCGUUUAAUGUUUUGGCAACUUCAUCCUCAUAACAACCAUGGAAGGCACAUGCGAUAUCAAGGAAAACACUCCGAGUAUUGACAUCAAGUCCAUCAAAGCUUAUCUUGAGAAUCUUUUGAAUAUCACCAUGAGGAAUUGCUUUUAGUUUUUUGAACUCGUAUCUCCAUUCUUUAACGGAUCUCCCUAGCAGAUGUGACCCCAAUGUCACAAGAGCUAAUGGUAGCCCAUAUGAAUAUUUUAUUAUGUCUUGUGCCAGUUUAACAUAUUCUUGUGGUGGAGAAAGACUGUUAAAAGCAUGGCAAUAAAAAAGUUGCUGAGCUUCAUUUUCAUUUAAAAGUUUGGCCUGGUAUAUCUCAGUUGUUGUAAGCCCAUACAACAAAUGCUCGUCUCGGGUUGUAAUAAUUAUUACACUACCAGAGCCAAACCAACUUCUUUCUCUUGUUAAGGAUUCUAAUUGGCUUCUAUGAUCCACGUCAUCAAGAACAAUUAGAACCUUCUGAGACCCAAGUCUUGCUUUGAUGAGAUUAACACCUUCAGCAACACUAUCAACUUCAAAUUCCUUAGUUUUGAGGAUUUGAUAAAGUAGUUUCUCUUGAAGCUUGACCAGACCCGAUUCUUCAGUUUUUGAUCUAAUGUCAGAAAGGAAGCAAGUACCAUCAAACCGUUGAAAUAUUCGAUUAUAGAUAGCUUUUGCCAAAGUUGUUUUUCCAAUUCCACCAACGCCACAUAUACCAACCAUGCGAACUUCAUGCUCACAUCCACUUUGCAGUAACACCUCUAUAUGUUUGAUAGGAGAAUCUAAUCCAAUUGGGUAAUGAGCAACAUCUAGAGGUGUCUGGUUAACCUCUUGCAGAACUUGUUUUAUAAUACCUUCAAUAAACUUUGAUUCAUGCCUACAGUUUUUGCAACAAUAAAUACUUAAGUAUUUUAAAAUAUUUGAUGAACAAAAUAAAAACCAAUAGCCAAAAGAUAACAAAGUUUAUAGAAUGGAGAUUAUCCCUUGUCCUAAUCUACAGUUUAAUUUGUCCUUAUCAUGUACUGUGGGCAUAGUGAAACAGAUAGAUGGAGCUGUCACUUUAUUGCUGCACCAAUCUGGAAUCUCAUUGCAUUCGACACAAAUUCGUAAAACUUGCUUCUUCAGAGUGUGAAAUGAUAGAGCCUGGGCACUAAAGAAGCCUUCAUUGAAUGGAUUCUGCAGAGAAGUACAAUUAAUCAUGUCCAUCUUCAUUAUAGAAGGGAGGUUGUCCAACCCUGUAAUCUUGACCAGUUUUUUGCAAUUCCUAAGUUCAAGAAUUUUAAGGUACUCUAAAUUUGAUAGUGACGGGAGUGUUUGAAGAUUCUCACAAUCAUUCAAACGCAGCUCUCUCAAGAAUCGAAACUUAGAAAAAUCACAGGGUAGACAAUGGAAACUGUUGCCACUCAAAUCUAAAGAUCUUAAGGAGGAUAAACUCCCAAUAUCCCUAGGAAUAUCAGCCUCCGAGAAACCACAAUAUGAAAGGCUUAGAUAUGAAAUAAAAAUUGGCAAGGAUUCUACGUGAUGGACUCUUCUUUGAGAAAAUCUCCUUUUGGCCUCUAAAUUUGGACCUCCCACUUGCAAAUUUAUAAGAUCUCUUAGCAUUUCAACAGAUCCGGGCAAUUGCUUUAUACCUGUAUCAAGUGCAAAAAGAUAUCUUAGACUCUGCAUAUCUCCAAUGUCAACUGGCAGUGUUUGUAUUCAAGGGAUUUUAGCUGGCAUAUGCUGUUUGGAAGAUCCGUAAUCUUAUUGCAACCAUACAAACGCAGAUCAGUUAGUAUGUCCAAGUUUCCUAUUGAUGGAUGGAUCUCCUUCAGACUCGAGCAAUUCCAAAGCCACAAAGUCUCGAAACUUUGUGAACCAUUGAAGUUUGGAGUACUUCUGAGGCGCUGGCAAUCAGAGAGAUUCAGCUUCUUCAAACUUGUACAAUACUAAAAGAAAACAAAUUAUAGUUUCAAUUAAAAUUUUCUUUCACUUAGUUGAAAUAUAACAGUACACAUGAAAUUGCAGAAUUGAGUAACGAACCUUCAAUUUCAAACCAAAUUCUUGGAUAUUACUCUCUUGCAUAUUCAGAACUACAAGUUUUGGACAAUAGCUCAAAAUUUCCACUGAUAUGUAACUCGCCGUCAAUUAUAAGCACCCUAAGAUUUAUCAUUUUCUGAAAUGCUUUGGUGCUCAAGUUCACACCUUUUAAUGCCCAUCGUUCUACCACCAGUACUUCUACAUUUUUGGAACCCUGUAGUUUAAUUAAAAGAAAAGUACCCCAUAAGACCCCAUGUUAAGUACGAGAAAUUAAGAGAGAAAAAUGUGUUAUACAAAUAUAAGGUCAAAGAAUUAACCUGAAUACAUUACGUAUCAAGAAAAAUGAAUUCACAAAUUAGAUGAUUAGAUCCAACUAAUUGCUCAAAAAAGCUACAAACUGCAGUUAAAGAGAAAUAACACCAAAAGAAUAAACAAAGAAAACAAUAGCUUAUAGAAACUUGAUAACGGUACAAAUAAAAGAUAGAACAUACAUAUUAGACUAUAUUUAAAAGAAUAUUUGACAUAUAAAGUUUUUGAACUAAUAAGAUAAAUGUUCCACAAACUAAUUUCCGCAAUCAGAUACAAGCAUAUAGAAAUUUAUAAUUAAACAAAAUGCUCAUUUCAAGUAUAUAGUCGCAGGCAAACAACUAGAGAUAAUUUACUAACCAAAGAAGAAGCACAAAUGAAUUGAAUUCUUGUGGUGACAGUAGAAAUUGUAGGUAAAAGAACGGAAUUAUCCAGUUGGUUAAUAAGCAAAUGUUUAUCAAAUUAAAUUGAAAAUAAAAAGUAUAACCAUGAUAAAGAUAAAGAAUUUACUGACUUUAUUUCCUUGUAGAACAUCACGGACAUCUUGAGGGUCGAACAAUCUACUCCGUUUUCCAGGGUAUCGAGAUUCCAUGCGAACAAUUUCUCUUCCCAUAUCCCGCACUAGAUCAUGCAUCCUCAAACAAAGUUCAUCCCUUUGAAGCAAGUGUCUUUUGACCAAAGUUGCAAUUGCACUUUCAGAAUAAAAACCACAUGCAUAUAAUGUUUUGGUAACUUCAUCAUUAGAAAAUCCAUGGAAGGUGCAUGAGAUAUCAAGGAAAACACUUUGAGUAUCAGAAUCAAGUCCAUCAAAGCUUAUCUUGAGGAUCUUUUGAAUAUCACAAUGAGGAAUUGCUCUUAGUUUUUCGAACUCGCAUCUCCAUUCUUCUACAGAUCUCCCUUGCAAAUGUGACCCCAAUGUCACAAGAGCUAAUGGUAGCCCACCUGAGUAUUUGAUUACAUCUUGUGCCAGCUCAACAUAUCCUUGUGGUGGAGAAAGACUGUUGAAAGCACAACGAGACAAAAGUUGCAGAGACUCAUCUGGAUAUAGUAGUUUGGCCUCAUAUCUCUCAUCUUCUCUAAGCCCACAUAGCAAAUGCUCGUCUCGGGUUGUAAUAAUUAUUACACUACCAGAGCCAAACCAACUUCUUUCUCUUGUUAAGGAUUCUAAUUGGCUACUAUGACCCACGUCAUCAAGAACAAUUAGAACCUUCUUUGACCCUAGUCUUGCUUUGAUUAGAUUGACACCUUCGGCAAUACUGCUAACUUGGACAUCCUUAAUUUUGAGAACUUGCCGGAGUAGUUUUUCUUGUAACUUGACUAGACCAAAUGCUUCAGAUUCUGAUCUAACAUCGGAAAGGAAGCAACUACCACCGAAGUGUUGAAAUAUUAAUUGGUUGUAGAUAGCUUUUGCUAGAGUUGUUUUUCCAAUCCCACCAACGCCACAUAUACCAACCAUGCGAAUGUCAUGCUCACAUCCACUUUGCAGUAAUAACUCUAUAGCUUUGACACGAGAAUCUACUCCAACUGGGUGCCAAGCAACAUCUAGAGGUGUCUGGAUGUUGACCUCUUGAGAAACUUGUUUUAUAAUACUUUCAAUAAAUUUUGAUUCAUUCCUACAUUAUUAUUUUUUUAGCGAAACCAGAAGUUAAAACAAAAAAAUAAGUAAAAACUUCGCAUUUGAUGAACAUUUACAAUAUUAGUUAAUUAUCAUUAGAUUCAAUGUUGCUACCGGCUUUAGGAACAUUUACAAAGAAUGUUGAUUGCCACUAAAAUUACAUAUUUAGCAAUAACUGUCGUUAAUUAAUAGCUGCUAAAGAUCAUUUUUGGUGUAGUGACUUGACAAGGAGAUCAAGGUUGAAGAAAACAAAUGGCCUUCGUUCUCUUCAUACAGGACAUUUUAGAAAAUGGAUUUAAUUCACACAUAUCGAUCUUUUUACCUAUUAGUACAUUCUGACUUGAGAUAGCAUGCUAAUAAUUGCUUCUAUUUUUACCAUAUUAUCAACUAGUACAUUUAUCAAAAACAGUAGUUGUAAUUAUCUAAUAAUAAGCAUAUGAUUGUGUAAAUAUACUUCUACACUCAUUAAAAGUGGACAUUUAUAAUUAUCUUGUAAAUAAGACAAGAUACAUAAUAGUGUAAGAAUUAGUGUAUAUAACUUAGAAGCCGUUUGAAUUAAUAAAUCAUACCCGUCAGCAACAUUUUGCAAAUUCCAUCCAGAUAGAUUUGCGGCUUCAGUCAAUGCAGCUUUCCACUUCUCCACCCUUUGAGCUCCAAACAAUCGUUCCUUAUGUUUUGCCAAAGCUUCACCAAAGGACCCAGUUUGCCUUCGCACUUGAGAAGGAUCAACAUCAUAGAAAAUAGGCAAAACUACCUGAUUUAACCUCUCUCUGCAAUCGAGAAUUUUAACGAGUUCAUCAAGACACCAACUAGACGAAGCAUAAUUUUUGGAGAAAACAACAAUGGCAACCCUAGAUUCUUCAAUUGCUUUCUCAAGUUUGACUGAAAUGACUUCUCCCUUUCUCAAUUCUUCAUCAUCUAUGAAGGUAUUAACUCCGACUUGACACAAUCUGAAAUAAAGAUGACUGGUGAAAUUUUUGCGCGUAUCUUCACCUCUGAAACUCAGGAAUACGUCAUAAUGAUAAUAGAAGUGGGAAGAAGUAGAUGAUUCUCCUUUUACAAAUUGAGUAUCCAUGUAUUGAAACUUCGGUGUGAUGGAAGGAUGAAAUUUAAGUUUUAUUUGUCCAAUAAAUAUAUUGAAAAUUAAAAUAAAUAUCCAUUUUUAGCUAUUCAAUUUGCAACAAUUAAGAUAAACUUUACUACUAUUUAAUUUAUAAUUUAAUCUUGUUACUCGGCUUGUGUCGUUGGACAUCAACAUAGUCGUUAACAUGUCACUAUGUGCCGGCAUUAAUUAUAAUCAUUUUGCAAUAUAUUAGCUAAAAUAUUAAAUUUAUUGUAUUUAAAAUUGUUAUAUCAUAUUUAAAUAAUAUAUUCUGUUGUCUGUUUUGGUCAAGAAUUAAUGGAUCCGUCGUUAAGUUUAAUUAAUACUCCCUUCAUCCACUUUUUAUUGUCAUAGUUUUUCUUUUAGAGUAAAAUUUUUUUUACUAAUAUUUUAUAAUGUAUUUUUUUCAUCAUAUUAAUAUGCAAAAAAUUGUAAUUUAUAAUUUUUUCGUAUAGUUUUUGAAUAUCUAAAUUUUUUAUUUAAAAUAUCGAAUUAAUAUAAUCUAAUUUAACUUUGAAAAUUAAUCAAAUUAACUUUCGAAAAUGACAAUAUGAUAAAAAUGGACGGAGAGAAUACCAAAAGAGUUGGCAAAUUUCCACCAAAACUUCGCAAGUGGAAAUUAUUAUUAUCUUAAAGUUAUGAAUUCACAUCUAUAAUUAUUAGUUAGUUUAUUAUAUUUAAAUAAAAAAGAGGAAAAGUCGGAAGUUGUAAAAUUUUAAAUGACAAGUUGAAUGUUUCAACGUUGAAUUUAUGAUACUUUAAUAAGCAAUAUUCGUUCUGUAAUAAAUUAAUCGCAAAGAAUUGAUUAGGAAUUUGGUUGAAAAUAGAAAUGGUCCAAUUCAAGAUGAAACUAUUAGAAUUGACCUUUGGUGAGGAAGUAAUUAAACUACUCCCUUCGUCUAUUUUUAUUUGUCUAGUAUUAACGCAUGCAAUAAAUAAAACAAAAACAUGAUCGUAUUUAUUCUUGUAUUCUCACAAAAAAGUUAUAUUUGUCAUUUGUUGUACUUUAGAGUCAUAUUUAUCCUUGAGGCAUUAAAUCUCCAUGACCCGCCUUAAUUUAACGCAGAAUAGGACGAACACUCUUCUCCAAAGUCCAAGCUAAGACUGGCAUUGUAGGUUACAAUGUUCUCUGGCAUUGUAGGUUACAAUGUCCUCCAAAGUCCAAGCUAAGACUGCCAUUACUAAAAAUCAAUAAAUUACACAGUUCGAUCACUUACAAUGUUCUCUGGCAUUGUAGGUUAAUCAGAGAGACCCUAUAUUCACUAUACAAUGAAAAAGUUGAUUCAAUUUUUUUAAACUAAGCUUUAGUGCAACUCAACGUACUAGCACUAUACAAUGGAAAAUUUGUUUACAUAAAUUAAACAAAAUUUUCUAUAGAAGCUACUGCCUAUAUCGAACACUCAAUUGUUCAUACCUAAUAAUGGCUUUGUAGCCCUAUAAUAGUACACAUUCUACUACAUCCAUCUUCAUUGACAUCAUUUUCCUCUUCUUGUGUGCUUUAUGCUUUUCUGCAAUCCUCAGCUUCCUCUUGGCAUUUCUCAUUGGAUUGACCACAGCAAUGACCUUCUCUUCUUGUUUCCUCUUAUCCCUCUUCGAUUUGAUAUUCUUCCUUAUAUGACUGUAAAUUUGGACAAAAAUAUGUGUUCCUAUAACAUUGCUUAUGCUCCCCCGCACUCCUUCAGCCAGUUGUUUCACGUCAUCUGUGGAGAUGAUGUAAACAUAAUCAUCAAAUAUAUUAAGGACUACAAAGUUUAAUCACUUGGAAUCCAAAACGAAAAUGAACAACAUUUGUAAAUGGUGGGAGAAUUACAUAUUAAUUGAGUAGUUAAAAGAAAACUAGCUUGAUUCAGGACUUUGCUCUGCUGCGAGUAUAAAAAUGAUCCACAAUUGCUGGCAAAGAUGUAAGAUUGUCAUGUUUGUCUAAAUACAAGAGAUGUAUCCCUAUCUUCUUUACUCUUAACUUUCUCAGCUUCGUCUAAUGGGUGGACUGUUAUCUGCUCCCCGCCUUUGAUCAUCCCGUCAUCUCUUAAGUAAGGUAUGUAAUAUAUCCAUGAUACUUCUUCGUAUUCUUGGGGUACAAUAAUAUUGCAAUGCGUUGACAUACAUACUCUCUCUAUAGGAUACAGUAACGACAAAGUGUCCAUAAGAGCAUAAACCCUUAAUGUGGCAAUUAACAAGCCAGACAACCAUUCCGAAAAACUUAUACUUGUCUUUAUUAUGUACUGUGGGCAUAGUGAAACAGACAGAUGGAGCUGUUACUUUAUAGCUGCACCAACCUGGAAUCUCAUUGCUUUCGAGAUUAAUUUGUAACCCAUGCUUCAUCAGACAAAGACACAAUUAUCUAGAUCAUUAAUUCAUUAAUAAUGUGAUACAAUUGAGAUUGAGAGAAAAGGAGAGAGUAUAACCUGAAGUGUACGUUUUACAAUUAGAGCAUGUGCACUAAAGAAGUCUUUAUUGAAUGGAUUCUGCAGACAAGUACAAUUAAGAAUGUUGAUAUGCAAUAUUGAAGGGAGUUUGUCCAACCCUGUUAUCUCGACCAACUUCUGGCAAUUCUCAAGUUCAAGAGUUUCGAGAUUCUCUAAAUUUGAUAACAAAGGGAGUCUUUGAAGAUACUCACAUAAUUCCUUCAACCAUCGUAACUUGGAAAAAUCAAAGGGCGGACCAUGAAAACUGUUGCCACUCAAAUCUAAAGAUACUCAGUGGCGGCUCUACAGCUUUGAAAAAAAAACAACUGCCUUAGGCACCAAAAUUUGAGGGGCCUCAUUUUUUAAAAAUACAAGAGGUUAUACAUAUUUUUUUUAAAAAAUAUCGCGUAUAAUUUGUAGAAAAUAUAAUUUUUUCAUAAAAGAGCAAGGAAGUAAUAGAAGUUUGACAAAUUAUGAGUACUAUGUCUCAAGAAAGAUUAAAUAAUUGGCUAUAAUAAACUUCAUAAAAAAUAUAUAUUCGAAUUUAAGGCCUCCAUUCGAAUUUUGCUUUAGGCCACCGAUUUAUUAGAGCCGCCCCUGAUUAGAUACUAAGGAGGUUAAACUCCCAAUAUCCACAUGAAAAGCAGCCUUGGAUAAACCAAAAUUUUUAAGGACUAAACACGAAAGAGAAGUCGAUAUGGAUUUUAUGACUAAUUCCUUGAUUAUUGGCCUGUAUAUAUGCAUUUCCAACUUCUAAAGUUUCAAGAUUUCUUAGCAUUUCAGCAGAUGUAGGCAAUUGUUUUAUAUCUGUAUCACUUGUUUUGUCAAUUGGCAGUGUUCGUACAGAAAAGCAUCUAGCAAUGUCUAAGAAUUUAAGGGAUUUUAGCUGGCAUAUUGAUUGAACGAUCUCCUUCAGCCUUGAGAAACCUUGAAGCUUUAAAGUCUCGAGAUUUGUUGCACCGUUGAAGUUUGGAGUUUUUUUGAGGGCCGAGCACCAAGAGAGAUUCAACUCCUUCAACCUUGGGCAACACUAAAUGUCAACCAAAUCCAACAUUCAAGUUAUAUAAGAUUAUUUUGUAUAAUUUCACUAGUCAAUGAAAAAUGUAGAAUUGGGCAACAAAUUAAACCUGGAAAUUCAAACCAAAUUCUUCGAUAGCACUCCCUUCCAUAUUAAGAACUACAAGAUUCGCAGCUGGAAAAUUUGGUGGAAUAUAUUUUAAAUGACAUCUUUGCCAAGAUAACCAUUUGAGCUCCUUGGGAAAAUGCCACAAAUCUCCAUGAAUACGUAAUCCAUUGAUUAUAAGCACCCUGAGUUUCUUCAUUUUCUUAAAUGCAUCGGUGCUCAACUCCACUCCCUCUAAUUCCCCUGGUUCAUCUAACCUCAUUACUUGUACAUUUCCGGAACCCUGUAGUUCAGAGAAAAUGUUUUAAUUAGGACUAAGAAUUGUAACACGACAUACAAUUAAAUUGAAAAGGAAAAAGAAUUUACUCAUGUUUUUUCCUCGUAAAACAGCACAGACUUGUUGAGGUAUGAAUAAUCUACUCCGUUCUCCAAGGCAUUGAGAUUCUGAGCGAACAAUUUCUCUUCCCAUAUCUCGCACUAGAUCAUGCAUACUUACACAACCCCCAAGUACCCCUUGGAGCAACUGUUUUUGGACUAAAGUUGCAAUUUCACAUUCAGUAUGAAAACCACAUGCAUUUAGUAUUUUGGUUUUCUUGAGAGUCUUUUGGAUAUCAUCACGAGGAAUUUCUUUUAGUCUCUUGAAUUUGCGUCUCCAGUUUUCUAUGGAUUCCCAUCGCAAAUGUGAACCCAAUGUCACAAGUGCUAAUGGUAGCCCACUGAAUAUUUGAUUAUGUCUUUCGCCACCCCAACAUAGUCUUGAGGUGGAGAAAGACUGUCAAAAGCAUGACGAUAAAAAAGUUGCUGAGAUUCAUUGUCAUUUAAUAGGUUGGUCAUAUAUCUUUUUGCAUUAAGCCAACUUAGCAAAAGCUCGUCUUGGGUUGUAAUAACUAUUAUACUACCCAAACCAAACCAUUCCUUUUCUUUUGUUAACGAUUCUAAUUGUUUUUUUUUUGUGUCCACAUCAUCAAGAACAAUUAGAACCUUCUUUGACCCCAGUUUUCUUUUGAUUAGAUUGAUUCCUUCAGCAACAGUGCGAACUUUGUACUCCUCGGUUUUGAACAGUAUAUUGAGAAGUUUCUCUUGUACCCUUUCUAGACCCUUUUUUUCUAGCAAUCUAACAUCAGAAAGGAAGCAACUACCAUCGAAGUGUACAUCUCUAAAUAAUCGAUUGUAGAUAUCUUUGGCCAGAGUUGUUUUCCCGAUUCCACCAACUCCAUAUAUACCAACCAUGUGAACUUCAUCUAUGUGUCCAUUUUGCAAUAACGACUUUAUAGGUUUAGUACGAGAAUCAACUCCAAUUGGGUAAGAAGCAACAUGUAGAGGUGUAUGGUUGACCUCUUUCUUCAUAUCUUGUAUAAUCAUUUCAAUAAAUUCAGCUUCAUGCCUACCAAUAUUUUUACCAAAAAACACUCACAUGAUGGGAGGUGUUACGCUUUAAAAUAGUUGCCUAUCUAUGGAUGGCAAUGGGGGCGGUGCGGGACGGGACGCGUUGAGCUUAAUGUAUAAAAAAUUUAAUUCGCUCUGCAUAACAAUUUUUUUCAUUUUCAACCUGCCCACAUGAAACUCCCCACAUAGUUUUUUUAAAUAUUUUUCUUUUCUAGUUAAGUUUGAUACUCAAAAUGAAAUUCAUAAAAAUAAAUUCUUUUUUUCAUUAAGUUGUAUUAAUUUAAUAGAAAAUGACCUAAAUUUUAUUUUUUAGAAGUCAAUUGGGAAACAUGUAAGAAAUUGUAUUAAUUUUUAUUGAAUCAUUUUCUUUUACCAUCUUGAAUAUUUUAGUAGCUUUAGAGAAAUUAUCUUAAUAAAUAAUGUUCUAUCACUCUUAUAACAUGUAAAAAGUUAAAAUUAAAUUGAAUCCACAUAAUGCCACAUAUUCCCGCAACCCAUCCCGUCCCACAUAGCCUUAAAUCCACUCCAACCCGCAUCCGCCCCGUCUCAUUGUUAUCUAUGGCUAUCAAACGACCCAAAAUUGUUAACCGAAACAAAAAGGAAGUUUCCUAAGAGGUACUUUCUCUUUUGGGUAAUAACCAUAGUUAAUAGUAUAAUUAAAAACAUUACAUUUCAUCCUUGUAGGAAAUUACUUAUGGGGUUCUUGAUAGGCAAUCUUACUGUGGAGGAAAGUUGAUAGAAAUUAAAUGGAAACAUUCAAAUUCUUUUUCUUUUUAAUUGAAUGGUUUCACAUUCUAAAUUUCUCUACCCACCAAAGGUCAAUUCUAAUAGUGGUUGCAUCUUGAAUUGGACCCUUUUUAUUUUUAAACAAAUUUCUUAGUACACAAAACAAAUAUAUUGCUUACGUAAAGCAAGGUAUCAUAAAUUCACGUUGAAACAUUGUAGUUGCCCUUUAAAAUUUUACAACUUAUGAUUUUCAUCUUUUUUAAAAAAAAAAAAAUGCAAGAAAUAUGUCAUGAUGUUCCACUAUGCCUUUAUAAAUCUCCAUUUAUCUUUGUUUUGUUUGUUUAAUCGAAAUUUAAUCUUCUUACUGUUACGAUUACCAGAUUUUACACACUACUUGCCUAUUCUUUCUUCUUCUAACCUUUUCUUUUCCUUUUUGAAUAUUUUCUUUUAAUAUUAGUAUUUCUUUUGAAUGGUCUAACCAGUAGUUGAACUUAGAAGCUUUCUUUGGUUAUGAAACCAAAUUAAUAUUAUUUACCUUAUAUAGAGGUAUUGCCACUAUAAGUAAUACAAGGAUUAACUAUUUUACGCAAAAUUUUAGUAAAUGUGCUUUUACAUAAAUUUCCAUUCAGUGUGACAUACACGAAGUAAAACCACAUGUUUCUUCUUUUUGCAUUCCAAAAAAAAGGAAGAAGAUUCUUCUCCAUUACUAAAAAUCAAUAAAUUACACAGUUCAAUCACUUACAAUGUUCCCUGGCAUUGUAUGUUAAUCAAAGAGACGCUAUAUUCACUAUACAAUGAAAAAGUUGAUUCAAAAUUUUAAACUAAGCUUAGUGCAACUCAACAUACUACCACUAUACAAUGGAAAAUUUGGUUACAUAAAUUAAACAAAAUUUUCUAUAGAAGCUACUGCCAUCGAAGAUCGAUGCUCAAUUGUUCAUACCUAAUAAUGGCUUUGUAGCCCUAUAAUAGUACGCAUUCUACUACAUCCAUCUUCCCAUCUUCAUUGACAUCAUUUUCCGUUCUUGUGUGCUUUAUGCUUUUCUGCAAUCCUCAGCUUCCUCUUGGCGUUUCUCAUUGGAUUGACCACAGCAAUGACCUUCUCUUCUUGUUUCCUCUUAUCCCUCUUCGAUUUGAUAUUCUUCCUUAUAUGACUGUAGAUUUGGACAAAAAUAUGUGUUCCUAUAACAUUGCUUAUGCUCCCCCGCACUCCUUCAGCCAGUUGUUUCACGUCGUCUGUGGAGAUGAUGCAAACAUAAUCAUCAAAUAUAAUAAGGACUACAAAGUUUAAUCACUCGGAAGCCAUAAAGGAAGUGAAGAAUAUUUGUAAAUGCAGCUAGCACUUGGCAUAUAAGAUAGUAUGGACAGACACUUGAAACAAUAAGUUAGCAAGAGAUUAAAUGAGAGACCAUACCUGAUAUAACUUUUCCGGCAAAUCCUUCACAAACUUUGUACAGGGGCAACAGCAUAUGAUAUGCAAAGCUUUGGCAAUCAACCUCACCUUCAGGGGACAACAAUCUACUCUGAUCUAUAAGCUUUGGUGAAACUGAUUUGAAACAAUUGAAGAUAAUUCUCAUCUGCAAAAAAUUGUGCACAUUCCACAGCAUGAGAACAGGCACUCCUAGCACCAUAUAUGGGAGAGUAAGGCACAAAAUAUUUUUUUUGGAAAACAACGAGAAGGUAAAUUACAUAGCAAUGACUAGGCUAAGAAAUUUUUUGCGAGUCGAGCAAACAGAGAUAUCCUUAAUUAAUCACCCACCUGCAUAUCCUCCACAUGAAGGGAAAUCUUUCCCAUUGUCUUAAGCAAAUAAGAAAUGACCAAGUAGCGCUGGCCUUCAUCUUCUUGAUCGCUAAGGUCAGACACAAGAGACAGAUAGAUGUUUUUCCCUUUCCUUGAAUCAAGCUGUUGAAAAGCCUUAAGUAGAAGACCCUGCUCGUCAUGUUCAAUGGUGGACCAGAACUCAUCUUUACAUUCAUUUUUUCCUAAGAAUGAAUGCAGAGAGCAAAUUGAAAAGACAAGAUUUUGAGUAAUGAGAUCACUGGCAGCAUCAUCAGUCUGCAGCACCUUCAGCUGACAACAAAGAGAAGUAGCUACGAAGAAAAGUCUACUUGGCCUCAUCAAAAAGUAAGUUUCUUGUGGCAGUUCAAGGUUUUCUUUCCAAGCCUCAGUCACAGUGGCAAAGUAGCAAGCCACAAGACGGUUUGAUAUGUUGCGCAACCACAGAUGCGGAUGCAAAAGCAACUCACAGAUUGCUUCCCACAGAUCCUAUGAGAUGUCAAUAAAAAUAAUAGUCAGAAAACAAAUAUGAAUUUAUCCAAAGAACAGGACAAGUUAUUGGCAAUCUGGAAAUGGGAGUGUGGUAGCUGUGGAGCGUACUUUCCCCAGUACAACAAUAACAUACCUAGUGAAAUCCCACUAAGUGGGGUCAGGGGAGGGUAGAGUGUACGCAGUCCUUACCACUACCUCGUGGAGGUAGAGAGGCCGUUUCCGAAAAACCCUCGGCUCAAGUGCAUCAAACCAAAGUAAAAGUAUCCUCUUCAAACUUUAAGCCCAGUAUACUAUUCAAACUCUAAGCACUUGAUUUUCAAAUACUUCUUAACUUUACACCUAGUCUGUAGUUGCAAACUAUCUUUUGGCAUGCUGCCUAAGUUUGAGGACCAAAGCAAUUUCACCGAAUUGGUUUUAACCACACCAAAAAGUAAUUUAUUUCUUAAAUCUAUCACAAAGCAAAAUGAGGUCCAGUGGUUUNNNNNNNNNNNNNNNNNNNNNNNNNNNNNNNNNNNNNNNNNNNNNNNNNNNNNNNNNNNNNNNNNNNNNNNNNNNNNNNNNNNNNNNNNNNNNNNNNNNNUAUCAUAAUCAAGAUCUCCCAACUCUACAGUAGACGUCGCAUUCAAUUCACGAAGAAGAUUUGCCUGUAUGAAAUUAAGAGGUGUUACACGUCAACAAACACCUAAAGCAUCAAGUUCAAAAGAAAACUAGAUGGUCUAGUAAUACCGUAGGAUGUACAGAAGAAUCAUUCCCUGCGACAGCAUCAAGAACAUCACAAAUAGAAGUACGGACAUCCAAGCCAGCAGAAAUUACGAGUGGAGAAACAGAUUUGACGGUCUUUUUACUGCUUUCACUACCCAAUGGUUCUACAAUAUCCUUAAUAAUCUGUAAAGUGCCUACACAAAUCUCUGCAACCAGAAAGAAAGGUAAUCUUAGAAAAAGAGCAAGGACAUGAGACCAAACAGGUCCACCUAAACUGUAAGACAAAACUGAGACUCUGACCAGGGUCUUUGGAUCUCUUUGACAGAAGCGGAAGCAAGAUGUCAAGAAACUUCCUUGCAGCCAAUGGUCCCUUUAUGUGCUUCGAUAAAAGCUUGAAGACAUUGAGCUCUUUUUCCCCAGGAUAUUUGACAAUCUUCCUGGAAAAGUGAAUACAUCAGUUAAGAGGAGAACUGAUGCUAGUGCAUCUCAUAUAACACUUAAUUACAUAAAGAGCAUGCUAAGUCCACUUAGCCAUAUAGGGUGGAUGACACGUACACUCUCUCUUGUAGUUGUGGGGUGGGAGAACUAUGGAAGAAAAAGCUAGAAAACUACAAAGAAAAAGAUUUAGUUGGACAGGAACAUACUUUGUGUUCUUUUCUUUCCUCCUUUUUUUUGGGAAGCAUACAUGUGUUUUUCUUUCCUUUUUUUUGUGUGUGCGCGGGGGGAUCUGUCCCUACCUACCUCCAUCCACUCUCUUUCUCUCCCGCUCAUAUAUAAGUCAGAUUAAAUUUAUCGUUGGAAACGAUUCACUAAUCCCCAUCAAUUUAAGAAAAAAUGAAUUAGAAUAAAAGAACAAGCCAAUACAAACUCAAGUUGGUAGCUCCAAAUAGCAGCGAAGAAAAUCGAUAGUGAAAAGGAACAGGACGCUGAUGAAGCAUUAAGAAUCAAUGUACGAGGUGCCAGUAAGAUAAGUUCAUACUGAGUACUUCUUCAAAAUAGAAUUUUCCUUCACUGACCUAGAUAGUUGUUUAAGAGUGCCACUACAUUCUUUAAGAUGAUAUUUGAGUCCUAUGUGAAUACUCAUAGUUAGCACUUACAAGUGCAAGUAAAACUGUGGUCAGACAAAACUUGAGCAUUAUGUACAUUAUUAUCCAACCACAUUUGAUGUGAAGAUAACACAUUUUGAUAGGCUCUCUAAUUGUUAAAAUGUCAUAAGACAUCAUAUCCUGAGGUGACUGUUAAAAUUUGUAAUAUCAGCUAAGGAACAAUUUCGAGGCUGGUAAGUCGCAAGCCAAACGAAUAUAUGAUUUACAUGGAUUAGUUAUUUAAAGAUUUGUGCAAUAAGCUAUAACCAGCAAAGAAAUGUUUUCAGCAUAUGGGUCAAUUUUGAGCAUGAUAUUGAAGUCCUAUAAAUUGACACAAUCUUCAAAGAGGGAAAAAAAAUUAAAGCAACAACGUAAAUUUCACAUUGUCAUACCUCUUAUGUGCACCGUCAUGUACAAAAAGAUGAUGCAAACUGCAUACUAGUACAUCAACGUGAGGAAGCAGUAAUCUCUUAAGUGGGUUGUCUUCAUUACCUAGCUCAAUAUCAAGAUAUAACAGAUUCUCCACAAACUUAAGAACUGAGGAAACGAUGGCAUCUGAUGCUGUUGAGACUGCUAGCAUCGAAAAUACAUCAGGUACAAGGUUCUUUUCUCGGGACAACAGAGGCACAAGUUUGGAACUUCUACUCAUAGCCAGAAAACAAGAAAAUAACGAGCUUGCUUUCUCACUACUAGCACCUUCCUGUUUGAAACUGGCAACUAAGGGUUUUACUGACAUAAAGAACAAAUCCCAAAAUUCAGGACUGAAAUCAUGAUCUUCAAAUUUGCUAAGGAUAAAAGAGAUGAUCUUCAGGCAUAAAGAUCUCAAAUCCUUGCACUGCUUUGCAGCCAUGUUCGUCUGCACAAAAACCAAGACAUUGGUUAAUAAGAUUUUUCUAUACAGUAUUUUCAAAUACUGGUUAAUAAGUAUUUCUUCAUUCAAUUCACAACUUCACCACAAACACAGAGCCGCCUUUUUUCUAAUAAGGAAUAAUUUGAUUAUCAAUUGAGGGAAACCCUGUAUGCAAACCAUAUAUCAAAAGUUCAGAACCUACACCAAAACAUGGUUCUCAACAAAAAUGAUCCAAUCCUCCAUACAAAUAGGGACCUCACAAAUACACCAAAAAGAAACUAGAGAUAAAACACUAAUUUGCAUUUUCACAAAAUCUAGUUCCACCCAUUCAAAUGCAAUCUUACUGCUCUCUUUCCAAAUGAUCUACAUGAUUGCUAAAGGGGCAACACCCCAUGUCCUUGGGCUUCUCUUCCCCCCUUCUAUGGGUCCAACUUUGCACAACUUCCUUCACAGUACCCAGCAUCACCCAUUGCAUACCAAACAAAUUAAGGGCCCUUAAAGGUGUCCCUUAAUUUGUUUAGCUUCCUCCCACCCCUUCAUGAUACUCCUCUACAAACCACACCGAAACACAAAGUUUCCUUUAGUUUUCUCAGAGAUUAUAUAGAGGAAAACUACGUUAGCAGCAGUUAAAAGUUCUUGAUUCCUCUCGAGAUCAAACAUAAAUACCCAUGAAAAGAAAAUGGCAUACUAUACAGAGUGUUCCUGUCGCCUAUUAAAACCAAAAUGAAGUUUACUCUAACUGGAAAAAUGGGAAAAUUCGUACCUCCCAUCCCUUCCCCAUUUUAAGCCAUAAAUUUUAUGAAUAGUUGACCAAACCACCCUCAAAAAAGCUACCUCUUUUAGGUUAUUGCUCAAGGGUGAUCUGAAAGGAAUACUAAUACUGUCAACCUCCAAAAACCAAAUCAAGGGAUAUACAAAAUCAUUUACUAUUAAUAUUAAGUGUCAACCACCUAAUACAAUAUUUUGGGCAACAACAUCAGUCUUUUUUUUCUAAAAGUAAACCUGCUAGGCUGUAGUACAGCAGAUGAUGACAUUACCACGAUUUUAUCCUCUACUUGGUGAGCAUGAUCUGCCAGCGUCCCAUCAUUUCGUGUCCCUUCAAGAGUUGAUGUACAGCUGUCCAAGAGACGCACAAUGCAUCCCAUUAACAGGUCAAGAAAAGGGCUAAUGUGCACUUCAUCAAAAACAGCUACAAUAUCCUCAAUUACAUGUAGAAAACCAUAUCUCUUCUUCCAUGAAAUGACAUUGAUACAAUCUCUGGAAAAAUGCUCCAAGACACUAAAUGAGUCAAGCCCAUGCUGAAGAACUCCAGGUGUAGUCCAGGGCCAUGCACUCUUUGCUGCAGCACCUUGUGAAGCCGAUACAAGGGGUUUUAUUAGCAAAGCAAAGAAAAGAGGAAGCUCUUCAACAUCUAGCUGAGAUAAGAAGCCAAGAAUCGCCUUUCGAUGAUGGACACUUGCAUGCUGAGACAAAUAAUGCAUUAAGUUACCGUAUUAUACUGGAAAUGGUAAAUAAAGAAGAGAACGUAAAGAACAGGAAACAAAAAGCUAUGAUACUAGAGGUCAGAGAAAAUUGAAUAAAUUUGAUAAAUACCUUACGAGAAGCGAGCGCCUUUAACUUUCUGACUUUUGGAGACAGUACUCUGAUAACAACAGGCACAAGGAAAGCUCUAUGCCUUGUAUCAACAAGAUCUGAUUCCCUAGAUAAGCUCCACGUCGUGAGCUCCUCCCUCAGACUUUUCGAAUUGAUCAGAUUUUUUAGAUGCUGAUCAUACGGAAGUAAGAAGUCAUCUUUCCAAUUUAACAGGCAAUCAAGGACCUUACUUUGCAUGUCAGCAUCAUCUUCCUCGAGAAGUCUGAAUCCCCCACCCCAAAAUAAAUAAAUAAAAAAAAAAGAAGGAAGAAUACAAUUAAUAGGUAACCUCAAAAAAGAUUUAAUGAAGUACACAAAUUUUGACUGUUGAGAAUAAUCCAAAACGCAAACCUGUACAGCAAAACCUCCUUGAAGAAUUGAUUGAGAUAAAAAGACCUAGGAUUUCGCAUCAGUCUGAAUAAGGACAGCCAUUCUUGAAGAACACUUUUCCACUCUUUCCCCUUAGAACCCUCCUGAUUGUAUAACUCCACACUGCAUUUUCCAGAACAAGCAGAUAAACACUGGUUAACUGGAGAGGAUAGAAGCGCACACACUUACUGCAAACCUUAAAAACUAUAGUUGAAAAAUAAAAUGAACCUCUUAAGAUCUUCAAUAUUAUAGCCUAGGAACUUCAAGAACAGAGGGAUGAUUUGUCGUGAACGCGAUUCAGCAACAGAUGGAAUUCUCUGUAAGCACUGAAUCAACAAGGAAAAAACUGUUGCACAUGACGCAUCAUCAGACACCGGACAGACAUAAGACCUAAAGCUUCCAUUCAAAUCUGCAAAUAUAUAUCACAAUAAUUAAUAAGUAAAACCACUGUGGACAAAAAAGAAUAGCCAGUGGACUGUAUGGAGUAAAAGAAAAGCUAGCCAACAGAUAAAAUUUAUCUUUGAGAUCUGGGAUAAAAUAGAUGGAACAUACUAUUAGCUGUUUCUAACGAUUCCCCCUUGCUUUGAGCAGCUUCAUCACGAGAACCCAGAAAAACAAACAGAUAAUGAUCAAGGUACUCAAUAUAUCUGUCCCACAACAGCCCAAAGUAUUGACUGAGGAGGACAGCUAUGCAGUCCAAUGUUGGGUUCCACAAAUAGCUAAAACGGUUAUGAAAGAUUCCAAUAAUUCCACUGAGAACAACAGGCAUAUACUCUUCAGCUACCCUCCCAGCAGAUAAACUCAUCUGUAUUUUGGAUAUCAGUAGGAUGACUUUUCUACUGGUCACAAUAGAAAGAGGCGUUUCUUCAAUCAAAAGUAGGAGAUGAAUCACCUGGAAAUAACCAGGAAAGGAUUAGUGACAGAAGAAAUUACAUAACAAAGGAGAAGGUAUCACAUUCAUACAUUAUUGCCAUGGUAAUCCACAAGAGUGGUCUGAGGAUUAUCCAUUCUCAUUUUCUUCUCAAGGGGCCGUUCAUUAGUAGAACUGACAUCAGUCAAAGGUUCAUAGUGGCACAAUAUUCUCAAUGUCGAAAGCCGCAAAUUCUUGUCGUGGUGGCUCAAAUUUGCAGCAAACACGCCUAAGGCAUCCACCAACUUACUCACUGCAAGCUCUGGGUGAAACUUUUUAGUGCUUGCAUCAGCUUGGAUUAUGGACCUUCAAGCAUAAUUGUAAAGGGGUUACCAACUGAAAGGAGUAAAAAGAGUUACAAACCUGAUUUUCAAACAAAUAUGAACAUACCCACAAACUGAAUCCAAAAAAUCAGCUACUGGAGACAACACGUGAGAACAUGUCUUGUGCUUCCUUGCCAGAUCUAAGAAACUGCUUACGACAGAAUCAUCAAAUCUGGAAUUUUGAUUGGUCAGUGACUUGCAAUAAGAACCCAAUGCAGCACCAACCAAGCUCUGCCAGGUAGUUCUGGGAUGCCCAGCAAUGUCAGCUAAGAAAAGCAAAGCACACAAAGGACAGUCAGAAAGAGAGACAUGUAAUAAGUUUUAGUGAAAAAAAAUUCCCUAUACAUUGGAGGGGGAGGGGGAAGGUCACAGACUCACAGCAACAAGGUCAUCAAAGAUUCGCUUCUUUUAGAAACAGAUGACACAUUCUAGCAUAUAGGCACUAAGGUCCAUAUCAUGAACAUCCCCCAAUUAAAUUUUAGCACUUGGUGUGUGAAAUAUUUGUUCUUUUUUGUCCCAUAAAUACCAAAGGUGGUAUAGAACUUUGUAUAGCUAAGUUUCUCCCUAAGGAAUCUAACUCAUCUCAGAUAACAUGUCUUACCAGAUUCAGUACUCAAAAGCUCAUCUAGAGCAUUAACCAAGUCCAUUAGCAAUGACUCAUUCGCUGAACCACCUGCUAUAGGGUAACAGCCUACGAUUCCCCACAGAAUGGCUAACUCAUUUUCUUCAAUUUGGGUAGAAUAUGGUUCCUUUUGAAUCCGCCGAAUCCAGCGGCCAAUGGCUUCUCGGAGAAAACUACGAAUUCUUGAAAGCUUCUCAUUUGGAACUUCAUCCAAGAAGCUAUGCCCUUGUGCUGGCAGCCUCUUAAAAAAGAUCUGCAGCAAAUGUAUAACCUCUUCUUCUGAAAUCUCAAUCAUAUCAUUUAAUGCACUGAAAUGUCAUUCAAAGAUUAAAGAUCAGUUAGCAACCAUUAAUUAUCACAUAUAAAGAAAUACCAAAAAACAAGAAACCACAAUUCAUCCCAUGAAGUGUGCUUUCAUGUGCAAAAGUGAAGCCAGGGACAAGGGCAGGACCUUAUAAUGCUAGCUCUGAAGAAAUGGACAAUGCAAGGGUCCUUCAAUAGAAGAUCUUCGACAAAAGACAGCAAACUACAACAUUAGGCAAUUGUUAGGGAAACAAGCAAGAAAUAUCACCUGGAAGACAAGCUCACAUUUGCAAAAGAAAGGCAAUACCUCUUAUUCCUCAAAUCAAACACAGGAGCCCAUUGCAUUGAAACAGAAGAGAGAGUAGAAAUAUUAUUAGCUCUAUAUAGACCAUCAAGAAUGCAAAGCAUUGACUGCAUAACUUUGUCAACAAUGUUUGAUGUUUGAUCAAUUGCCUUCACAGUAGGAUAAGGCAGAAUGUAAGUCUGUACAAGUAACUGGAUCAAUUGUAGCACCCCUUGGUAAUCUGGAAUAAGCAAAAUAUCUUAGAAAACUAUUUCAUAAUGUACAAGGCAAAGCACAUGAACAUCGCUUAUAGCCUACCAGAAAUUUUCUGAAUGUAACUAGCUUGCAGGGUAGAAACAAGAAGGGAUAAAAGGCGACCAAGGUGCAAUAGGUGGCCUUGAGAUACACACUCCGUUAUCUCCUCAUAUAAGCAAACCCACAUCAACUCCAACUCUGUAGCUUCCAAUUCCUCACAUAAUCUCUGCAGUGCUAGAACAAGAACUUCAAGAAUAGCCUCAACACCUACACUUUGCCAAAAAACACGUCAAAUGGAAAAGCUAGACCCAACAAUAUGACGGACUGUAAUAACACUUCCAUUUCUUAUAAGGCUUUAACAAUUUCAUUGCUCCAACAAUAUUUAAAACCAUUAGAUACAAAGAAAGCAUUAAUAUGAAUUGAGCAUACAUGAUUAAAUCACAGUAAAUUUUAUGUUAAAUUUUUAGACAUUUCUCCUCAAGCUCAUAUGUAAAUCACAGUAAAUUUUGUAUAUCCUACCACCUGAAAAUAUAGAACAUGGAAAGAUCUAAGCGCAAUUUUAUACGGAGCUAGCACUUCGAAUUUUCUGCAGGCAGCAAAAUAGAAAGUACUGCAAUGGUAGAUGAGCUUACCCCCUGUGAACUGAUCACCUAUUACAAACAGAGACUUGUCAGUCAGUAGGCGUAACACUUGUUCAGCCCUUGAGUGUAACCUUGAGGUGCUUCCUCUCACAACAUACCACAAUAGUGAACUGACAGCGGACUUUCUUAUUUCCAAUGGCUUCUUCGCAACUUCAAACAUAAGCUUCCUCACUCCUGUUGGUUUCAAGAAGUUAAUAGCAAUGAGGAAUGUUUAGCUGAAGAUAGCAGUGUGCUUACCUUGCUCACCCAUCAUAAAAACAAAAAACAUGUAUGAACAGAAUGAUACACGAAAGAGAUCAGAACAAGAAGGAACUGCAAAGUGAUACCUCUCGAGUUGAUUUCCAGAAAAUCUGAAUAUCUAAUAGCAACAACUGCAUUUUUACUCUGUCUAGGCAUAGGAAGAGUGACAAUACAUCCUAAGCCCCUAUUUGGAACUACCGAGAUGCUUGAGAAUAUUAGAGCAUUCAUAACAAAUUUGAUGGUAUUUAACACUUCUUUUUGAAGACUAAUGUUUUCUAAUUUCAGCCUAGGAUUCUUACUGUUAUAUUCCCAUGAAACAGGCAUAUCAAAGAGAAAAUUGCCAGACAUUGAGCAUCUCUUUACAGGGUUUGUUUACAGAAAUCUUUGUACAAGCUUAUUUACUAGUCAGUUCUUUAGUACUUCUUGAUCUUUUUUUUCUGAUGAAGUUAAAUUCUUCUGAUUCAGAAACAAAUGGUCUAUGAGUCAUCGUCAUACGGUUCUUAUCAGGGUUAAAUCAGGAUUUCUAUGAUAAAUUCUUGAUUUGCACAAUGGGAUGCCGAACCCAGAUGCUAGAAAGGAACUGAGCCAUAAUAGGUAUUUUGCUUCUUUUCCUAGUCUUCUCAACUACCUCACUGAUAACUAGCAUUUAGCACCUAAAAGAGAAAACCCUGUUCUGCUUGAUCAAUAUUUUGUUUAGAAACAACAGUUAACUUAUUGCAAAACACUUGACCAUUUGAAGUCAUAUUUCUGCACUUCUCUGCCACAAGCUUUAAAAAACAUAAUAACGAAUUGACAUAAUACAGUCCAGCAUCAUGCUGUAUAAAGAACAUCAUUAAAACUUUAAGGUCUAAAUAAUGAGCAGGAUAAGAUCUACUAGGGGCAAAACUAAGAGCACCAAAAGCUGGUCAUGUUAACUCUUUCCAUAAGUGCAUUGCCUAUGUAAUCAUUUGAAUGUAGCACACAGCACAAGAGGACAAAAGAUCAUGAAAUAAAUAGAACAGGGAGUAAGGACGGUAACAAUGAAGGAAAUUAGACCAAAUCUCCCUGCUCAGCCAAAUAGUUCUAACUACGAUGAAAGGCGAUAAUACAUAAUAGUAAAUCAGUCCCAAAAGAAGCAAACAAGAAUACAGCCAUAACAGAUAUACUUGAAAUGGCACCUAAAAAGUUCAUAAACACAAAUUAUGCCAUUUUCCAUGCAUUUCAUUUCUUUAGACUUGGAGAUGACGAAAUUGUUUAACCCCAAAGCAUUAAAAGCUAUAAGAUAGUAAGUCAUCAAAAAGGGUCAUAAAGGAGUGAUAUACAAAGUUAAGACAUAGAAACAGUUGAUUAUUACAUUUUGAAACUGAUAGCUUAAAACAGGUCAGGUCAAAUAUUCUUUUGCAACUACAUCUCUACAAAUAGAAAUUUCUCCAAGAACACAUGACAGGCACACAGGUAGAAUACCUUUUAUAAGUUGUUUAACAGGAGCAUUCCUCAAUAUGAAUGAUACUGAGUCGGCCAUAAAUUCGUGGACAUACUCCUUGGGAUAGUAUCUUAAUUGUACUGUUACCCUGUGGAGAGAGAGAGGGAUAAGCUACUUACUAACACCCAAAACAAGUGGAACCUCCAAUUAUUUGCAGAGAACAACUUAUAAGUAUAAUCUGCUGAAUUGACAGAGAAUCACAGUCAUAUCUGCAAAGUGAAGCUUUGAUAGUUGGGUAAACUUACUUUAGAACAUCAACAACAUCUUUAACAAGAUAUUUUUGCAGGUACAUCAUAAUAAAAGACCAUGACCUGAAAAUCUGCAAAACAACAAAGAAGAAUUCAGAUCAGAUAUGAAGAUAAUGUUGAGGCUGGCAUACUAAAGAUUUCUUUGCGCAAAACCCAGUACCUGCUCAAUUAUAUCUGGUUCUCUAUCAGCACCACUUUUGAGAAGACACGCCAAAGAGUCAGCAAUCCUCUGGAGAAAGCUGGCAACAAAAAUACGACUAGAAUUAUUAAAGGAACAACUAAAACCUGUUCUGCAUGCAUAAAAUUACUGAAGUAUUAGAACAUAGUGGAAUAAGCUAGCAUAAAGAUAUGGGUAAAACUGUUGAAAUGUUCUUUAUGCCAAACUUGUAGAAGUUCUAGUACUGGGUUGAUCUGCACACACCCACAAAUACUAAACGUCUUCAAGGUCAUAUGGAAUAUUUUUUACCAUUCAUGACACCGUUAAAUUAGACAGAUGAAGCACAGGGAAACUAAGUUGCACGAACCCUUCUCUUUCAAUGCUGAACUCGUGUCAGAUUCUUCAAAAUACACUACUUUUGGAGAAUCCGACAUGCAUCCGUUGACCUUUUUGAAAAGUCCGAGCAACAUAACAGGGAAACAAAUAAAACAGACACCAACAAAAUGUAUCAAUUUAACCAUAACCAUCUAUUUUUACAUGCAAGUACACCCAUCAUCUGUGGAGAAUAUUCCUAAGCCUCAAAGGCAUCUCCUGGACAAUGCCCAGGAAGGUGGCUGAGGCAUUACUAUGCUGGGAGGAAGCAGGUGUACAUGCUAAGGACAGAGGUAGAUGGAGAAUUAUCCCGGGGGUUAUCUGGUGGGCUGUUUGGAAAGAAAGGAAUUCAAGAUGUUUUGAGAGCAUAGAGAACAAUGUGCAGAAAGUUAAACUAAACUGCAUUUUACUUUUAGUCUUUUGGUGUAAUCAGUUAUACUCUAAUCACACUGUCUCUAUUAUUGAUGUGUUAGACCCAAUUUAGACGUAGAGAAGUGAAAUCAGGAGUACACUUGUAUAUAAGGUUACAGUACGACCCAUGUACUGUUUUGUGAUAUAAUACAAAGUUACCAAGUUCAAAAAAAAAAUGUAUCAAUUUAAAAUAUGAAGAUAAUAUCUGCAAAAUGAGAAGGAUAAAAACAAAAAGACAGCCAAACAAGAUAAGCAAGAAAAACUGACAGCAGCGGCCACAAUAUUAGGGAAUUGUUCCCAGAAAUGACGAUACUAUUUCCAAAUGUUACUGUUGUGAAACUAAAAGCAAGGUGCUAAACAAUCCCCACAAUGUUCAUCGGCAUGAAGCAAGAAGAAAAUCAGAUAGAAGCAGCACUCACGGUAAGAAGUCCUCCAGGAGAUCUCUAGAUAAGGCUGCAAUCAACCUACAGAUAACUAUAGCUCAUCAAUAACGGGACUUGACAAUAAAGAGGAAAAAGCAAUAGUUAAUCACUUUAUCUCUGUCGCUCUAUUAAGAAAAUGAUGGGAACAAUAAUGUAAUUCUAGGAAUAGUUAAGCACUUUACAGAUAUAGGAAUAUUUUUAGGAGAUUUGAGAGCCUAAUGUAAUUCUGAAGUAGAUAACAAAGUAGCAUUUAUGCUUCAAAAACAAUCAAAGGAGUAAUAUUUUCUUCUUUCUUUUUUAUUUUGUUAUAACUGAGAAAUCUCUGAGGCCAGUGGCGCGUAGUUCAAAACUUGGUAGAUAACCCCCCUCCUACACCACUUAAAUACCCACUUUUCUGUGGCAGGGUUUGAACCCGUGAUUUGAGCCUAACCCACACAUCAUGCUUCGUGCUCUCACCACUAGCAAAGGGGUUAUAUUCAAAUGAGAACAAAUCAAGAAACCUCAAUAAGUCUUUCCCUGUACAUUUUUAUUUAUCUCUUUUAUCAGAAAGUCUUUUCCUGUUCAUGAAAGCUCUUAAUUUGGUCAAUCAGAAUCUAUUUUUUUUAGUAUUAUGAAUCUUUUCAGAUAUAAGAGGCGGUGAACUUCCGAAACUAGAGAGAAAAAGAUGUACUGUUCACAAGACGACAAAAGCAAAAACCAAGUGAAUCAUCAAUAAAAGAAUCCAGUAAGUUCCCAGAAUACCCGAGGAUUGGCUCAAGGGAUAGUCUCCCUUUCAUGUCCAGUCUCAAAAGAAGCUUUGCGACUAUCAGUUCCUUCUGCAGUAUAAUUUGCGGUAGCGUCUGUACCAAGGGAAAUAUUUCCUCAUAAAAUGAAAUAAAAUCCUCUGCAGUGUUUAAUUCCUGUUAUUUUGUCCCAAAAAAAGAGAAGAGAAAUAAGUGGAAAUCCAAAAAAGAAAAGACAAAACAUCCUAAAAUUUAAGAAACAAACAAUCAAAAGCAGUUGAAAGGAACUUCAAAAUCAAAUGGCAAAGCAGUCAGAAGCUAUAUUGCAUGAACUCUUCAUUUGCUUAGACAUAUAUGUGUCGGAUCUGGUGUAAUGCCUAAUGGGCACUUCUUGCAAGUUCUUCGAACAACAUUAAUACUUCUCUAAGAGUUGAAUGUGCUUGAACUGGUGCUUAUAAGCACUGAAACUAUAACCAAACGCACGUACCAGAUCCCAAACUAUUUGGACAAUGGAGAAACUUAUAGAACUCUUUACCAACUGUUUCUGUGUUUUGUUUUACAGCCUCAUAGGGAAAAGAAAUCCUGAUUGAACCCUUACGAACUGUUUGGAUCUUCUUCAAAUACAAAAAUGUAAACAUAAUCAAAUGCAAAAAGAUGUUAACAUUAUCCAAAACUUAAUUCUAAGACUUUGUGAAACAACAGCUUCAUCCCACUUCUCAAAACAUCAUCAACAGAAUUGAUUUGCUGACAAUUUUUCGCCAACAUCAAGUUCAAGCCCAUAUAAAAGAUCUCUAAACAGAAGACUUGUAAUUGUCACGCUAACAAAACGAAAAAAGUUCACACUCCGCAGAUGAAAUAUAAAGUUAAUAAAAUUCAACAUGAAAAAAACAGUUGAAACAAUGAAAUUCUCCCAAAACAAAGAAUUAACUAAAUAUUCAACAAUUUUUACAUAUAAGGUAAAAGAAAUCUUCAAACAACAAUAUGAAAGUACGUACUCUCCAUUCUGUAAUACAAUCCCGGAAGAAGGAGGAACCUUCAGUGGGCUCAGCUUUUAAAGGGUCAAGAUUUCUGUACACAUCAAUGUCAACAUCCUCAAUCCGCUCUGAAAAUGUCUUGAACUUCACCAUACAUAAAAUUCAAUAAAUUCAAUCCCCACAAAAGGAAAGAAACAAUUGACAAUCAUAGGUGCAACAAAAAUGAGUACAAUGGACUCAUGUACAAAUUUUAGACGUAAAAAAUUGCUUAAUGUUAUGCAUACUUUUUACAUCAUAAACUAGCAAAAAGGCUAUCAGCAAUUGCACAUUUAGUAGGCUCGACUGUAAGUCAAAGCGUCUGACAUAACUACCCUUGACAUAGACACUAAAUCUUACAAUUGAAGAAGAACAAGCAACUGCAAAUAAGUUGAUAUAUUCAGGCCGCCUCAAAACAUUAAUAGUAGAAACAAAGAGCAUCAUUCACAUAAUAUGCACUCCCUAUGUUUCAAUUUGUUAGUUGGCACUAAAUUUAAGAAAGUAAAAAAAGAUGUUUAAAUUUGUGGUUUUUAAAUUAAAGAUAGACUAAAUGUACCAAAGAUACCCUUUAAUUUUGUCAUCUUAAACAUGCUACAUGAAAAAUUACAACUAAAGAGUUGUCAGACAAGGAAAAAUGCAUUCUUUUUCAACGAACUAAAAAGGAAAAUAAGAAAAAAUUGAACAAGAGGCAGUAAAGUUUAUGAAAAUACAACAACAACAACAAACCCACUGUAAUCCCCACAAGUGAAAGACGCUGCGGCGGACUAUGUGGCUGGUGACAUAAAAGAUAUACCGGCAGUCAGCCAACUCUGCUUUCUAACGAGGUUAAGGUUGGGAGGUAGAGAGGUUGUUUUCGAUACCUUGAGAUUAAAAAGUAAAAACAAUAGCAACAACAAAUUAUACAGUUACUAUAGCAAAGGAAAACAACAAGGUAAUACUAAAAUUGAAGCAAUGGUAAGAGAGUAACAAUACUAAUAAAAUUCCACUACUUACAAAACUUGUACCUUAAUCCUCGACUACCAUAUCUUCAUAUAACAUGUAACAACUCUAAAACAGGCUCAGAAAACUAAGAAAUAACUUACAGUAAAACGGCGGCGACCGGGGGAUUUGUUGAGAGAUUUAACAGCAUACAUAUCUGAAUGUGUUGCCAUUAUUUGCUGAAUCCCCAAUUGCUUUGCCCCCACUGUAAGUAGAUUUCGGCUGUGGGGAAAAGGAAAAAAAGAAGAAGAAGCUAAGAAGAAAGAGGUUUAACAAAAGGGUUUAAGUAUUAGAGAAGAGGCGUCGACCGUCGUAUGUAAAAAAUGGGUUUUUAUGUUCACUUUCGUUUCUUUUCGGGCAAAGGGUUUUGCUUGUUUUUUUACUUUUUAAUUUUUUGUACUGGUUUCUAACAAUAAGGGUCGUGGUGGAGUUUUGAUCUUUCAUAUGAGGUAUCGGACUCGUCUAGGCUGUAGAGUUGCUAUUUACUUUCUAAUGUAGGAUUUUUAGUGCAAAUUUAGAUAUAAUCGAGCUUUAAAGUGGUCUUUAUUAGGGAGUGUUUUAUUCCCAUAUAAAAAAAUUUGUGCGUGAAUGUGAAAUUUCACGAUGCGAAUUUGAAUUUAAUCGAGCUUCAAUGCAAGUAUUGAAUGCCGAAUGAAAAUAAAAAAAUAAGUUUAUACUGAGUUGAAUGUGUACAUUAUAUUAACAAAAAUACGAUAAUUUAAAAAGGAUUUUUAAAAUACAAUAUAAAUAGGUUAGUUUAUUUUGGAAUUUAAAAAAAAAUAUACACUUUUUUAAUAAUCACAAAAUUGAUCAAAACUUAAAAAUAGAAACAAUGACAAUAAUAUAUUUAAUGAAAUCCUACAAGUGAAUAAGACGGUUGGCUCCUCAUGAUCCGGAGGGCGAUUGGGAGCAAUGUUUGAAUGUAGAUUUUAUUAUUAUCUCGUAUGGAUGGAGAGUCUAUUUUCGAAAAUCUCUCCGUCUCAAAUAGAGCAAAUUCAUGUAAAAAAAAGAAGGAAAUUUGAAAAUAUUAAGUAAAAAGAAUAAAAUUAAAAGUUCAUUUAAGUACUCAUAAUUUCUUUUAAUUCUAUACGAGUCCAUAACUUUGAGGUUUCUAUAGAUUGACACCUCUUUUUUCUUUGGUCAAUUUCUCUUCGGUCUUGCCCUUCAACAGAUCCCUCGACCAAAAUUAGGGUUAGCAUAUUUUGUAGCUACAGUUACAUGGCUGAUCGGAACAAUUCAUCGGCGAUUACAGUGACGGCAGCGGUGAAGCCGAUAUGGGCGAAGCAAGCAGAAGAAGCGAAGCUUAAGAGCGAAGCAGAGAAAGAUGCGGCUGCGAAAGCUGCUUUCGAUGCUACGUUUAAGAACGUCGAAGCUUCAGUCACUGCAGCCGCAGCCGCAUCCGACAGUGACUUAGACGAUGAGGAAUAUGAGCAGAAGAGGCUUGCGGAGAAGCCGAUCGGUCCGGUUGACCCUAUAAAAUGUACGGCCGCUGGCACUGGAAUCGCCGGUGGAACAGCGUGUGCUCCGUCAACUUUCACCGUUGUGACGAAGGAUUCUGAUGGUCGUAAGGUACCACAUGGUGGGGCGACCGUUAAGAUUAGAGUUUCACCUGGUGUUGGAGUUGGAGGAUCAGAUUUGGAAGGAAUUGUGAAGGAUAUGGGUGAUGGGACAUACACAGUGAGUUAUAUUGUUCAGAAGAGAGGAAAUUAUAUGGUGAAUGUUGAAUGUAAUGGAAAGCCUAUCAUGGGUAGUCCUUUCCCUGUUUUCUUCAGCACAGGUUUACUUUUUUCUUCACUUGGAGUGGUGAAUUUCCUACUGCUUUGUACUUCCUACGUCAGGUAGCUUAGCUUAGUGAAAAAUAAAGAACUUUGGGAAGCAAAAGAUGCUAAAAUUAGCUGGGAUGAAGGUCUAGUGACAAUGGCAACAUACAUUAGGUGUAGUAGUAUACGCCAAAUCUUUUUAGUUUGCCUAGAAAAGUGUUGGUUAGAAAUAAUUGUAGUGAUACUCUAGUAUUAAAGAAAUGUGAAUUGCUUAACAUUAGAAUUAAAUGUGUUCCAAUGGAGCAAAAUGGAUAGCUUAUUAUUUAGAGGGCCUAAAUUUUUCAAAAAGCUGUGUAAAAUUAUGUAGAGUUUUCUUUUUUAGGAAAGGAUUGGAUUUAAGAACUAAAGAUACUCUUUUCAGAAUGAUAACAUUUAUCUAAACUCUAAAAUACUUUUCACCUGAAGUCUGAUUUGACUUCUAAAAGUUGGAUCAAAGUGAGUAUGUGAUUGAUUUGUGUUUAAUCAUAAUUGUGGUUUGUGGUAAUGUCAAAUGUGGGUAGUUGAUUGGAUUGUAAAUUCUCAAAUGAGGCUAUGAUAUUGGUUUUAUUAAAUGGAUUGCAUCGUUUUAAAGGCUUGCUUGAAUUAUAUAACCUAAACUAAUCAAUUCUACUAAUCAGAAUUAAUAAUUGGCUAUCGUACUAAAAAACAGGUGUUUUUUUUUAAAGUAUCUAGUAUCAAUGGAAUUGCUGAGAUGAGGUCCCAUUUGAUUGCGGUUGGUCAAUUCUUAUUUCCGUCGUAUGCUAUUUAGUUAAUUGUCUUGAUAAUUUCUGUUGGUAUCAGGAUGGCUUGUGGAGUUCUUUUAGUUGUUGUUUUGGACUUUAAAACAUCAGAAUCAAUAGGUGCCCCAUAAAAAAGCCCCCUCAAAAAAUAUUGGGGCUCCUAUUUAAUUGUGAUGAUUUAAAGUCCAUUUCUGUUGUCCCAAGUUUAAUGGAGCUGUUUGGUGUUAGAUAUGAGAUAUGUAGCACCUCAAUGUAAUAAUGGAAUAUAUUAUUUCACCUUUGGAACAAUUUUCACCACCCAUCAGUAGUCUAGAAUUGUAUCUGCUGCACCUCUCCACCAUAAUUAUUUUGCUCUGCCCCAAAUAGAAUGUUGUCUUCUUGUGUGUUCAGUGUUCACUUUUGUGCCUUCUGUGAGUAUGUAUAUCUACUUUUUUGAUCUAUGCAUUUGUCCUUUGUCAACAUUUCUAAAUUCCUGUUAGAGCUAAAACUUUAUUAAAAAUUCAUUCCAUGAUAACCUUACCACUACCAAUUAUUCAGAAUAUAAAUUACUCAAUUAGAUGUCCCAAGUUCUUUUGUGUUGGCUAUGGGUUUUUAUAUGGGAAGUAGAAAGAGUCUAGGCAUAUUCAUGAUAAGAUAAGAUGACAACAAAGGUGUCAGCAUGGGUUUGGCUGAAGCAGAGAUCAUAAGUUGAUGGUGCAUCAUAGCAGGAAUGUGACUCAGUCUUUGAUUUAUUGCUUGGUUACCGUAUUUUAGUCACAUAAAAGCAAAAGGACUUUAUAUACUGGCUAGAAGCUUUCAAACUACUACCCCACCUUCUGUUCUUUUCUCGAAUAACUCUCACUAUAUUUUUUCUUUUAUAACAUUCCUCUCUGAAUCUGUUUCAGAACUUAUAUAUAAAAUGUGGUACUGCUGUUCUCUUGUGCUUACUCUUAUUUUUCUCUUUUUGUGAUGUCCUCAUUAAUAUUGUGAUGUAGUUUGAAUGAGGAAUGAUAUGGUUGACGUUUAACAUGGAACUGUAACAGUAUGUUAGAUAUUUUACAUAGUUAUGAUGAAGAUGUACUCAUGUUUUGGUUUACAAAAUUCAACAUUGUAUUCUAGAUGUUAAAGAAUUUAAUGCUGUAUUUGUAUCACGCAGGCAGUACGACUGGUGGGCUAUUGGGUAUAGUACCGUCAACCACAUUUCCAAAUAUGGUCAACCAGAACAUGCCUAAUAUGCCAAACUAUUCUGGUUCUGUAUCUGGGGCAGUCCCAGGAUUGCUUGGGAUGAUACCAGGUAUUGUUCCUGGAGCUUCUGGAGGUGUAGUUUUACCUGGAAUUGGAGCAUCUAUUGGGGAAGUUUGCCGAGAGUACCUUUAUGGACGAUGUGCAAAAACUGAUUGCAAAUUCAAUCACCCCCCUCACAAUCUUCUAAUGACUGCUCUAGCUGCAACCACCAGUAUGGGAACACUUAGUCAAGUGCCCAUGGCACCUUCUGCGGCUGCUAUGGCUGCUGCUCAGGCAAUUGUUGCUGCACAAGCUCUUCAAGCGCAUGCUGCUCAGGCACAAGCACAGUCUGGAAAAGAUUCGUCUGGUAUUUCUAGCUCUCAUUACUGUCUAUAAAUUCCUCCUAUUUGUUGAUUAUUGUGAGUUAUUCUUAAAAUUUCCUUACUCCACUAGUCCACUUGUACAUUGAUUCUUGAAUUUUUUUUCUUGUACUUCUAUCUCCUAUCAUUGCCUAAUAAGUAAUUUAUAUAUUUUUUUGUUACUGGGGGCUGCUCAUAAACUUUUCUUACUUAAGUUUCUUCAAACUAUAUUGCUUCUAUAACAUAAAGAGAGCAGAUAGGCUCUUACUACUUUCUCUCUGCUUCUUCCCCAACCUACUCAUCAUAAAAUAUGAUGUGUAGAAUUAAAAAUGCAUAUUGACAUUUCUGCUAUGUAUCCAUGAGAGUGUACCUCAUUCUACUUCUUUGUGCUAUUUAUGUUUCUUUAUGUAUCAGGUGACAAAGAUAGAAAGGCCGAAUCCCUUAAAAGAACUUUGCAAGUCAGCAAUCUCAGCCCACUUCUGACAGUGGAUCAGUUGAAACAGCUGUUUGGUUUCUGUGGUGCAAUCAUUGAUUGUAGCAUUACUGAAUCCAAACAUUUUGCUUACAUCGAAUACUCAAAACCCGAAGAAGCAACUGCUGCUUUAGCAUUGAACAAUAUAGAAGUUGGUGGUCGCCCCUUAAAUGUUGAAAUGGCAAAACAACUUCCUCCAAAGGCAGCUGUCUUAAAUUCAUCAAUGGGCUCUUCUUCUUUGCCCUUGAUGAUGCAGCAAGCAGUAGCAAUGCAGCAGAUGCAGUUCCAGCAAGCCCUAUUAAUGCAGCAAGCUAUGACUGAACAACAAGCUGCUAAUCGAGCUGCAACCAUGAAAACUGCUACAGAUUUGGCUGCCGCAAGAGCUGCAGAAAUAAGCAAGAUGUUGAAAGCGAAUGGCCUGGUUUCUGAAGAUAAGGAAACUGAUGACAAAGCUAAGUAUGUCACUUGAGCUAUUUUUCUUAUAUGCUUAUAAUCUAUCUUAUGUGUUUGGUAAUUCAUCUAAACUGGUAUCAGGAGUAUCUUGUUUAAUUAUUAAUAGUUGGACUUAUUGCACCUGUAGAACAUCACCAUGUCUUGUGUUUAGGAAACAGCAUGAAGUGAAUGUAAGCUAUGCAUAUCCAUACCUUUAGAUACCAAAAAAGAUUACAUAUAGCUGGCUAUGUUCAAUGCUUUGAUUAUAAUUGACAACAUAAUAGACUUAAUUGUGAGUCUUGCGAGCUUUUAAGAUUCUCUAUGGCUGUCUUUGAUCUUGAGUGAUAAAGAGGUCACUAAAAAGUUCCAAUGAAGAGAGAGAGGGGGGGGGGGGGGGGGGGCCANNNNNNNNNNNNNNNNNNNNNNNNNNNNNNNNNNNNNNNNNNNNNNNNNNNNNNNNNNNNNNNNNNNNNNNNNNNNNNNNNNNNNNNNNNNNNNNNNNNNNNNNNNNNNNNNNNNNNNNNNNNNNNNNNNNNNNNNNNNNNNNNNNNNNNNNNNNNNNNNNNNNNNNNNNNNNNNNNNNNNNNNNNNNNNNNNNNNNNNNNNNNNNNNNNNNNNNNNNNNNNNNNNNNNNNNNNNNNNNNNNNNNNNNNNNNNNNNNNNNNNNNNNNNNNNNNNNNNNNNNNNNNNNNNNNNNNNNNNNNNNNNNNNNNNNNNNNNNNNNNNNNNNNNNNNNNNNNNNNNNNNNNNNNNNNNNNNNNNNNNNNNNNNNNNNNNNNNNNNNNNNNNNNNNNNNNNNNNNNNNNNNNNNNNNNNNNNNNNNNNNNNNNNNNNNNNNNNNNNNNNNNNNNNNNNNNNNNNNNNNNNNNNNNNNNNNNNNNNNNNNNNNNNNNNNNNNNNNNNNNNNNNNNNNNNNNNNNNNNNNNNNNNNNNNNNNNNNNNNNNNNNNNNNNNNNNNNNNNNNNNNNNNNNNNNNNNNNNNNNNNNNNNNNNNNNNNNNNNNNNNNNNNNNNNNNNNNNNNNNNNNNNNNNNNNNNNGGGUCUACUAGAAACAAUCUUAGUAUCUGCUUUAUAAGUUAUAUGUGAGCGGUUCUGGGAGGAGUGGAAUCUAAUUAAAAGGAUGGCCUAUUGAAUCUCCUAGGUAUCAUAUGUUUUACAAGGGUGGGAUUUGAGUGGAGUGGGACAAGGACAAGGCUUUCCUCGUGAAUCUUCCAAGCAUCGUAUGGUUUAUAUAGAAAAAAUCUUGAAUAAUUGUUGCAUAAUCUAUUUCAGUUCUGCAGGAGAUCCUAUAAUGUUUGCUGGUAUUGGUUGUUCCUUAUUAUGGAAAAACAAAUGUAAGGGAUGUUAAUCUGGAGCAAUUUCUAGGAAGGUGACACUUCUUUUCUAGGAUUUGGAUGUCCGAGAGUGUAUAGAGUUUCUCAUCAUCUGCUAUUUAUUUGCUUGUUUAAUUGUAUUGGUCUUCUACUAAUGAGCUGCACUGUUAUAGGUCACCUUCUCCCAGUCGUGCUAGGUCAAGAUCCAGGUCGCCAUCCAAAUCUCGAUCCAGAUCAAGAUCUCCAAUAAGUUAUAGGCGAAGGCGGAGAUCCCGUUCUUUCUCUCCUCCACGGAGAUCAAGAGAUUAUAGAUCCAGGUCACCUGUGAGAUCCCGGCGCUAUUCAGGCUACGAAGAUGAAAGGCGGCCAUAUAGGGAUGUUAGAUAUGCUAAUGAAAGAAGUCGAAGACGGGAUUUUGUUAGAUUCUAUGAUCGUCGUUCUCCUGUUUCAAGGAGAAACAGAAGUAGAAGCACAAGUCCCCGAACUAGAAAAUCUUACCGUGACGAUUCAGGCUCACCAAAACACCGCCGAGAAAGUCCAGCACUUAAGACAAGUAGAGCUUCUCGCCAUGAGUCACUAUCGCCUGAACAUAGACGAAAAAGUAGGUCAUCCCCAAAAGAUGGUGAAAGAAAAUCAAAAUAUAGCAGGCGCUCGAGAUCAAAGUCUGCUGAAGUUAGGGACCAGUCUGAUGAUAAGCUAGAAGGAAGCAGGGGUGAGAAAUCCAGGCAGAAGGAUCAAAGAAGGUCAGCAUCACCACAGGUUGAUGAAGAUGCACAGAAGAAAAUGUCACCGGAAGUUGUGGAAGAAAGCAAGUCAAAGCAGAGAAGAACCUCCAGGUCCAGAUCUCCAGAAGAGAAGCAUCUUUCUAGCAGAAGCAGAGAAGAGAAAAGAAAGCAUCAUGCUAGAAGGCGCUCCAGGUCAAGGUCCAAAUCUCCUGAAGAGAAAGUUCACUCAAGUGAUAAAUUAGACAGAAAUAAAGGAGAUAAACCUAAGCAUCGAAGUAGAAGGCACUCAAAGUCAAGGUCCAGAUCUCCUGAAGAAAGACAUCAUUCAAGUGCUAAAUUGGAAAGGAGCAGAAAAGAGAAAUCAAAGAGUCGAAGUAAAAAGCGCUCCAGGUCAAGAUCUGUCGAUGAUAAGCAGCACGGAACUAAACAGUCAGCAAGCCGUUCUGAUAGCCGACGAUCAAAGCUCAGGGCACGUUCUAGAUCAAAUUCUUCUGAAAGUAGGCAUGGAUCAGGUCAAGAUGAAACCAUAAAGGAUGAAGUGAGAGGUCAUAGGGGUCACCAGAGAAGAUCUAGGCAGGAUGACCAUAAUCAUGGAACAACUGAGAUUAGCUUGAUGGAAGAAGAUCCUGCUAAGGGAAUGUAAACCAGUGACUGAUAGCUUCCAAUUCAAAGAGUUCUGAAUCUAUGGGUUAUGGCUUGUGAUACUCAAUUGUGUGAACAUUUUAUUUUACCAUUGCAGAAAACAUGAGAAGUUUUGAGGAAGCACGAUGUCCUGGAAGAUCGUGAUCCCAACACCUGAUGAUCAAGAAAGAUCUGUUAGACUGAAUUAAUUGCAGUUUGUAUGACGGAAAUGCCUAUUUUUGCUUCUUUUGCAGGUCCUUCAUGGAACAUAACCAGAAAGUGAAGUAGCAUUAGUUGAAAGGUUGAGUAUCAAGUUUGUGCCAUCUUGGAUCAACUCUGCUGAGUUUCUUGUGAACUACUUUUUGAGCUCAUGUAUGGUGAACUUUUACCUCUGUCAGUAGGUAGUAAUUUCUUAAUUGUAUGUCUGUUUGAGGAUUUUAAUCACCCCUUAUCCUUUUAGUAAUCUCAGUGUUGUGAAGGAAGGUAUAUCAAUUACCCUUUCUUGUGAGGGAAUUGUGCCUUCCACUGAAGAAUUUGAAUGUCCUUGAGCAUUAUGUUUUCAUAUCCUGUACUCAUUAACUGAUGCGAUCUAAUGAUAGGGUAGUUUCAAAAAGCUUUCUAAUUAAGUAGCUUAGUUGUCUUAUGAAUCUAUUGUACUACCUUUGCAUGAUGAGUUAGUGAUGUUGGUAAUUCGGUAGGAGGCUCCAAUUUUAUUUACAUUUGGUGGCUUGGUGGGCCUGUUAAAUUCCAAAAACAUGCAGGUCUUGGGACUGAUUCUUGUUGGCGCUUUAUCAAUUGAAUGGGCAAAGUUAUAUCUGAUUGUAUUUGAAGGUAUGCAAUUGAAAUUUUUGGUUGUUUGAAUGGGAGGGCAUUCACUGCUUUUGGAACAAUUAUUUUAAGAAUGCUGGCUGAAAAUUGUUGGGAUGAAGAAAUAUGUUAAAGUUUAAGGUUGUUAAUCUUCACAUAUUUUGCAUUGCUUCUUUCCUCAUCUUUUCUUCUCCUUUUUUCCAUCUUCUCCUUUUUUUCCCUUUUUUUCUUUCUUUUGUCUUUCUUCUUGAAAAUGUUUGGUUAGGCAGGCUGCUAUUAAGGUUAAUGUAACCAGAUGUUGCUGAGAUGAUAGUGCAUGAUGCUCCCUGAAUCGAGCAUGAAACAGAUACUCAUAUCUGUUCUUUAAUUGGUGGAACUCAAUUGUUCCAUAACAGGUAAAAUCUUGUUGAAUUCAUUAGCUUCUAGUUUUUAUCCUUGCAAACGGAGUAAUGGAGGACAUGAUGGUUAUUGCUCAACACCUCUAGUUCACACAAUUUUAGUUGCCGAAAUUGUCUAAUUGAUUAACAGGUGGUUUAUCUGGCCUCUUGCUUAUAUUUUAUUCGUCUAGUGUCCUCCGGGGUUACAGUAAUUAAAGUGAUUGGAACCUCUUGCAGUUACUUCAAAUAUUAGGAAAAAAUAUUGCACUUAAGAAAAACAAUAGGCAUUAAGAAAAUAGAAGCGUUAUUAAGACAUUUAUUUGGGGGAAAUGGUAUGUAUGAAAUCCACAUUUGCACUGUAUGCUGACACUUGUUUGUAGCAUGCUAUGACAUGUAAAAGCUACAUACAUUGUAUGAAAUAACCUUAUCUGAAGAAUUCCUUGAUCUGUAUCAUAUAUCUGAUUGUGGAAAUUCUCGCAUUACCCUUGUACUUUAUAUUGACUCCUAUGCUCUCAUGGUGGCCACCUUAUUGUCUUCUGAAGGCAUUCUUUGUUAACUGUCUGAAGAAUCUCUGCCUUCUUUUUUUUUUUUUUUUGGGUUUUCCGUUUUGUUUUUUCUAGGUGGUGCUGGAUGUAUGGGACUGAGAGCUGUAUCCUGUUGUCAAUCUAGAUGUGGUUGAUGUCACACUUAUAAUUUCCUUCCCUUCCCCCUUCCCCCUUUCUUUUUCAUUUACAUUCACGUUUACCCUUCCCUGUCUUUCAUCUCAGCUUCUCUCCCUUGCUUUCCUCUUUUUGUUUUUGGGGUGGUUGGAGGUUCUAUAAGGAGUAGUAUGACUAGCUAAAAGGCACAAGCAGCAAGGCGAGGAAGCAUUAAUUUUGGCUGGUGAUUUGACUAUAUGUAUUUUUGCUAGGAUGUUUUUGUUUGGACAAGGAUUAUAGCUCAAGAGUAGACACUUUGUUUAGGUGUGUAUGGCCAUCUAUGAAAUAAAAAUCAACAGAUAUUUUUCAGUAGUCUUAUUCCUUUGCAUGUUAAAGUUUCAAUACACCCACAUAAUGCUUAUCAUCCUUCUUUCUUUCCCGUCAAUUCUUCACUAGUGGACUAUACUUGGGUUAAAAAUGGUGUUGGCUGAUACCAUUUUCACUCCCUGAUAGCAGAUUAUCCUAUAGGGUAAAAGCUGAUUCUGACCCUCGAAAUUUGCCUAGUGUUCUCAUCCCUGGAUCUGAAAGAUAUUUGUGUCUUAUGAACUGAUUAAAUUAUCUCCAGAAGCAAACUAUGCUUUUGUUUUGAAUUGUCUAUCCCUUGUUGUUUGGUGUGGUUCUAUGGACUCUUGUUUGACAAACAUCCUGUUCAAUUCGCUAUACGCAUUGUGCUAGCUCACUAACAAUGCACAUUCCAUAAACUUAUUGUGUGCAUAUGUAUCCAUUAUAUUCAUGGAUAGCACAUGGAUUUUUUCUUGAACCAACUGCUCAUUCUGGAUUUGAGUUGCUUAUAACGAGAAAUCUAUUUUCUUUGUUUAGUUUUUCUUAUAAUUUGAUAUGCUUUAUGAGUAUUGCUCCUUAUUUUCUGAAUUUCUCUAUUUUUGUGUGCGCAAUAGAGUUAUCUGAAGCUGAAUAAUGAAUGCAUGUAAAGAUUUUGAAAGAACAUUGUAUCAUCAGAAGGUUUGAGGUCAAGAAAAAAAUUAACGAAGCUGUAGGUGUUAUCAUUUUCAAUCAACCGUUAAAACUUCUGUUCCACUUGUUAGUCAUAUGAACAAUUUAAUUGUAACAAUUUGUUUACAUAAAUUGAAAAACAGUUCACCAGUAACCACUAAUACCAAUUGAAUUAGUCGUUGUUUGAUUGUGAUUUUGUUGAAAUAUGGUAAAUUACGGUAAGUACCCUUGUAAUUUGAAUCAAUUGCACCAUGUAUUUUUAAGUUCAACACUUAGAUAAGGUAAGGCUUUGUGUACGUACCUACAAUGUUUGUACUUAUCAAUUCUAUGAAAUAAAUAUAGGAUAAGAUCAUAAUUUUGUACUUUUUACACCAUCGAAAUGAAAAAUAACAUCUCGUAAAAAUUAUGUUCUUAUCCAAAACUAAGGUGUACAUUGCCAUAAAAUUCAUUAUCAAUGGACAGCUUUUAUCUCUGAUUUUGUAUUUUUGCAAUUUAGAGGAGUGACAUCUUAUCCAUCCACGUAGAAAGAGUAGGCAAUGUUUGGCAACUUUAAUUUCAUGUCAAAGUCAUUGUAGGCAAACAAAAUUUAGGUACAACUUACAAGUUGUUAUUUGGUGCAAAAGUGCAUUAAUAUAUUUCUUUUUCGUACGUGGGGCUAAAGUAACGUGGCGACUUACUCAUUCAAUGACUUUAGUACUAGACGUUCCCAAAAUGAAGACUUUUAGGUAAAUUCAUUUUAAUAGACAAGGAAAGCUUGAAACUUUUUCCAUCUCUCUCAAUAAUUGUGUCGAAGUAAUUUUUAGGGAGACUUUCUCAUGAAAUAAUUGUAAUGAGGAAUGUUAUAGUAUAUUCCUUGUAAUUAUGAUUAAUUCACAAAUUUUAAGUAAGAUGGUAGAAAGUGAGCAAACUUUUUGAAUCUCUCUAGAAACUCGACAAAAUUGUCUAACUCACAAUAUCAAGUUGUUGGUGUAUCAAAUUCAAUGAACUUAGUAACAUAUUUAGUUUUUCGAUAAUGAGUUCAUCUAAAUUUAAUAUUUUUAAGUGAAACAUAAUAGUAUAUAAAUGAAAAUCUUCAGAAAUAUUGAAAAUAUAAUGAAGUUUAAUGAUAAAAAUCAAGUAACUCAUCAAAUUAAGGUACUUUAUCCGCCAUCAACUAAAACUCAUUACUACUAUGGCUCCCAAAUAGGUUAUGAAAUCGAUUAGCCACUAACUUAUUUAAAAAUCAAAUUUAAAAUGAAAAUAUGUUAAAAACUUCAACUUCUCGGGUGAAAUAUGUGAAAAUUUCAUCCAUCUUAAAUUCCACAUGUGAAACUAUAUUGAAUUACUCAAUACUCGCUUCUAGUGGUGAAGUUAUGAAUUUUACUAAGGGGUCAAACUAUGAUGAAGUAAACACAUGAACUAGCCAAAGAGAGUCCAACAUAUAUUAUAUUACUGGUGUAAUUUUCCGUAUGUCGCGCCACCCGUGCUCCCUGAAAUGAACAUCUAAUUCUUUAAUUUAACUUUUUAUCUAAUAUAUUUAUAAUACAUUCAAUAUAUUUUUAUGUCGAAGUCAAAAUCAGACAAAUAAAUGGAACAUAUCCAAACACUCCACUUGCCUUUUUCUUAUAUAUAUACACACCUAAAAACCUUGACACUUCAAUCAAAUUCCACAAGAAAAAAAAUGUAUCUAAGAACCCCAAUAGAUCGUGUACUAUUUUCCCCAUCAUAUCCACAAUUUUCAAGAACACAAAAAGGGUCUUUGAGAGUUAACUCAAAACUUAACAACAAUGUGAUAGAAAUUAGUGAAUCAAAAAGCUUUUAUGAGCUUUUGGGUAUUCAAGAAACUGUUUCUUUAUUAGAAAUCAAACAAGCGUACAAACAAUUAGCAAGAAAGUACCACCCAGAUGUUUCACCUCCGGGUCGGGUCGAAGAAAAUACCAAAAGGUUUAUUCGGGUUCAAGAAGCUUAUGAGACAUUAUCGGAUCCUAAAUCAAGAGAUAUGUAUGAUAAAGAUAUGUCUAAAGGUUUUCACUUUGCAUUUUCUCCUCGUAGAAAGUGCCAAAAUGAUGAGGUUAGUUUUUUAUUUAUUUUUAGAUAAUUUUUUUGGAUAUUUGGGUGAAUUAAAGUUUGUGUUUUUGAAAUUUGUAAAUUAUUGUAUUAAACAUUUUAACUUUGAGUUAAUUGAUAACUUAACACUCUAAGCUGAUGUGACAUGUAAAAUUUUGAAAGUGUGUAGAUGAUUAUUUUGCAAGUUGGAGUGUUCAAUUGAGAUGAGUUGAUGUGUCUGAAUGUGCAUAUUGUUAGUUGAGGGCGAGUUUAAGUGAUUGUUUAUGUAUGAUUUUGUUAUACUAUGAGGUGAAUUAAAGAUUUUUUUUUAAUUUGUAAAAAUUUGUGGUAGUGGUGUUUUUUAAAGUUUGAAAUUAAAUGGGGUUUGUUUAAUUAUCUUGUUUUAGUCACCUAAUUUGUGUGUAAAAUAUGUUUGGUGUCUAAUUUGAGGGCAAUUUGUCUUUAGCGUGAUUGUUGACAACUAAGGGACUCUUCACUUUCGAUGUCGUACCCGUGUUGGUUUCUCUGAAAAUAUACUACUUUUGGAGAAUCCGACAUACAAUUGUUGACAUUUUUGAAGAGUCCAAGCAACAUAGGUUGACAAUACUCUGCUAUUUUAAUUCUUUUUUCCUCUAGAAUUUGGUAUGCUUAGUAUUUUUGUGUAGAACAUAUUAGGAUAUAGUUGUGUGAGUGAUAAGGUUGGCAACAAGGUCUGGGAUGGAUGGAAUAUUAGUGUCUGGCUGAUAUUUGAUUUGAAAGAGUUGUAAGAAUCAGGGGCGGAGCUAGCAAGACGCAAGGGGGUUGCCCAAGAUCUCAAAAAAAUUUAAAAUGUGUAUAUACUAGACGUUGAAUCCCUUGACUUCUUUGUGUCUUUACUUUUUAUAUUCUGAAUUCCUUAGUGAAGAUCCUGGCUUUGCUACGAUAAAAGAUCACUCGUAGAACAUGGAGUUAGUGUUGUUGAAAUGCCAUAUACUUGUCAGUGCAUCUCUACAACUUUAUACAGCCUCUGCUACUGAAAAUAUAUCGUUUGUUUAGAGAAUCGCAGCUUUUGCAUUCAUGUAAUUGGUUUUGUUUUGUUGUUGUACAGUGAUAUAUCCGCGAAUUCUACUCUUGAAAUCUUCUAUUUUCUUCACUGAUAUGGUUUUCUUAUAUGCAUUUAGUCAAUGGAGGACACCGGUGAAUGGAAGAAUCGUUGGCAUUCCCAGCUAUCCGAGUUGAAAAGAAGAAACACACACAAGGACUCUGGUAACAAUAUGUCUUGGGGUGCAUGUAUGCGUAGACAAAGGAAUGAAACAUCGUUAUAACGAAUAAUCCUUGCUAUAUAGUUUUUAUAUAUUGCUUGUAUAUUAGAUAUAUAAUUGGAAGUGUUUGGUUAGCAUUGAUGUUUUAAGUAGUGUAACAACUAUGUAAGUGCUAACCAAAUAUAGGUAACUGUUUGUACAUAGAGUUAUUUGAAUCAAGUUGCUAUUUUAACCAUAUCGCGCUAUUAUUUCUCGAGCUAUUUACGUGGUUUCUGCUGUGAAUGUAUGUUGAAUUUGUCUCAAUCGCGCUCUUUGUUUUGGCAACGGUUGAUGCAAAUAGUAGAGAGACUUUUCUAUUCAUGUGCAGUUGAUUUUCGAACAAAAGGAAGAGUGAUAGUAGCUUUCUCUCAUAAUACUAUUUGGACUAGAGCUGUCAAUAUGGGUCAAUCCAACUGAAGUCAGCCCAGUCUACAUGGGCUGUAUAAAUUAUUGGCCCAACUUCUCAUUUGAGGACCUUCAAAAUGCUAGCCCAAUCCAGCUCUACACGGCCCAUGGGCUGUUGGGUGUCCAACAAACCUUUCUUAAUUAAGAAAGAUUCAUUCACCGUAGUUUCUCUUAGUAGCAGAUAAAACUACUAAUAUCACAUCAUAUAGAAUAUCGAUCGAUAGGCAUUCAAGUCUAUUAUAUAAUUCAUAUUGAUGAUCUUAUUGUUUUCACGAGCGCAUCCUUUCUUAGAGUCAGUUGUUUUCAAUCAGAAGUUAAUGCUUGCUUUCCUAAAGAAUAAAGGGGAAAUUAUAGCCCAAUGUUUUUGGCUAUUCAAUUACAAAAUAUGUACUUAGUGUAUAAAUAAUGAAUACUUUAUAUAAGUAUAUGCAUAUACUACAUGUAACAUAUACAUACUAUAUAUCUAUAAUAUAUAUACAUAUACUAUAAUAUAUCUAUACACAAUAAUAUCGACAAUCAAAGUUUGACCUUCAAUCAUGUUGGUAAACUAGAUGAUCAAAGAUUACAUUUUACCUAAGUUUGACUCUCUUGAAGGGUGAUAAGGGUCAAACAUGUAGUCAAAUACAUUAAUUAAAUUUCAUAGAAAGUAAUUAAACAAAUAUCUGUUUUUUUACUGAGACUGUAAUUUCAUAAUAACGGGAUGUUCACUUAAAACAUGAAAAAAGGUAAGUAAAUAUGAUUUUUAAUAUUGUGUCUCUAUAUUAAAAAAAACAAGGAAAUAAAAUUUGGUAAAUUAAUCAUUAUUUUUUGUAACUUAUCAAAAUCAAGUACUUUUACAAGUCUAUAUAUUAGAGAAAAAUCUUAAGCAUUUUUCAUCAUCUUUUGAUUUUUGAGCACUAAAUCACAUAUUUUCAAUGGCCUCUACAAAAUCCUCCCUUCAGUCAAUUUUGCUGCUCUGUGUGGUUUUGUUUUCUCUUGUGAAUCUCCAUCAAUGUAUGUUUACUAUAAUUUAUUGAGAUUUUCAAUGUAAAACUCGUAAAAAAUAUGAUAUUAUUAUUUACGUGAUUCGAUAGUAUAAGAAUUUUUUUUAACGUAGUAAUGUCAGUAUAUGAAAGCUAAUUAACUAAUUUAUAUGUUAUCGUAUUUCACAAAAUGCAGGUGAUGAAAGCACGAAACUUGAUGCAAACGAUGUAUGCGACCAACUUGUGGUUCCUGGUGAACCACCCCAUUGGUGUUGCACGUUGGACAAACCACUCAAUUGUGACUAUCUUUCUCUACAAAAUUGUCAAAAUAAUUGUCAUUAAUAAUAAAUUAUGACUUGUAUUAGUGAUGAUUCUUCAUCAUUUCCAAGAGUUUAAUAAAAUGAUUUUGAAGUUUCAAUUUGAUUAAAAUGACUUAUAAUCUUUUGUGAUUUUUCUUUGUUAAUUCAAGUAAGGAUAUAAGUUUUUUUCGUCUAAGUGACUUAUAUUUGUUUGAUAUGAAAAUUUCUGAUCUCCAUUUUAUUAAAUUCUUCUCUUAGACAAGAGCUUACUCAAUUCCUUUUUAAACUUCCGCAAAGCUCUCCUUUCCUUAGAGUUGUAUAUGAAGAAAUAUAAUGUCCUUAGUUGUAUGUAGUUUUGUACCGUCAAGAACCAUAUUAAUUAAAAGUCUGUUUAGAUGAACUUGUUUUAAGUGUUUUUAAGCUAAAAGUAGCUUUUAAGCACCUGAUGGUAAGUUACAAUAAUAAAAAUAAUAAGUUAAGAUUUUUUACUUAUAAGUCAAAAGGAAAUACAAACAGGUUCUAAUUAAUCAUUCUUAUUAUUUUUACGAAUCAAAAUUUUCAAGAACAUAAACGACGUCAUGCUUUAAAUAAAGAAAAAAAAAUCGACUAGGGGAAUAUUAAUUUUGUAUUUAACUUUUGGAAUUUUAUUUUUAAAAUUUUAUAAAACGUAAGCUAAUGUCUUCUAUUAUAUUGAGAAUAUUGUAAUUAUCAUAUCUAAAACAUGUAAAAGAUAAGUAGUUGAAAUUUUAAAUAUUGUGUCUCUAGAUGAAAAUUAGGUAAUAAAGCUUGGUAAGUUAAUCAUAAGCUUAUGUCCAUUAUCAAAAUUAUAUACUUCGAUAGAACUAUAUAUUUGUGAGAAUUUCAUAUGUAUUUCUCAUUUUAUUUUAUUUUUAUCCUUGAGCACUAAAUCAUAUAUAUAUGUUCAAUGGCCUCUAUAAAAUUCUCCAUUGGAUCCAAUUUGCUAAUUUUUUUGGUUUUGUUUUCUUUAUUAGUUCUCCAUCAAUGUAUGUUCAAAUAUAUUUAUUCCUUUAUACUUAUAUUAUUAUUAUUAUUAGUAUUAUUAUUAUUAUUAUUAUUAUUACUAUUAUUAUUAUUGUUGUUGUUGUUGUUAUUAUUAUUAUUAUUAUUAUUAUUAUUAUUNNNNNNNNNNNNNNNNNNNNNNNNNNNNNNNNNNNNNNNNNNNNNNNNNNNNNNNNNNNNNNNNNNNNNNNNNNNNNNNNNNNNNNNNNNNNNNNNNNNNNNNNNNNNNNNNNNNNNNNNNNNNNNNNNNNNNNNNNNNNNNNNNNNNNNNNNNNNNNNNNNNNNNNNNNNNNNNNNNNNNNNNNNNNNNNNNNNNNNNNNNNNNNNNNNNNNNNNNNNNNNNNNNNNNNNNNNNNNNNNNNNNNNNNNNNNNNNNNNNNNNNNNNNNNNNNNNNNNNNNNNNNNNNNNNNNNNNNNNNNNNNNNNNNNNNNNNNNNNNNNNNNNNNNNNNNNNNNNNNNNNNNNNNNNNNNNNNNNNNNNNNNNNNNNNNNNNNNNNNNNNNNNNNNNNNNNNNNNNNNNNNNNNNNNNNNNNNNNNNNNNNNNNNNNNNNNNNNNNNNNNNNNNNNNNNNNNNNNNNNNNNNNNNNNNNNNNNNNNNNNNNNNNNNNNNNNNNNNNNNNNNNNNNNNNNNNNNNNNNNNNNNNNNNNNNNNNNNNNNNNNNNNNNNNNNNNNNNNNNNNNNNNNNNNNNNNNNNNNNNNNNNNNNNNNNNNNNNNNNNNNNNNNNNNNNNNNNNNNNNNNNNNNNNNNNNNUAUUAUUAUUAUUAUUAUUAAAAUUAUUAUGUACCAUACAAAAAGUAUACUUUUGGGUAAUAUGAGGUUUUUUUUUACAUAUUUUGUUAAUGUAUAAAAAUUAAUCGAAUAAUGAUAUUCAUUCUUAUUUCAUGAAAUACAGGUGAUGAAAAUACCCAAGUUAUAGCAGACGCGGCACCCGAUCAAUGCAUCCCAAUUCAUGAGCAAAGCAAUCCAGUACCCAUAUGGUGUUGCCCAGCAAAUAUAGAAUGCUAUGAUACUAACCAAACAUGUCAUAAUAAUUGUCACUAAUUAUAAUAAUUUUUAGAGUAUAAUAUAAUAUUACUAAUUCGAGAAAGCAUUAUGGAUUUCCUCAAUUAGUACUAGAGUUUCAUGUUACUAAUUUUGUUGAUGUAUAACUAAAACAAAAAUAACUCGAUAAUUAUAACGUUAAUAAAGUUCAAUUUUCAGCUAUCGAUUUUAUAUACUCUAAUUUUAUAUAUUUAUAUCAUAUUUAUCUUUCAUUCUCUCUAUCGAUUUGAAGUUGAACAUUUUAUACACUAGUGUUUCUCUUUCGACGCAAAAGUUUAUUCAUUUGCAACCAAAAAAAAUUAUGGGUUACAAAAUAUUUCCAAUAUUUAUGGGUUUUAUUGAUGUUUAAUAGUGUAUAGGCUUAUAGAUAUGCAGUAAUUUGAAUUUCGAAUUAUCAUUAUUUGUUAAUACAAUUUGUAUCGUAUAGGACUCUUCUAGGUAUAGAGUUUGUGUUCUCGGAGGAGUUAAGUACAUCGGUUGUUUCUGUAUUUUGUAUCUAUAAAAGAGUAUCUUGCUCUUUCAUUAUAAUAAGACCGAUGCUAUGUUUUACCACAUUUAUCAAUGUUAUUUUCAUGUUGGACAAAUAAGGAAAAAGUAUCAAAAAUUAAGAAAAUAUCUCUUGUGCAUAUAUAGAUUUUUUUAUAAUACAUAUAUAGACUAAAACUAAUUUGGUAAAUCAAUUAUUUAUUUGUGUUAGUUACCAAAAUGAAGUACUUUUAUAGGCUAUAUAUAUGUGGGAAAAUUUCAUAAUAUAAGUAUUUCUCACUAUUUUUAGACUUUAGAACAUUAAAGCAUAUUUAUCUUCAAUGGCCUCUACAAAAUUUUCCCUUCAAUCAAUUUUGUUGCUUUCAAUGGUUUUGUUCUCUAUAUUUGCUCUUCAUCAUUGUAUGUCCAUAUACAUUUUUCUUAUUAUUAUUUAUUAUAAUUAUAAUUGUUAUUAUUAUUAUUAUUAUGGGCAAAAAAUAAUUUAAUAAACAUGCAAUAGGUAGCCUUUGUUGUUUUUCAAGUUAUAAUUCCUCAUUUUACGGAUGGUUACAUGCAUAUUGUUAUCUUUUACAGUAAUUUGAUAGGAUAAGAACUUUUGUUAUUGUGUAGAAACUAAUCGAGAUGUGUUUUCUUAUUUUAAAAAAAAUGCAGGUGAUAAAAGUACGAGAAUUACAUCAAAACUUAACAGUGAUGUGUGCAUACCGCUUUUGAGUCAUGGUGAGCCACCCAAAUGGUGUUGCUACACGAACAAUCCACCCACAUGUGGCUAUGUUUCUCUAAAAGAAUGUCAUGCUCAUUGUCAUAAAUGAAAAUUUUCAAAAUAAUAAUUAUGUUAAUUAAUUUGAGAAAGCAUUAUGAUUUUUCUCAAUUAGAACGUGUGAGUUUCAUGUUACUAGUUAAUUACGUUGAUGUAUUGCUUAUUUAUUUAAAUAAAAGAACUGAAUUAUUAUUAAGAAAGCUCAUUUUCAGUUAUCGAUAUAUACUUUAAAUUCAUAUAUCUGAUUUACUAUUAGUUUUUUGUCACCAUUUAAAAAGUAAUAGGAGAAUAGCCACACUUGAAUGUAUAAUUCCUUUUUUUAAAAUUAAAAUUAUCCCUAUUUAAUUAAAACACGAAAAAACUUGUAAACUUUAAACCUCAUGAAUAUAUCAUUUCUUGUAGUUCACUUGUCAAUCCUUUGGAUUCCAACAUCAUUUUUUGGAGUUAAUUUAUGCCGUUUUUAUAAAUGGAGGAAAAAAUUUCAAAACUAUUUUCAAUAUUUAUGAGCUUAUCGAUGCUAUCUUUAUCGUUGCACCUAAACAAACACAUUAAGUAAAAAUUAGUUGGGAAGACUAGUUUUCGGGUGUAUUUUUUGUUUUUAGCUACCAUUUGAAGAGUACUGGAAAAAUAGAGAGUGAGACUCGAACAUCUAUAUAAGUAUGGACGGUUCGAUUGGUUAGUUUAAAAAAAAAUCCCAAAUUUUCAGGUCUUUUAUAAUGUGUAAUUAAAAUUAGACUUUUUAAAAUCAUUCCAAUCAUAUCGGUUUUCUUCGGUAUCAGUACGUUCGGUUAAUUUUCGUGUUUUUUUUAUUUUUAAAGUAUCACCUCAAAAUAUACUAUUAUUAAAAUAUUUCUUUCGCAAAUAUGUUCGUGAAGAAGCACUUCAGUUCUACACCAAGAAGUCAAAAAUAUAAAACCUUGUUGUUGUAUAAUUGUUUGAUCUUAAACAUUUAAUAUGAGUGUUUGCAUAUGUUUAGGUGUAUUAUAGAUUAAAGAGCAAAGACUCAUAUUGGGAAAAAAAACAGGUAGGCCUUCUGAGCGGUUAUUUAGGGGCCUUGUUAGCGAUCCAUCAUUCUUCCCUAAGCUGUCAGAGUCCGAUCGAAGCGAGUAAGAGAUAGAGGAAUCCUUGCUCAUAGAUGUGAAUUGAAAAGACAGUCGUUCAAUCACUAUUCACCAGAGGCCUAGGACCUACGUUAUAUUUAUAUUUGAAAAUUGUUAUGAAAUAUAUUUAUAUAUUAAAUUUAACAUAUUGCUAAUAUAUAAAAUAUAUUUACAUGUAAGGUUAUUCGGUUCGAUUUUGGCAUUUUUUAGUUUUUUUUCAUAAAUUAAAAAGAUCAUCCCAAUUAUUCUGGACGGUUAUAAACUUAAAUAAAAGUCCACGAUUUUAUUGAAAAAAUGACAUAAAUCGGUUUGGUUCGAUUAGGCUUGAUCGGUUUGAUCGUUUUUUCAUAUUAUUUUGAAGCCCCUACAGUGUCACUUUAUUUUUAAUCUGCAAAAAUAAAAGAUUAGAUAAGGAGAAUGGCUAUUUAUCUCAAAUUGAAAGAUAAAUUUAAUUUUUAAAAUAAAAUUAAGAGGUGUAAACGGUUUUCGCCCUAUAAAUUUUUUUUAUCAAACUAAUAAUUAGACUAAACACAUUCAUUGUGCAAAGUACAAAAAAGAAGAAGACAGGAAAAUAAUUUUGUUUUAAACAAACAUUUUAGGAAUAAAAACAAAUGGCAAUAAGGAGGAAUGAAUGUGUAGGAUACAUAUCACAUAUUCUUUCUUUUUUUUGGGUAAAAUUUCACAUAUUCACACACAAGUAAUAAAAGGAAAUGGUAAAGAAAUAUUAGUAAAUCAAAUAAGUGAUAAUAAGUAAAUAGUAAAGAAAAACAAAAAGAGUUAUUUUAGAAAUAAAAUAAAUUAUAGUGGUGAGGAAUAAGUGAGUUGAAUAUAUUUAUUUUUUUCCCCAAUUUUAUAGUCAACAACAAAUAAGGAAAAACAUUAUUGAGAAAAUAGAUACUAGUAGAAAUAAUAUACCAUAUCAACCUUUUUAGGUAAAAUCAUUAUUUUAUUAAUAUAUAGACCAAGAAGAAACAAUUUUAAAUUAAUCAUUAGUUUUCCUUAAUUAUCAAAAUCAAGUACUUUCAUAAGUCUAUAUAUUUGAGAGAAUUUCAUAAGUAUUUCUCACAAUUUAGACUCUUGAGCACUUGAAAAAUAUAUUUUUCAAUGGCCUUUACAAAGUUCUCCCUUCAAUCAGUUUUGCUACUUUGCUUGGUUUUGUUUUCCCUGUUGGCUCUUCAUCAUUGUAAGUCCACAUUUUUCCCUAUUAAAUUUAAUUUUUUAUAAUGAGUUACAACAUGUAACAUGUCUUGUUUUAAAUGUUAUUUUCACUUUUUAUGUUAUAAUAAAAUUCUUCUUAUAAUUGAAUUUCAAGAAAUACAGGUGAUGAAGGUAUAAAUAUUAAAUCAGACGCGGCAACCUAUCAAUGCAUCCCAGUUCAUGAUCAAGGCAAUCCAGUACCCAUAUGGUGUUGCCCAGCAAUUUCAGAAUGCUAUGAUACUAACCAAAUAUGUCAGGAUAAUUGUCACUAAUUAUGAUAAUUUUUCAAGAAAAAUAUGAUAUUAUUAAUUCGAGAAAACAUUAAUAGUUUUGUCCUUAAUUAGUACUCAUGAGUUUCAUGUUACUAAUUAUAUUGAUGUAUAACUAAAAUAAAAACAUCUUUGAUUAUAACCUCAAUAAAAUUCAAUUUCAGCGAUCGAUAUUAUAUACUCUAAUUUCGUAUAUUUAUAUCAUAUUAUCUUGCAUUUUCUCUAUCGAUUUGAAGUUGAACAUUUAUACAUAAGUGUUUCUCUCUCGACUCAAAAGCUUAUUCAUUUGCGACCAAAAAAAAUUAUGGGUUACCAAAAUAUUUCCCAUAUUUAUGGGUUUAUUGAUGUUAUUUUCAUUUUGGACAAAUAAGGAAAAAGUAUCAAAAAUUGAGAAAAUAUCUCUUGUGCAUAGAUUUUUUUAUAAUACAUAUAUAUAGACUAAACCUAAUUUGGUUAAUCAAUUAUUAAUCUGUGUUAGUUGCCAAAAUGAAGUACUUUUAUAGCCUAUAUAUUUGGGAAAAUUUCAUAAUAUAAGUAUUUCUCACCAAAAUGAAGUACUUUUAUGUUAAUUAAUUUGAGAAAGCAUUGUGAUUUUUCCCAAUUAAAAUGUGUGAGUUUCACGUUACAAGUUAAUUAAGUUGAUGUAUUAAUUAUUUAUUAAAAUAAAAGAACAUGAUUAUUAUUAAGAAAGUUCAUUUUCAGUUAUUGAUAUAUUCUUUAAAUUCAUAUAUCUGAUUUACUAUGAGUUUUUAGCCACCAUUUAACGAGUAAUAAGGGAAUAGCCACACUUGAAUGCACAAUUCUUUUUUUGGUAUAAACUUAUCGACAUUUUAAAACAUGAAAAAACUUAUAAAGGUAUGAACUUUCAAACUUUGAACCUCAUGAAUAUAUCAUUUUUUUGUGAUUCACUUGUCGAUCCUUUGGAUUCCAACAUCGUUUUUGGAGUUAAUUUGUUCUGUGUUUAUAAAUGGAGGAACUUUGUCCAAAACUAUUUCUAAUAUUUAAUGGCUCAUCGAUGCUAUUUUCAUCGUUGCACCUAAACAAACAUAUAAGUAAAAAUUAGUUGGGAUGACUAGUUUUUCGAAUUUGUUAUGAGUUUUUAACUAUUAUUUGAAAAGUAAUAGAGAAAUAGAUAGUGAGAGUUGAACCCUCAAACACCUACAUAAACAUGACCCAUAAUGAUACAUGUUCAGAAGUCCAGAGCUUAGAAGAAAUUGUGGAUACCAUAGAAAAAAAUAACGUUGAUGAUAAAGUAGAAGAUGAUACAAUAUCGUUUUAAACCAGUUACGGGUAAGAAAACACUUCACAUGUAAGACUCUUCACAAUUUUAUGGUGCAGUUCGAAAUGACAACACCGAAAUUUUUGGAUGCAAUAAGAAAAGUUAGAGAUGAGCUUCAACAAGAUUUAAAUUUUAACAAAAAAAACAUAAGACAAUAGAAUCAUGUUUCACUAAAUUAUCUUAUAUAUAUAUAUAUANNNNNNNNNNNNNNNNNNNNNNNNNNNNNNNNNNNNNNNNNNNNNNNNNNNNNNNNNNNNNNNNNNNNNNNNNNNNNNNNNNNNNNNNNNNNNNNNNNNNNNNNNNNNNNNNNNNNNNNNNNNNNNNNNNNNNNNNNNNNNNNNNNNNNNNNNNNNNNNNNNNNNNNNNNNNNNNNNNNNNNNNNNNNNNNNNNNNNNNNNNNNNNNNNNNNNNNNNNNNNNNNNNNNNNNNNNNNNNNNNNNNNNNNNNNNNNNNNNNNNNNNNNNNNNNNNNNNNNNNNNNNNNNNNNNNNNNNNNNNNNNNNNNNNNNNNNNNNNNNNNNNNNNNNNNNNNNNNNNNNNNNNNNNNNNNNNNNNNNNNNNNNNNNNNNNNNNNNNNNNNNNNNNNNNNNNNNNNNNNNNNNNNNNNNNNNNNNNNNNNNNNNNNNNNNNNNNNNNNNNNNNNNNNNNNNNNNNNNNNNNNNNNNNNNNNNNNNNNNNNNNNNNNNNNNNNNNNNNNNNNNNNNNNNNNNNNNNNNNNNNNNNNNNNNNNNNNNNNNNNNNNNNNNNNNNNNNNNNNNNNNNNNNNNNNNNNNNNNNNNNNNNNNNNNNNNNNNNNNNNNNNNNNNNNNNNNNNNNNNNNNNNNNNNNNNNNNNNNNNNNNNNNNNNNNNNNNNNNNNNNNNNNNNNNNNNNNNNNNNNNNNNNNNNNNNNNNNNNNNNNNNNNNNNNNNNNNNNNNNNNNNNNNNNNNNNNNNNNNNNNNNNNNNNNNNNNNNNNNNNNNNNNNNNNNNNNNNNNNNNNNNNNNNNNNNNNNNNNNNNNNNNNNNNNNNNNNNNNNNNNNNNNNNNNNNNNNNNNNNNNNNNNNNNNNNNNNNNNNNNNNNNNNNNNNNNNNNNNNNNNNNNNNNNNNNNNNNNNNNNNNNNNNNNNNNNNNNNNNNNNNNNNNNNNNNNNNNNNNNNNNNNNNNNNNNNNNNNNNNNNNNNNNNNNNNNNNNNNNNNNNNNNNNNNNNNNNNNNNNNNNNNNNNNNNNNNNNNNNNNNNNNNNNNNNNNNNNNNNNNNNNNNNNNNNNNNNNNNNNNNNNNNNNNNNNNNNNNNNNNUAUAUAUGUACUUUUAACGAAUUAUUAAUUUAUAAUAUUAAUGGGACCAUAUAAUAAUAUAAUGGUUUUCUGAAAAUAUAUUAUCUUAUUACUUAUCGAAAUGAGUGAUUUUUUUUCAUUGACCCAAGUUGGAACCGGAGGAAAAUAUCAUCUUAGAGAAUUUAUUAAUUAAUCGAAUAUUAAUUCAGUGAGAUUUUACAGUAAAGGGAAGAGAUGUAAAUGAUUUUCAGGCUAUAAUUUUUUUAUCAAACUACUUAGGCUAAACAUAUUCAUGCACUAAGUACAAAAAAGAAAAAGACAAGAAAAUAAUUUUGUUUUAAAAAAACAUUUUAGGAAUAAAAACAAAUGGCAAUAAGGAAUGUGUAGGAUACAUUUCAAAUAUUUUAUUUAUUUAUUUUUGGUGAAAGAAAUAUUAGGAAAAGAAAUAAAUGAUAUUAAUGGUAACAAGUAAGAAGUAAAGAAAAACAAAAAAGAGUUAUUUUAGAAAUAAAAUAAAUUAUAGUAGUGAGGACUAAAUGAGUUGAAUAUAUUUGUUUUUUUUUUCUCAAUUUUAUAGCCAACAAAUAAAGAAAAAUCAUUAUUGAGAAAAUAGAUAUACUAGUAUAAAUACUAUAUUUGUCUAUACCAUAUCAGUCUUUUGGGGCAAAAUCAUUAUUAAUAUAUAGACCAAGAAGAAAUAAUUUUAAAUUAAUCAUUAGUUUUCCUUAAUUAUCAAAAUCACGUACUUUCAUAUGGCUAUAUAUUUGAGAGAAUUUCUAAGUAUUUCUCACAAUUUUUAUACUUUUGAGCACUUAAAAAUACAUUUUUCAAUCUAAAAAUUAAUUUUUUCAAUCUAAAAAAUAUUUUUUUCAAUGGCCUUUACGAAGUUCUCCCUUCAAUCAGUUUUGUUGUUUUGCUUGGUUUUAUUUUCCUUGUUGGCUCUUUAUCAUUGUAAGUCCACAUUUUUUCCUAUUAGAUUUAAUUUUUUUAUUAUUAGAAUUAAUAAUAAAAACUUAUAAUGAACAACAUGUAGCAUGUCUUGUUUUAAAUGUUAUUUUCACUUUCUAUGUUAUUAUAAAAUUUUAUAUUCUUAUAAUUGAAUUUCAUGAAAUACAGGUGAUAAAGGUAUGAACGUUGAAGUAGAAGAUAAAAUUGAUUUAUGCCUUCAAAUUCCUGGUCAACCAGGCAAAUGGUGUUGUGCAACAGCUACAAAAGCAUGCUAUCCUUCUCUUGCUGCAUGUGAAUCAAAAUGUCACUAAUGGCAGUUUAUUAUAGAAAAAUAAUGUUAAUUAAUCCAAAAAGUAUUAGAAUUUAUUUUAAUUAGUACUCAUGAGUUUGAGUUUUAUAUUAUUGCUAUAUAAGUUGAUGUAUGAGUAUAAUUAAAAGUUGUUACUUUCAUUUAUAAAAUAUAAGUAUAGUUAUUAGUAAUUGGAAUUUAUCUCUCUUUCUGUCCAUUUAAAAUUGAAAAUUUAUAUAUUAUUUCACUUUGAUGUGAAAAAGAAAUAAUAUAUAAAUUUGAUUCUCUCAUUUUUUUUUAACCUAUUGUUGACAAUAUUUAGAUUCUAAUAAAGAAAGAGCAAAGACAAAGUUAUUAUUUCAAUAGCUCAAAUAAAAGUAAGUUCUAAAGCCCAACUUUAGUAAUGUAACAAACCAACACCACAAAUACACCAAAUUAAACUUUGAAACAAAUACUUUUUAUUUCAAGCAAUAGGCCAUUUCGAGACUCCACCUAUGUGAUUACACUGGACAUGUUGUUGUUGUUCAAGCAAUAGACCAUUCGUUGUUUAGCUCAUUUUUCAACUUCAUUAUCUCAUCCUCAGGCAAAGUCAUGGUCACAAUCCUUCCUUCAGAAUCAUUUGGCCCGUCCGAAAGUACCAACACGGUCCCUGCAUCGCCUACUCCAUCGAUAAAGUAAUUUACAUUUUUUGGCUUAUGUCCCUUCCAAUCGAAUCCAUAGAGAUCAGCACCCUCCAAGCUCACGAAAGUUAAAUUUGCUCCGUAAACAAUGAAAUCCGACACUCCAUGCUCUUUCUCGAUGGCUUCAUCAAUCUUUAAUCGCUCGUCGAUGAUCUCAUUUUUAAUCAACCUUGCUAAUUCACUAGGAUUAGCUUCUCUAAUUGAGUCAUCAACCUUAACCACACCAAUUACUUGAGUGUUUCCUAUAAGGCCCUCUUUCUUUUCUUCACUUUUUUUACAAAUGGUCACAACUUUUGGGCCAGGCCCAUCUCUAAUUCUUGAAAUGGACUGCCAAAUAAUAGCACAUAGUGAUUCAAAUGGGCCUUGAAUGCCUAUUCUUGAUUGUAUGUGGCCCAAUUUGGAUGCACUAACAUGGAUUGAAAAUGACUCCAACUUGCAACUUGCAUUAGCAAUCCAAUGAUCUUCAACCGGGUCAACCCGUUUUAUUGAAAGUGGAUCCUCCACAAUUUUUUGUAGGGUUUGGGUUGAGUUUGCUUUGGUUAAUGAAUGGGCCAAGUUAAGGGGCCGGGGCGGUUGGUAUCCACCAACUACUUUACCCAAAAAGUUCCAAAAUUCAGUUGCUGAAAAUACAUCUCCAAGUACAUGGGCCCAACUUAGGCCCAAUGAAAUUCCACCACAUUUGAAUUUGGUAUGCUACAUAAAUUGCCCAAGAUAUAAAUGUGUCAACUAUUAAUUACCAACAAGAAAAUUGAAAAAAAAUAUAGUAUUGAAACAACCAAUAAUUAAAAAGAUAUAUAAGAUGGAGGAAAAGGUUAUACAAGAAAUUUAUAUAAUUAGAGAAGAUAUUUCAUUUAUCAAGAAUCAGAGCGAAGCAACAAUCACGUCUGAAUCUUAUGUAUUAUAGCUCAACAAUUCAUCUAGUGAUUUCACAAUCGCUAAAGAAGUCUUACGUAUUUCGAUGAGAACCAUGAAUGACUAGCUCAUGUGACUUCAUAAAAAAUAAUCAACAAGAAUAUUGAAGAUAACGAAACACAUAUAGUAAUUACAAUGAAGUGAAUAUAAGACAUUAUAUGAUAUGCUUUUCUAUAAUUAACGAUUUCUUUAACUUAUAGAAAGUUAUGCUUAUCUACAUAUAACAUAUGUUAUGCCUAUGACAUCAUUCCUCCUACAAUUGUUGACUUGAAUUUCAAACAAAUUUAAUACAUCUUAUAUAUUUUUAUCUAAUUUUAUUUUUAUUUUGAAGAUAUUAAAAAUAAUAAUUUUGUGAAAUAUAUAUCCCGUGACUUGGAAUUAAUGUUCAAUCCUGCACCUUUAUGCAUUAAAUGACUCACUUUUUCCUACCAAAAUAUAAAUUUAAUAGCCAACCAACUGUAAUAACUUAGGCAAAAAUAAAAUAAAAUACACGGGGAGUCAUCUCUCGUCUAUAUUUUUUUCAUCGUUACUCUUAUGUGUCAAAUUAUAUGUCGUGAUUUUAAAAAAGAAUUCUAAUUAUUUUAUUAUUUAAAAGUUUAAGAUAAAAAAAAUAAAUUCCAUUUACCUUAGUAGUAAUAGUUCUUGAAGAUUACAAACACUUCAAUUAUGAAAUCUUAACACAUAAAUACGAUAAAUAUUUAAUGAAGAGAAAUUAUAUUUUAAGACAUAAAUAAAAAUAAAAUAGUCAUAAUUCUAAUUAAUAUUUGUCUUCAAAUAAAAAACACAACAUAUAAUUUGAGACUGUUAAAAAGAAAUUUAUAGGUAAAUUUAUUACUUUACUACCUCAACUAUUGAAAUAUUGAAGGAAUACCUGCCACGACCAUACAAUCUUUAAUAUGAUAGUGAAAUAUUGCAACUAAUUGUAUGGUCUAUAUGUUUAUUUGCAGUUAUUAAAGAGAUAAGGUAUAGAAUCACGGGUGUGGUGGAAUAUUUGGAAUUUUAUUUUUAGCAAAAAAUACAAGGUUUAAGCAUUAAAAAUGGAAAAGAAAAACUCUUAGUAAAAACAAUUUAUCCUAUUUAUUAAAUUGUUUCUAAUGCAAAUCUGGAAUGAUCGAUUUUUCAUCUUGAACAAAAGGUAUUGAGUUCAAGCAUUUAAAAUUAAGACAAAUAAAUUAAUAAAUAAUAUUUUAUUCUAUUUACUGAUAGUUUCCAAUAAGAAUUUGAAUUAAUAGAGUAACAAUUAACUAAACAUGAAAAUUGAUGAUUAAUCAUUUACUUCUCACAUUUCGUGAAUAGCUCAGACAUUAAGGAAAAUUCAACCAUCAUUUCAAAAAUCCGUCCUAAUUCUUUUUUUUGUUUGAUUUGAAUUUCAUCGGAGUCUUAGAAUUUUUCUUUAAAAAAAUCUCUAAAAUUCUAAUCAUACCUGCCCCCACCCCUAAAACCAUCUCUCUUUCCUCACUUUCAAGCAGAAAAUGAAAAACCUCUUGAUAAGAAGCAUUCUAUUAUUUUCUUAGUAAGCCUAUCCGACACAUCAUACCCCCUUUCCCUUCCUCCAAGCAAGAGUAAAAAGUGAAACAUAAAAUUCGAGACGUGAAAAUGAAUAACUUCUUGAUAGGAAGCACUUUAUCAGUAUAUAUCAUUUUAAUGAGCUUAUUCGAUAUGAAUUUGAAUUAAUCGAGCCAGUAACUUCAGAUAAAUAAUGAUUUGAAAAAAAACAUAUAUAGAGUAUACCUGUAUGAGGACUGGAGGUGAGAAAGCCAAUUCAGGACCAAGAACUUGAUUAGAAACAAGUAAUUUCUCAAGUGAAGCAUCUUUCAUUUCUAGCCAUUCUUCCAAAGUUUUAUCACAUUGUGCUUCAAUAAACCUAGCACCACAAUCAUUACAUUUAAUAUAAGGUCUCCCUGAUUCUGCCCUUCUAAACCUACCAUUAGUCAUAUAAAAAUAAUUAAACCAAAUAAAUAUUGGUUCUUUUAUUUUAUAAAUUGUGACAUCUUGAAAUGUUUGGCUAUCAAAGUAAUAAAUCCCUCUCAAAUAAUGUAAUUUCAUGGCCAAAUCCAUGUUACUUGGCUCAUAAACAACAUCUUGUCCUGUUACUCUAGCUGGUCCAACUGAGGAUAAUUUUAUGUUGUAAAUUAGACCAUCUUCUAAUUUUGAAGACACCAUUUUUGGAAUUAUUAUUUUUCUAAGUGGGAGUAGAGGAGCUUGUAGACAAUAUGGGAUGUUCUUGAUUAUGUAGAGGAUGGUUUAUAUAGGAUAUUGUUGUGUGAGAUACUCCCUCUGUCCAUUUUUAAUUAUCAUGUUGCGCUUUUCGAAAGUCAAUUUGACCAAUUUUCAAAGAUAAAUUAGAUUAUAUUAAUUCGAUAUUUUAAACAAACAAAAAAUAGAUAUUCAAAAGCUAUACGAAAAAUUCUAUAAAUUGCAAUUUUUUUGCAUAUCAAUAUAAUGAAAAAAUACAUCGUAAAAUGUUAGCCAAAAUUCUUAUCGUUUGACUCUAAAAAAGAAAACCAUGACAAUUAAUUAAAAGUGGACGGAGGGAAUAAUAAACUAGCAAUGAUUUACACACACACGUAUAUAUAUAUAUAUAUAUAUAUAUAGGUGUAUAUGUUGAUAGAUGAUAGGGGUGUGAAAUGAGCGAGUUGAAUUAUAUUUGAGCCGAUUAAAACUAAAUAGAGUGAGUUGAUAAAUGAUGACUCACUCAAAUGUUAUUAGGUUGAUGUCAAUGGGAUCCUAAUAACUUAAUUCGCCCAAUUUUUAAGAAGUUAUGAAUGUCUAACUUAUUAUUUGUAUAAUCACCAAAAUAUUUAAUAAAAUUUGUCUAGUUUAAUGAUGAUUAUCAUAAAUAUUUUAAUAUAAAGUGAAAAUAGAGGAAGUAUAGUUUGAAAAAAAAUACAAAAACUUUUUUGUUAUAUUCUAUUUACUUCUGUCUGACCAAAAAAAAUAAAAAGUUGCUAAGUGGCAUUGUCUAUUCUUAUUUUUUAUUGCUUUAAUGUUUUUUUUUUCUUGCUGUGUGAUAUAGAAGUUUUUUCCCUCACGAUUUGGACAGUGUUCAAAACUUUCAAAAUCUUUCAUCAUGACAAAAAUAUUAAGGAAUGAAGUACUGUGUGCUAAUUAAUUAUUGACGUGUGAUUAGUAGGUCAGUAUAAAUUUGAGUUAUGAAAAUAAAUUUUGUAGAAAUAUAAAAUAAGACUACAUAUAAUAGAUUCUUAUGAUCUUGUCAUUUCUUGAACUCCUCGAAUAAUCGGAGUUUAAUGCACAGGCUCCUAAUUUAUUUAUUUUUUGAAUUAACUUUUUGCAUGAUUGAGAUGCCACUUUUGCUCAUUUUCUCGUCCCUCCUAGGAGAAUUUAAGAAGGUUUACAUGAAAUUAUCCAACUCGUAUUAUCUUAUAUUUCAAGACCUAUAUUAUUUGUUAUCUAUUUUAGGAUUCGAAUAAUCUGAAUUUACGUGUGAUAAUUUCACUUUGAAGUAAAAUUCUUCCUAUUAACUAAAUGUGAAUUUACACCUAAAAUUUGAACUCGAGAUCUCCGCUAUAAAACAAUUUUAGCUUCCAAAACCACUAACAUUAAUUUGGACCGCAAGAGUAGUUCUCUAGCUGAAAAUAUUUUAAACUUAUCUUAUAUAGGAAUUCAAUUUUUCCAUAUAUAAAAUGGAAUAAAAGAAUAGUCGUUAUCUAAGUAACUAAAGAGCUAAUAAGUCUUAUAAUUAAUGGAGAAAAAAGUAUACAUAGGUGGCAAGGCUUUAAAUUAGGUGGUUGGAGAAAUUCAUUGCAAGUUAUUUGUGGCGUUUUAUUGUCCACAUUGAGGUAGUUGUGUGAUUAAUUUUGCAAUAAAUUACUCUCUCCGUUCAUUUUUAUUUGUUAUAUUUCACUUUUCGAAAGUCAAAUUAUAUGGACUUUGAUUAACAUUUUAAAAUAUAUAUUUUCAUUAUAUUAAUAUGAGAAAGAUCGAUCAUAUGAUUUUUGAACAUCUAAAUUUAAAAUUUAAAAUAUUGAGUUAAUAUAAUUCAACAUGGCUCCAAAAAUUAAUCAAAUUAACUUUUGCAAAACAUGACAAGUAAAUUCAAAUUUUUUUUCUCACCCGGUAGCUAGUACCCUCAUUGAAGUCUGACUAAAUCCAAUUUCGCGUAGGAGUCCCAGAUUGAGGGGAAAAGUGCUUUUUAACGAAGACGAUUUCGUACAUAGGAGAACUCAAAUCCAAAACCUUGAUUAAAAAUAGAAGGAUAUUUAUCAUUCUGCUACAACCUUAUCAGAUAUAUGCAAACCCUAGUUGCAUGUUAUCCAUUACCCAUAUUUAAGCCAUCUCCUUCAUUGCAAAAGAUGAAAAAUAGGGUGCAAAUAAAUAUACGUACCAAUUUUAGAGGUGCAAUAUUAAAUAUUUUACCAGAUGCACAUAAUACAAUACUAUAUAUAGUGUACCAUAUAACUAGACAACUGUAAUGUGCACUUUUUGUAGGUCAUUCCAUUACAAUAUUUACUUCAACCACCCCUAAAAUAUAGUUGCCUUUUCUAGAGGUAUAUAAUAAUAUAAUUUGACUCAUAUUGGAAGUUAAAUUUGAUUAAUUUAAUUAAAUAUUUAAAAAUUAUGCAAAAAGUAUUAUAUAUGGUAAUUCACCCCCCUCCCCCUCAUAUAAUUAAUAUUAUAAUAUGAUCGUAAAAAUAAUACACAUUAAUAUAUUGAUUAAAGUCCAUAUACUUUGACUAUCGAGAAGCGAGUCAUCAGAAUAUUUCGGAAAGGAAGGAGUAAAAUGUAAGGAGAACUUUGGUUGGGAUAACAAAAUGCCAGUAUAUUAUACACUGCUAUUUCUUCUAUAAAUUGAGAGACGUUUCUUAAAAAGAAAAAAAAGGCCUAUUAAUUGUAAUUUAAUUUGUUUUACCACAUUAUCUAUGGAAUUAAAAUCUGGAUUAGAAUAGUGGGAGUGAGUUAGAACACUUCUCGAUUAGGAUGGAAUUGCAUUAGGAAUCAGCUCUUAGUAUGUUCUUUUUUGUCUUACUGAUGGACUAAUUGACACGACGUAUCCAAAGUGAGGUGUCAUAUAUAGUGUAUGUUAUUUUUAGAUGUAGAUGACAUAAUAUUGAUUUGCAAGACGUGCAAUGGAGUUAAUGAUAGAUUAAAAUUUUUGGAAAGAAGCUAAAGAGUCUAAAAGUUUCAAGUUAAGAAGGAUUAAGUUAGAAUACCAAGAGUAUAAGUUUAGUAAUGUGUUGUAUGAUGCGGAAGUGAAAAUAAAGUUCGAUACACUAGUCAUAUCCAAGAGAGAAACCUUCAAGUACCUUGGGUCCAUUACUCAAAGAAACGUGGCAAAUGAUGAUGAUGACGCACAUCAAAUUAGAACGGGAUGGGUGAAACAAAAGCUCACCUCUAGAGUACUAUGCGAUAAAAGUAUGUCCCCAAGGCUUAAAUCUAAGUUCUACCGAGUGGUGAUUCGACCAACACUGUUUUAUGAAGUAAAAUGCUGAUCAAUAAAAAAUGACUAUGUUUUGAAGAUGAAGAUAGUUGAGAUAAGGAUGUUUAGAUGGAUAUAUGAUUUUUUUUGAAAUAUAAGUAAUUAUAUCUUGUUUUCACAAGUUAAAUACGUAAAAUAAAAUUAAAAUUAAUAAAAUAAAUUGGAGGUCUGCUCUAAUACAACAACAACAAUUUCAUUUGAUUAUUACUAUGUAUCAAUUUCCAACUAGUUGUUAUGAUCGCCUAAUGAAUUCAUACUAUCUACUGUCAGAGAAUAUAGUGUAGCGGAUGGGGCUAUGCUUUUCUCUUAAUCAGAUGUCUUGGGUUUGAUCCUUGAGUAUGAGAUUUUUUUGGUAGAGAGCACUUCCCCCAAAUGGAGCUCUAUGCGGCGUGAAUCCGAAAUAAUAAGGCUCCAACGAAUACUGAACACCAAAUGAAAACUUUAAUUGAAAAAAACAAAAAAAAAAUCACUCUAUAGAAAUUUCUUUUACAAAAUUAAUCGAGUUUUAAAGCAGGUAUCAAAUAUCAAAUGAAAAAAAAAAGUUUGUGGGUGAACUUCCAUAUAUCUACAACUGAAUUAAUUCCCACUCCACAAUUAAAAAAAUAUUAAUUAAUACGAUCCACAUAAAAUAAAUGAGACCAAUUAAUAACAUAGGUAUACUUCUUUGUCAUUAUAAUAAAAAUAGAAAUAAAUACAGACUUAUAGUUGAGAGUUGAAACAAAGAGCUAUUAUGAGAAGGAUAAGACAAGUUUAUGAAUGUCGUGGAAGCACCUGCCGGAUGUAGAGUUGGGGCUCGAGUUUUUCAGAAUUUAAUAUUUUUAACGUCAUACAUAAAUUUCUAUAAAAAUUAUAAAAUAUGAUAAAUUUGAACUCAUAAUUUUAAAUUUGUUCAACAUCAAAAAACUUUAAAAUUGAAACCAUAAAUUCAAAUUCUUGAUACGUCUCUGCGUGAAAGUCCAUAGAAGUCAUGUGUAUCAUGUAUGAUCUGUCGAUAUAGGAAACACAUUGUUUGCUUAAACUCAAUUGUUAUUGUUGUAUAUGUAGUGUUGUGAGCAGAUUCGAAUUUAAAAUUUUGAGUUCAUGAGGUUAAUUUUUUUUAUAAAAAAGAUAAUUUAUGAUUUUGAAUAAAUUAUUUAAUUAUAUAUAUUCAAUGAAUUUUUAACAUAAACAUAUGAUUUUAGCUAAAUUAUAAGAUUUUAUCGUACACGUAGCUAGAAUUCUAACUUUGAUUGUGAGAGUUUUUAAUUUUGUGAAAUUUUUUAGCAAACAAAAAGUCAUAAUUAGGAAGACCAGCUCCUCAUGAUACCUUGUAAGAUGAAUCUUAAAACUUUUAUGUUGAAAUCUUUUAAUAGUUUGGAGAUGAAAUGAGUAGAAAAUUUAUUCUUUAUGGAUGUAUACCUUGUAUUUGACAUAAAUAAUACCAAAAUAUAUAAAUAAAAAAUUGAUUAAACUAUAUUUGUAUUUUAUAUUUCAAAUUAUUGAAUGCUGGAGUUAUACUCUGAUCAUGACCAAUUCUACACUUUAAAAUGAAAUGUAAAUACAGUCGUAGACUCAUGGCAAUAAUAAAUCCAACAAAAAUUGGGGUCAAUCUCAUAAAGAGUGUGCAUGUGCCAAGGUAGAUAUAUAUAAAGACAAUAAAUAUAUUACUUUGCAAAACUAGAAUUGUGAGGAUUGAUUCUUGAAGAAGAAAAGAAACUAAUUAAGCUACUGCUAAUUCCAAAGGUAAAUAUACAUAAGACCAUAAAUAGAUAAAUAAAUUUAUUUAUUUUACAAAUUAGAAGCCACAAAUACAUCAACUUGAAGGAGCAAUCAAACAUUUAAUUUAUUUAUUACAAAUACAAACAGGCAUCAGAAGAUGCUCUCCAGCAAAGACAAUCAUUCUGAAAAGCAUCUGCAAUUUAUUAGACAUAAAAUAUUAAGUUGAUGAAUUAAAUACAAAUUAGCUUAUUUUGAGAUAUUAAAAGUAAAUAACUAACCUGUUGACAGUUGAUACAUUGGGAUUUUCAUAUUCUCAGCUUUGCAAGUCUUUCCGAGAGCCUAACGUUGGAAUCAGUUCUUUCUAUAAGUAAUAGCUUUAUCAAUUUAGGCAUACUCACAUCAUCCUUGCACGUUAUUUCAGACAACCCAUAUGAUUCUUGAAUAUGCAGAACUUCAAGUUGCGGAAAGCUAUCACCAUCACCAGAGAGAUCCAUCUUUUCUUCAUUAUGUUUGCACCAACGCAUUUUAAGUAUCCUUAAUUUGGGCAAUUUCUUAAGCACUGCCACUACAUGACCGUCUAGAAUAAAGCGGUUAAGAGUAAGCUUGAAAAGAUUUGGAGGGAAUGCUUCACAGAUCAACGGCAUUAAUCCGCUCAAAUGCAAUGCUUCAAAGUUCAAGGGCAUUAUUCUGUCCAAAUGCAACUUAACAAUAUUUGGAUACGACGACAAGUUUAUUUGCUCACUCGUGUCCCUGAAAAAUGACCCGAGCUUCAGAACCUCCAGUGUCGUUGGCACAGGGCUCAAUGUUGAUAAUUUCUUAAUGGUAGAAUCGGAUAUAUCCAUUAUACCCAGUUUUCUUAAAUUCAUCAAUCGGUGCAACAAUCUCGGUUCAAAAAAAUUACCAUCCAUCCACAUCAAAGUUUGUACAUUAUUAGGAGGCACGUUUGGAAAAAAUGGGCUAAAGCAACAGAUAGAUGCUUCAUCGAAAUUUUUAUGACGAAGAUGUCUCAAUUGUGUAGACUUCCAAACACCAGUAGGAGGAUCAAUGAAGCUUUCAUCAAUAUCUAGGGUCUCUAGAUGUUUGAGCUUCACCAUAUAAUUUGGCAGUUUCCCCAAAAUAUGCCCCUUCAAUCGCAGAUAGCGUAAGCAACUCAUGUUCCCAAAUUUGUUUCCCAUAGCGAAACCCCCAUAACCAUCUUGAGACAUGACUACAACCAAAACUUGCAAUAAUUUGAAGUUACGAUGAGCCAUAUGAGAAAAUAUGCAAGGGUCUUUUAUGAAACAGAAAAGUGCACGAAGCUUCCUAGGCUUAGGAUUUAAACGGAAGAACUCAUUCAUGACAUUAAUAUCAGAGUAGAAUGUAAUCCUUCGCACCAUAGCAACAUUGCCGGGAUCACCAAAUGCAUUGUGCUCCGUGUGAAAGAAGUUACUUUCCUUAGCCAAGUCCACACACAAACUAUGUAACAAGUCAUGUAUGCGAUAACUUGAAAUUCUUCCAUCAUAUGUCCUUUUGGCAACUUGAAUCAAGUUUCUUGAAACCAAAUCAUUUAGGACAUCCUCCGCCAAACUUUCAGCCUGUCGCCCAUUGCCACUAUUUACAACUAUCAGCUUCUCAGCAAUCCACAUAUUUGUCAAAUCAAAGGCUCGAAUUUCAUGGUCCUCAGGAAAAAGGCCAAAGUACAAGAAACAUGGCCUUAAUGCAAUGGGCAAAUCAUUGUAACUCAAAGUCAAUACCUUAGCACAUCCAUCUUGAACUUUAUGACCCAUACUCUCAAGUACUCUGUUCCAUGCAUGUUCUGUUCUUUCUCUUGCCCUUAACAUGCCUGCAGUAACCACAAUGGCUAGUGGUACACCACCACAUCUACCAACUAUACUUCUACCAAUAUUUACUAAGUCAGGUGAAGCAUUAGCCCAACUAUUAUUAUUAUCAAAAUUAAAGAUUUUCUUGCUAAAGAGUUCAAAGCUCUUCUCUGAAACUAAAGGUUGCAACACGUGGACUGAGAAAUCCCCUCCUAUGUAUCUGCCUACAUUACUAUUUCGAGAGGUUAAAAUUAUCCUACUACCAAUUUUUGAAUCACAUUCAGGAAGGACAAGUUUUAGAUCAUCCCAAAUUUCAACAUUCCAAAUGUCAUCUAAGAGAAUAACAUACCUUUUUAUUUUCAAGAGUGAUCGUAGGUUGUUCUCCAAGUUUUCUUUCCUUUCCUCUUCCGUCAGUCCAACUUGUUUGGCUAUGUCGGUUAAGAUUUCUCGCGCCCUUGGCUGUUGUGAAAUGUAGACCAAUCCCGAACACUCAAAUUGAUCACGGACAAGCCUAUAAAGUUUCUUGGCAAGAGUUGUUUUUCCUAGACCGGGCAUGCCAACUAUUGAAACAACUCCAUAAGGCAAAUCUUGAUCAAGUAAUUUGGCUUGUAGUGUAUUGAAGUCAUCUUCCAGACCGAUGACCUCUGUUUCAUUUGCAUGAAGGAACAAUCUUCUCUGGUCCAAUGGAAUGCAAUCAUUGUUGUUAUUUGUAUCCAUGAUGUUGUAAGUUGUCCUUACACGAUCAAUGUCCGCAACCCUUCUUUUUAUCUUCUCAAUCUCCCUAGCAAACUCAUCCGCAAAAGAAACCGUCUUUAGGCAACAAAUUGCGCCCUUGAACUUAUUGGAUUGUUCAAUUUUGGGAAGGAAGUCAUCUAAGAGAUCCUCCACAUCACCUGCCAGUUGUUGAAUAUCUUUUAUCAAGUUUUUCACACUUGUAUCGCCUUCAAUUGCCUUGUCCUUUGCGUUGUCUAUGUAUGAUCGAAUGUGUCUCAUUUCUCUCUGGAGCCAAUCGAUGUCUUCUUUCAACCAAUAUAAACGCGUUCCUUCUUGAAAGAGUACAUUUCCAGCUAUUUCAACAGAUUUAUUGAUGACUGCUGUGAGAAGAAUUUCAGCCAUUUCUUUUUCAGUAGCUACAAAAAAUUGAUCAGAAUGAGUAAUUAGAAAGAAGAAGAUAAUUGGUAAAGGAAAAGAAAGGUAAGCUUAGAAUAGUUGGAGUCAACUGCCAAGUCUCCUAAUAAUGUCAAGUAAAUGAAAAACGAAAGAAGAAAGGAACAACACAUGCUCUGGAUAAGAAACUGGUUGAAUAGUCAAAGGAAAUAACACCGUUCGUUCCAAUUUAAAUGUCAUUCUAUUUAAUUCGAUAUAGAAUUUAAGAAACAAACAGUGACUUUUAAUAUUUUGUGGCGGAUUAUUGAUAAUGUACCUUUUUAAAAAAAAAAUUACGUAACUAAGCAAACAUCUUUAGACAGUGGCGUACGCAAGAUAUUUCAUAAGAGGUGUCACAUUUUAAAAUAAAAAUAAAUAAUUAAAAAAUUAAGAUUUAUUUUAGCAUUUUUAUGUGUGUAGCGAAAUAUAUUUAAAUUAAAAAAAUUAACCAAGAAAGAAAAAGGCGGUAUUGAUGUUCGAACACCCAACUUCAAACCAGAAGAUAAGUACCCUAACCUACUGAGCUACGCUCCUAUUUGGUUUAAGGAGUGUCACUUUAUUGUAUUUGUUCUUUGUUUACAAUUUGCUUUCCAAUUAUUUAGAAUUAUUUAAUAAAAAAAUUCGACGAAGCCGUGUCAUGUGACACACCUUCGCCUAAGGUAAAUCCGCCCUGUCUUUAGUAUAUAACUAUCAAUCACACCAUAUGUUAAAAAAAUGUAUUAUAUAUCUAGACGCCAUUUUAUGUUUCCUAACUGUUUGAUGAACGUCUUGCAAAACUUUGCCCAAUUUGGUUCAUGGCUGUGAGUUUGGGCUAUUAUGAGAUUCAAUUUGUAUGUUCCAUGAAAAUUAGGCUUUUAUGCAAUUUGACUCUCUCAAAAUCUUUUGCCAUACUCAUACAGAGUGGGCGUUCGGUUUGAUAUUUAUUUAACUUUGAUUUGAUUUGGUCGUGAGAUAUCAUCAUAAUGACUCGAGUAGAAUGGUCGGAAUUUCUUCACUUUUCUGAUAAGGAGUGUUCUGUUCUAAAUUUACUAAUUCGACUAAUUCAAAUUUGUAUCACGUAAUACUGAUUUGAGAAAGAAAUACUUUUUAUCCAAAAAAAAAUCAUUUUCAGAGCUCGAAUUGAUUUUUUUUUUUGGUUUCAUUACGUGUAAUUUUCAAGUCCUUGUGGUAUCACAACACAGGUUAGGAUAUUUGGAGGUUAUUUCACAAGGACUUACAACAAGAAAAGAAAAAAAAAAGAUAUAAUUUGAGGAAAAUAUGAAAGUCUUGCAUUAAAGUUAAAAAAAAAGUAGUAGUUGUUUGCUCGUGAAGUUCAAAUAUUUUUCACUAAAAUUUAUAGAAUUGAAAUUGAAAAUAGAGUUAGGUUUAAAUUAUUUUUUUCUUGCGAAUGAAAGAACCGAACGAUUGGAGAUUGGAGAAUUUUACCAUCAAACUGCUUUUGAAAUAAAGUGAAAAAUUAUUUCGAAAAAAAAUAUAAAUAAUUCACAUAACAUCCUAAAAUAGCUUUCUCAAUCUCGACAAUUGCUCAUUUAUAAACUACGGAAAAUGGUCAAAAUUGCCCCUGCACUAUGUGAAAUAGACCACUUAUACCCUCCGUUAUAUUUUACGAUAAAAAAUGCCCGGUGUUAUCCUAAGAGACCACAAUUACCCUUAAGACUUAACAGAAAUGAUGCGGCAAGCCACAUGACACUAAUUCCGCCACCUAGGCUUGCCAACUAGGAUACUCACUAAAUUUUUUGACCCAAUUAAUAAUUCAACCCUAACCCAUUUUUGUUGGACCCAACCCACUAAAAUUAAGAGGGAAACAUCAUCUUUUUUUCACCUCAUUCCGUUUUACUAUUAAAUUCACCAAGGACGAUUUUUUGAAGACUUUUACGAGCUUAGCUUACUUGGACCAUGAUUGUGUGCCGCCAUAGAUUUAAAAACUAUGCUCUGGCACCAUUCUAUGCUUAGAAAGCUUGGGCUUGUGUUUUAUGUGGCUUUCCAAAAAAAUUUUGAGAAGCUCCACUUUUGUGAUGAUUAUACCCCACAACCACAAGUUUCUACGUUUUUAGCUUGUCGUCUAGCGGAUUAGCACUACGACAAAUAUAGGAGGGUGAUUGAUAAAAUGUGAAUACAAGAUUAUAAACAUGUAGGGGCAUAUCAAUGUUGCAUCCAUUUGUCUCUUACAGUGAUGAAUUUCAAUGAUUUUGGUUAUAAAGUAUAACACCAUAGAACCAUAAAGUUAAAUUUUCAAGCUUAUGUAUCUUUUCUAGUCCAUUGUGUCAUUAGAUUUUAAAGCUAGCAUUCCUAAGGUAGAGAUGUAAGGUAAACAAAAUAUUUUGCAGGCAAGAGAAACAAAUUAUAUAAAAAUCUUUUGCUUCCCCUGCUUAUUUACAACUAAUUUAUCAAUGAGUUAUUACUUUAAUUUCUUCCCUGGUUUUUUAUAACUUCAUCAAUGUACAUAUAUAUAUAUAUACUUUUGCCUUCAUAAACUUUGGGAGGUUUACAACUCCUUAAAAAAACAGCAAAUUGUUGUACCUUCUCCUCGUUAAUACUGGGUUUGAAACAGAACAUGUGGACUGCAGAUGGAACGGUUAGUUCAACCUCAUGGCUACAACCAAGCUUGAAGUAUAUAGAAGGUUUUGUCCUUACGAUUUGGACAAUAUUCAAAACUUUCAAAAUCUUUCAUCAUGACAAAACAUUAAGGAGUGAGUACGUUCUGGUUGUUGGCAUGUGAUUAAGAGGUUAGUAUGGAUCGAGUUUUGAAAAUAGACUCUUACAAAAAAUACUAAUAAAAUUACAUAUAAUAGAUUCUUGUGAUCCAUCUCUUCUUUGGACUCCGCAUAUAACCGGAAUUUAGUACACAUGGUUAAUAAGUUAUUUAUUUUUUUAUUAUCUUUUUGCAUAAUUGAGAUGCCACUUUUGCUCAUUUUAUAUUCCCUGCUAGUAGAAUUUAAGAAGGUUUACAUGAUUUAUCCACUCUUACAAUCCUAUAUUUCAAGACCUGUAUUAUUUUUAUUGACUAAACAUGGAUAAUGAUAACUACUGUCAAUACUAUUAAAAAUGUUUUCCACGUUAGAGUUGUGGGUUCGAGAAUAGCAGGCUUUAAAUUUGGUAGUUGGAGAAAUGCAUUGCAAGUUAUUUAUAAUGUGGUUCUAUCGUCUACAUUGAGGUGUGAAUAAUUUUGCAAUAAAUUAUUCUAUCCGUUUAUUUUAACUUAUUACAUUUCGUUUUGAGAUUCAAACUAUAUGAAUUUGGAUCAAUAUUUUAAGAUGAAUAAUUUUGCAAUAAAUUAUUACAUCCGUUUAUUUCAACUUAUUACGUUUCAUUUUUUGAGAGUCAAACUAUAUGAACUUUGAUUAACAUUUUAAGAUGAAUAUUUUUGCAAUUAAUUAUUCUAUCCUUUUAUUUUAACUUAUUACGUUUCGUUUUUUGAGAGUUAAAUGAUAUAUAUAUGAACUUUGAGAUGUAUUUUUUCAUCAUAUUAAUAUGAGAAAGAUUGAUCAUAUAUAGUUUUUAAAUAUUUAAAUUUAAAAUUUAAAAUAUUGAGUGAAUUUUAUUCAAUUUGACUCUCAAAGUUAAUCAAAUUAACUCUCAUGAAACAUGACAAAUAAAUCCAUUUUCUUGGUUUUCCACCCGGUACUCACAUCCAAAUCGUUCCACGCAUAUUCAGAAUUAUGGAGUAUUAAAUGAAAUAUUUAGUUCAUGAACUAACUAGUACAAAUUUUUUAAAAUCACCUUAUCGAGCAUAUUAAAUGUAAAUAGUUAACGCAGUAAACUAACCUGUGAGAUUUUCAUAUUCUCAGCUUUGCAAGCCGUUUGGAAAGACUUAUUAGGGAACGGAGUCUUACAAGUAAUAGCAAUAUUGCCGAGAUCACCAAAUGCAUUGUGCUCGGUGUGAGAGGUUGCAUGAAAUUUCUUAGUCUAGCAUUUCUCAUUUGUAUAUCUUUUACGAUUCUAUCUAUUAAUGAUUUUUGUAUAUAUUUGAUUGACAUAUUUCUAUAUUUUCCAACCCAUAGGUAUUUGUAUAAUAUUUUAUAUUUAUGCAAAUCAUCAUAUAAGCAAGAAAUCCGAAUCAAAGAGUAAAUAUAUCAAAAUUUUCAAAAAGAUACCAUACAUACACCACAAAUAAGGUCUACUUUUUUCUAUUGAGAAUAAGAUUUUAAUUUUAUUACUCCAUUAAUUAAAGAUAAAUAAACAUAAAACAAAACAAAGAGAAAUACAGUAUUAAUUUGUUUUUACAAAUCACAAGCAAUUAACUUGAAACAGCAAUCAAACUUUUUCUCUUAUUAUUAGUAUUAUAAUACCAACAGGCAUCAGAAGAUUCUCUCCAACACAGACUUAAAUCAUUUUCAAAGGCAUCCCUGCAAUUUAUUAGAGAUGGAAUAUUUAGUUGAUGAACUAAAUACAAAUUUCAAAAAAUCAUGGAUAUUAAACGUAAAUAAUUAUUUAUAGUACCUGUGAGAUUUUUAUAUUCUCAACAUUGCAAGCCGUUCCGAGACCCUGAGACUAAUUGGGGAAUAAAUGAAUGGGCCUUGUACAAGUAAUAGCUUUUUCAAUUUAGGCAUACUCAUAUCAUCCAUGCACGUUACUUCAGACAACCCUUGUGCAUCCUCAAUAUGUAAAACUUCAAGUUGCGGAAAGCUAUCACCAGAGAGAUCCAUUUUUUCUGCAUCAUGUCUGCACCUAAGCAAUGUAAGUAUCCUUAAUUUGGGCAAUUUCUUAAGCACUGCCAAUAGAUGACCGUCUACCAUCAAGCCGACAAGAGUAAGCUUGACAAGAUUUGGAGGGAAUGCUUCAAUGUUCAAGAGCAUUGCUCUGGAACCAAACAAAACCAAUUUGACAAUAUUUGGAUGGGACGACAAGUUUAUUUGCUCACUCGUGUUCUUGAAAAUUCUGAGCUUCAGAACCUCCAACGCUUUAGGCACAGGGCUCAAUGCUGAUAAUAUCUUAAUGGUAGAACCGGAUACAUCCUUUAUACACAAUGUUCUUAAAUUUAUCAAUCGGUGCAACAAUCUCGGUUCACAAAAUUUAUCAUCCACCCACAUCAAAGUUUGUAGAUUAUUACGAGGCAAUGAGUACACGUUUGGAAAAAAUGGGUUUAUACAAAAGUAAUUGUAAGGUGCUAGAUUAUAACCUAUAGAACGAAGAUGUCUCAAUUGUGUAGACUUCCAAACACCAGUAGGAAGUUUAAUAAAGAAGCUUUUACCAAUAUCUAGGGUCUCUAGAUGUUUGAGCUUCACCAUACAAUUUGGCAGUUUCCCAUUGCACGAAGCUUCUCAAGCUUAGUAUUUGAACGGAAGAACUCAUUCAUGGCAUUAUUAUCAGAGUAGAAUGUAAUCCUUCGCACCCUAGCAACAUUGCUGGGAUCACCAAAUGCAUUGUGCUCGGUGUGAAAGAAGUUACUUUCCUUAGCCAAAUCCACACACAAACUAUGUAACAAGUCAUGUAUGCGACAACUUGAAAUUCUUCCAUCAUAUGUCCUUUCGACAACUUGAAUCAAGUUUCUAGAAACCAAAUCAUUUAGGAUAUCCUCUGCCAAACUUUCAGCCUCUCGCCUAUUACCACUAUAGUUUACAACUAUCAACUUCUCAGCAAUCCACAUAUUUGUCAGAUCAAAAGCACGAAUUUCAUGGUCCUCGGGGUAAAGGCCAAAAUACAAGAAACAUGGCCUUAAUGCAAUUGGCAAAUCAUUGUAACUCAGAGCCAAUACCUUAGCACAUCCAUCUUGAAUUUUAUGACCCAUACUCUCAAGUACUCUGUUCCAUGCACGUUCUGUUCUUUCUCUUGCCCUUAACAUGCCUGCGGUCACCUCAAUGGCUAGAGGUAUACCUCCACAUCUUCCAACUAUACUUCUACCAAUAUCUACCAAGUCUGGUGAAGCAUUGGCCCAAUUAUUAUUGUUAUCAAAAGUAAAGAUUUUCUUGGUAAAGAGUUCAAAACUGUUUUCCGAAUCUAGAGGUUGCAACACGUGUAUUGAGAAAUCCCCUCCUAUGUAUCUGCCUACAUUACUAUUUCGAGAGGUUAUAAUUAUCCUACUGCCAAUUUUUGAAUCACAUUCAGGAAGGACAAGUUUUAGAUCAUCCCAAAUUUCAACAUCCCAAAUGUCAUCUAAGAGAAUAACAUACCUUUUUAUUUUCAAGAGUGAUCGUAGGUUGUUCUCCAAGUUUUCUUUCCUUUCCUCUUCCAUCAGUCCAACUUGUUUGGCUAUGUCAUGUAAGAUUUCUCCCGCCCUUGGCUGUUGUGAAACAUAGACCAGUCCCGAACACUCAAAUUGAUCACGGACUUGCCUAUAAAGUUUCUUGGCAAGAGUUGUUUUUCCUAGACCGGGCAUGCCAACUAUUGAAACAACUCCAUAAGGCAAAUCAUGAUCAAGUAAUUUGGCUUGCAGCUUAUUGAAGUCAUCAUCCAAACCGAUGACCUCUGUUUCAUCAGCAUGAAGGAAUAAUCUUCUUUGGUCCAAUGGAAUGCAAUCAUCACUAUUGUUGUUACUUGUAUCCAUGAUGUUGUAAGUUGUCCUUACACGAUCAAUGUCAGCAACUCUUCUUUUUAUCUUCUCAAUCUCCAUAGCAAACUCAUCCGCAAAAGAAACCGUCUUAAGGCAACAAAUGAAAUUAUUGGAUUGUUGAAUUUUUGGAAGAAACUCAUCUAAUAGAUCCUCCACAUCACCUGCCAGUUGUUGAAUAUCUUUUAAUAAGUUUUUGACCCUUGAAUGGCCUCCAACUUCCUUGGCCUUUGCAUCGUCUACAUAUGAUCGAAUGUGUCUCAUUUCUCUGUGGAGCCAAUCUAUGUCCUCUUUUAACCAAUAUAAACGCGUUCCUUCUUGAAAGAGUACAUUUCCAGCUAUUUCUAUUGAUUUAUUGAUGACUGCUGUGAGAAGAAUUUCAGCCAUCUCUUUUUUCCUUAAAUUUCUUUUUUCUAAAUGUGAGGAUUAGCAAGGGAAAGUAAGAGAAAAUUAAAAGAUGAUCAAUUAUUGGUAAAAGGAUAAGAAAGAUGCAGUAUUUGCUUUAGGUGUUGGAGUCAACGGCCAAGUCUACUAAUAAUAAUGUCAAGUAGAUGAAAAAGAAAGAACAAAUGGACAGAAACAACUACUCCGUUCAUAUUAAAUACAAUAAUUCAUCUUUUCUUAAUCAUAUUAGCUGGUAUUUUGUUUUCAAGCAUGCAGGGGCGGACCCACCGUUACCCGAUGCCCUUCGUCGAAAAAUUACGAGGUCAAAUUUUGAUUUUAUAAAUAUAUAUAUAUAUACAAGUAUUAACACAUCUGGACACAAGUUAAAAGGUUUCGUGUAUUAAGGUGUUACGAAAGUUCCUUGAGGUAGUGUGUUUUUGUGCUAUUAGCCUCAAAUUAUAUUUUUUUAUUACAAUCAUUGACACCUUAAUGACAAUCUUUGGAUCCACGUUAAAAGUCAGACAAUUGAUGCAGUACUACGCGAAAAAUUCAAUGGCAAAGAUGAGUUCACACCGAAGCUUCUGGAAUCUCCUUCGUCCGAUUAUAUUUCAGUUCAUUAAAACAAGGGAUAAGGGCCUGAAAAAUAUUCCAACUUUGGUCGAAUUUGCUGUUACGAUACUAAACUUUCAUGAGGACCUAUUACCUCCCUAGACUAUUUAAUACCGUAUUUUAAACAUAUAUAUUUGCCCACGUGGACAUAAAAAAUAAUGCAAAAUUAUAAAUAGUAAUGUGUCCACGUGGACACAUAUAUACCUUUAAAAUACACUAUUAAAUAGUUCAGGGGGUAAAAAAUACGGUAUUAAAUAGUCUAGGGAGAUAAUAGGUCCUCAUAAAAGUUUAGUAUCGCAACAACAAAUCCGACCAAAGUUGGGGUAUUUUUCAGACCAUUGUCCCUUAAAACAAGGCAAAAAUACUCAUUACCCCCUUGAACUUGAAACUUUUUAUACGGUGUGCACCUAAACUAAAUUCCAUUUUAAUUAACUCCGAACUUGUUUAUUCCUCCAUCACGUACAUCUUUUUCGUCCACCUGCUCCUAUUGUGUAUUCCUCCAUUAUGUACACCUUUUUCGUCCACCCGGUCCUAUUGUGACUACACGCGCGCGACAGCUGGCAAAAGUGGUGAUGUGGAUUUCCACCUGGAUAUAUAAUAGCCACCUAGAUAAAUUAAUAUUGCAAAAAAUAAAUUUCCUAAAUUUAAAAUUCAUUGUUUAAAAGUUAUUUUUGAAUAAGGGUUGAUUUCGCGGAACUCCUUGAAUUUCAAAUUUGUCUGAAAUUCUUACCAAGUAAGUGUUAAUCUUUGUUUCCUUUACUUUUCAUUUACAUUUUCGUCGCGUACACCUUUUUUUUCCACUUACUCCUGUUGGGACUACACGCGCGCGACAGCUGUCUAAAUUGGUGAUGUGGAUUUCCACCUGGAUAAAUUAAUAUUACAAAAAAAAAUAUUCUUAAAUUUUAAAUUCAUCGUUUAAAAGUUAUUUUUGAAUAAGGGUUGAUUUCGCGGAACUCCUUGAAUUUCAAAUUUGUCUGAAAUUCUUACCAAGUAAGUGUUAAUCUUUGUUUCCUUUACUUUUCAUUUACAUUUUGCCCUAUUUUUCAUUUAAAAUAUGCCAAAUAUUAAACAAAAAUGGAGAUUUUACGUUGUUUUUUUUUACCGUUGUAGCUUUGUGAUGUGGCAAAAAAUCACUUCCUCACGCGCCUAGUAGAGUGUGUUGUCAAUUUCUACACCAGGUGGACGAAAAGGUGUACGCGACGGAGGAAUAAACAAGUUCGGGGGGGUAAUUAAAACGGAAUUUAGUUUAGGUGUACACCGUAUAAAAAGCUUCAAGUUCAGGGGGGGUAAUGAGUACUUUUGCCUUAAAACAAUUGUUAAAUCUUUAUUAUAUAUUUCAUUUUCAAACAAGAAUAAAGAAUUUUUAGAGUCGUCAGCCGAUUGAAGCAGUAUAUGAUUAUCCCACUAGAAUAUAUAUAUAUAUACGUGGCACUAUCUUGUGGGCCUAGCGCGUGUUGACAAUUUUUUCAAGGAUAGUGCCACGUAGGCCGAAAAGGGGUAGAAAAUUAUAUAUAAAAUAAAUUCAAGGGGGUAAUAGGACCUUAGUAAAAGUUAGGUGUGUCUCAGAGAUUUUGGGCAUAGAAUGGGGGUACUUAUGCAUUUUCCCUAUAUAUAUCACCAAAGAUCGACGACCUUGGCUAUAUUUAUAUUGGAAAAAUGUUAGAAAAUAUUUUAUAUAAAAUAUAACAUAUUGUUUAUAUAUAAAUAUAUUUGCAUACUAAGAUUGUUCGGUUCGAAAGGUUUUUGAUUUUA
rnacentral:lncRNA from 1 species